rnacentral:lncRNA from 1 species
CACCUCCAGUCUACAAGUAUAAGUCACCACCACCUCCUUCCCCAAUUUACAAGUCACCAUCACCACCUUCUCCAGUAUACAAAUUACCUCCACCACCUCCUCCAGUUUACAAAUCUCCACCACCAUCAAUUUAUAAAUACAAGUCUCCUCCACUACCUCCUCCAGUGUACAAGUCAUCACCACCACCUGCUUACAAGUCUCCACCUCUUCCAGUUUACAGUUCCCCACCACCACCAAUCUACAAGUCUCCACCUCCACCCUACCAUUACUACUACAAUUCUCCUCCUCCUCCUCCUCGUCACUACUAAGCAAUUGUAUGCAAGUUUUUGAGGUAAUAACGCUUAACCAAUAAACUAACUUUCGCAUGAUAAAACUUAUCUCUAUCAAGACAAACUGCCAUGUGUAUCAUGCCAAAUACGUACACCUAGAUCCAUGAAAAUGAAUGGUAGAAAAUUUUCUUAAGAACUAAGGAACAGCAUUAGUAUUCCCUCUGCUUCCAAAAACUUGUGUAUUAAAUAGAUUAAUGAAUUGUUUAACAUGCUCAUUUACUUGAAAAUACACAAUACCCAUAACCUACUGAAUUUUUUGCAGGAAAAGGGAAAGACAAUCUGUGUUUGAGAGCUUCAUGAAGAUGUUGAAGAAUAAGAAUAAAAGCCCAAUGCGAGGAUGUUUCAAGUUUUUCUAUGUUUCCACUUUAAUUUGUAAAUUGAAUUUUGUGACUCAAUUAAUUCCCUGUUUGUGGGGUACGUGUUGUUUUACGUACCAUGCCGUACAGGUUUGUAAGGAUUUCUAUCCUAUUGGCAAAAGUCGGUUCCAUACAAUUAAUCAAUUCAUUUCACUUCUAUUGGCUCUACUAUUUAUGCAUGUUACGACAUUUUUUCUCUCUUUCCCUUAUAUUUUGCCUUUAAUAUUAUUGAAUCAAUAUUAAUAAUGGGCCUUUUUCUUAAAAUUAUACUAUUAUACAUAGGUUGUUUGGUCUAACGCUAAAUUCAUGUUUGUCUUUCUUUUAUUCCCUUUACAUCUCAAAGUAUACUAUAGUUUGUAAUCAUUGUGGUGAUGAUAUUGCCAGCUGGUACUUAUAGUUUAAGGCAGAGACAUGAUAUUAACAACUAUCUCAUUGAAACAUAAAGAAAAAUCAUGACAAGUGUGAGUCUUGGUUAAUGCACAAUUUGUUAGUGGAAUUUAUAUUUAUAAAACUCAAAAAAAAAUUUUGACAAUGCUAUUACUAAUUAAUUAAGGACUUUAUUGCUAUAAUUUAUCGCUUACUAGUUUAAACUAUAAAUGAUCUCAAUACUUUUCUCCAUGAUGUCGAUUUCUUUAGAUUACGAAAGGGAAAAAUUAGUGACAUAUCCCUUACUGAUUACAACAUCAGCAAAAAUUAGUUAUAAAUUUUUCCGGUGGUUUUAAAUCCCUCGGGCACUAAGAUUUUUUGCACAUCGAGUGAAUUGAGGAACAUAGGCAAUUCGUUCUGCAUACCAAGUCCUUGUUUAAGAUGCAAGUACUAAAAUGCAUCCACUUCAUUAAUUUGGGAAAUUGCCAUAGUUUUUUUUAAGCAUUUUGAUUUUUUACAUGAUUCAAAAUUUUCUUAUUGGAUACAAUCACUUUGUAUCAAGAACAUUUUCAAUCAUCCUUUUUAUCUUCUCAAUAAGAAAAUAAAAAUUUAUUCAUGCUUUUCUAACAUAUCCAAUCAUUGAUCUGAAAAAUAAAGAAUUUAAAAAAAAAGACAUUUUCAAUCAUUGCUUACAGGGCAACUUCCCCAUGUGAACCUCUUCAAACAAAGCCAAUAAUAUGAAGGAACAUCUAAAUACACUUUUGCCCUAAAGGCUGGUUGCCUUGGGGUCAAAAUUUAACCUUCGGGAGUAUAAUUACCCUGCCAAAUUUAUUAUUUUUUAUGGGUAUAUAGUUCCAAUUUUUCCUCCUGUUAAGCUUAUAAAUAUAUUAUCACCCAGAAAAUAAAGGAAUCUUGAAUACUAACAUGUCCAUUUACUUGAGUUGUCAUCAAUUUGGCUACUUCGAUUCCAUGAGGGCAAUCCAAUUCACACUUGCUAGAGAAAAUGGUGAUAAAGGCACAAAGAAAAUUAUAUGUAAUAUUGAUUGGUAGUAACCACCUUGUAUUGAUCCCACUAUUGUGGAUACUCGUGCUCUUAUGAAAAAAAAUUAUAAAAAAUUAGCAAAAUUUAAAAGAACAAAGUAAAUUUAUUCGUACAAAUCAGUCAAAGAAGUAGCAUUUUAAAGACCAUGAUGAAAUUAAUACUUUCAAGGUCUCUAUUAGGAAGACUUCCUUUGUUGGUGAAACUACACUAGGUACGGUUACAUGCAGAUGUUUACUGUUUUGGUACCUAAUUUCCUUGCCUUGAGUUGGGUGCAGAUGUUUAUAUUACAAAUAGAUGGUAUCAUAAAUUUGUUGUAUUAACGUCUGUUCUUUUUUUUCUUCCUUAAGUUUUUUUCUUUAUUCUCGUGACUUCAAAAAUACGAACUCAAGAAAUUAACUGCUUCGACAUUAAGGUAUAACUUCACAACUAGAGCCAAUAGAAAUCGUCAAAUGAUUUUUUGACAUCCAAAUUAAGCAAUAAAUUUUGUUUUCAUUUCACGGGAGAUUUUAUAGUUUCUUUUGGGUAUCAUACCUACAAGUGAUAAUUGUCAUUGGAUAGUGAAAGAAGUGUUAAUGAUUGUAAGAUUAAAUAUUGAAAAUUUAAACUAUUUAUCUUUAUUGAGAGAUACAACUUAAAGAAUCGUAUCCAAAAGAGACUAUAGAAUUUUCUCUGUUUUUCAUCAUCUGUAGACAUAAACUUUCUACGGUUGAUGUACUAUAAGGAAAUUUUGCCUAUACAAUGUGAUACCAUUUUUUCAAAAAGACAAGAUGGCAAAUUGCCCCCUUGAACGGAAAAAAUCAUGAUCUUUCCUCAAACUAGUCUACUUGUCAAUUCUUUGAAAAAGAAUACACUGCCCCGCAGAAUUCUAGAAAGUUAGGCAAAACUAGACAAGUUGACAGCUAUAAUCAUACCCAAGAUCAGGAACAAGCAGUUACACAUUUCAAAAUUCGCUGCUGCAACAACUAAUUUGAUGACUUACAACACUAAAUGGUCAAACUUUGAAUGGCAAUGAAUCUUUUGUUGUACAUCAUGAUGUAAUUUUCAUGUUACAUAAUAGAUUGAUAUCUAUGUUCUUUAAAUUAUCAUAAUAAUUAAAUUUAACUGAUAAAAAGAACACAUAUCAAUACACAAAAGUGUGUAACGUGAAUGUUAUAUUAGUGUAUUGCAGAAGACCUAUAGUCUCUUCACAUCUCUUCCUGCAUCUUUUAUGUUUUAUUACCUCCAAAAGCCUUUACAGGGUCUUUACCCUAAAAAUCAAUUCACCGACUCGCAUUUGAUGUCAGAAAUUCUUAAGACGAAUUCUACUUUACUCAAAGAUUGACUGUUAAUAAUGAGACAACGACCAUUUUGUAUUAUUACACCGUCCUUCUUGAUAGGCAAAAGAAAUAGAGAGGAAAGCGGGUCCGUAUAUGGUCUUUUAUUCAUAGAUAAUACAACAUUACGCCAUCGAGCAUUCACACAAUAUUUCAAAGUCAUUGCAUGCCUAAAGCCCCGCUUGAUAAUCCAAUUUCAUACUUAAAUUUAAUGGAUUCAAAUUUUAACACAUUCAAAUUGUUUGAUAACAAAAAAUUGAACGUCUAAAUUAAUUAAGUAACACUAAAUUUUUUAGACAAAACUUGCUCCCAAAAUUAAGUGAUAAGCUAUAUCACUUAUCACUGAAUGUGAUAUGCAUUCAAAUGUAUUAUAUUUAAUACUUAAUAAUUUAAUAAUUUAAUGGAUUCAAAAUUCAGAUUUUAGAUUUCAGUUUUAUCAAACAUACCCUAAGUUGCAAAAUAAUACCAAAACUUGUUAUUAUAUAGCUUGAGAUUCAAAAAUUUAGAGCAUAAUUCUCAACCUAACACAAUUGAAUAAUGAAUAUUCACGAUUGUCAAAUCUAUCAAAGUACAAUUUGAGGACAACCCAUUCCAACGCGUACACAAUUUCUCACUUUUCUAAAGUUGUUGAGAGCUGUUAAAAGAGAUUUACCAUGUUUACAUCUUCCAAGUCUUGGGAGUAAAAAAUGAAGCCACCGAGUGCUAUAAAAAGGGGGCUAGAGGCUGCCUAGAAGCAUAUCAGCCUAAAACAAGAAUUUGUAGUAACAAUGGGGAGCAAAGCAAAAGCAACGGGGUCUAGGCUGACUCCUCUUCUUACCACUGUUUUAGUGGUAUUUGUCGCCCUUGGCUUGCCCUUGGAAACUGCAGCUGAUUAUUACAAGUAUUCAUCUCCUCCUCCUCCUCCUUACCACUAUUCUUCACCACCACCUCCAGUGUAUUCACCUCCACCAACCCCUGCUUAUAAGUUACCCCCACCAUCUCCUCCAGUUUACAAGUCCUCACCACCACCUUACCACUACUCACCACCUCCGGUGUAUUUACCUCCACCAUCUCCAGUUUACAAGUCACCACCACUACCCCCUCCGGUAUACAACUCCCCGCCUCCACCAGUGUACAAAUACAAGUCCCCACCACCACCUCCUCCAGUUUACAAAUCUCCACCGCCACCAGUUUACAAAUACAAGUCACUCCCACCACCUCCUCCGGUAUACAAGUCUCCUCCGCCACCUGUUUACGAGUACAAGUCUCCUCCACCACCUCCUCCAGUGUACAAGUCCCCACCACCUCCAGUUUACAAGUACAACUCACCUCCACCUCCUCCCCCAGUUUACCUGUCUCCACCUCCACCCUAUCAUCACUACUACGGUUCUCCUUCUCCUCACCACUACUAAGCAAGUGCAUAAGUUUUGAGGUAAUAAUACCUAUCCAAAACUUUAUCAACACAAACUGCCAUGUAUAUCAUGCUAAGGACGUACACUUGAUCCAUGAAAAUGACUAGUAGAAGAUUUUUUUUAAGAACCAAAGAAAUACAUUAUUUUUUCGGUCUGUUUUCAAGAAUUUGAGCAGUAUACAGAUUAAAGAGUGUUUUUUUUUUUGUAAACUUGCUUGUCAACUUAAAAAUGCACAUAGCUGAAAGCCAACUGAAUAUUUGCAGGCAAAGGAGAAGGCAAUCGGUGUUUGAGACCUUCAAGAAGAUGUAGAAGAAUAAGAAUAAAAGCCCAAUGCGAGGAUGAUUCCAAGUUUCUACGUUACCAUUUCUACAUCUAAAUUGACUUUAGCUCCUGAGUUCCAUGUUUAUGGGGUUUGUACCGUUUUACGUACCAUGCAGUACAUGCUUGCAAGGUUUUCUGUCCUGUUGGCAAACUGCAGGUCCAUAUAAUAAAUGAAUACUAUUUACAUUACGACACUUUUCUCUUUUUCUCUUAUAUUUUGUCUUUAAUAUUGUUGAUCAUUUUUUUUUUAUCAAAAGCAUCAAAUGCUUAGGUAAUUUGGUCUAAUGCUAAUUGUUUUACUUUUAUUUUUCACCUACACCCCUUUUCAACUCAAAGGAUGCUAUAGUUUGUGAUAAUUGUUUAAGACCGAAGCAUGAUACUAAUAAAUAUCUCAUUGAAAGUCAAGGAAACUAACAUUAGGAAAAGUUUAAAUCUUGAUUUGAUGAAACUAUUUAUUCGUGGAAUUUAGAGAUACAAAACUCAAAUUGUGACGGUGUUGUUGCUAAAUUAUUAAGGACAUUAUCACCAUUAUUUUUCCCUGAUCACUAGUUUCAACUGCAAUGAUCUCAAUCUUUUUGUGACUAAUUCUUUCCUUAAUAAUUUAUAAAGACAAAACUCACAAAGAAUAUGUGACUAAUUCUUUCCUUUCGUCUUCUAAAGAAAAUGCCAACUGUUAGUUUAUCAAGGGGAAAAAGGAUCGACAUCAGUUAUUAUUGAAACUAGUAAGGAAUAAAUAAUGGUGAUAAUGUCCUUAAUAAUUUAACAACAGCACCAUCAGAAUUUGACUUUGAGCUUCGGUCUUAAACAAUGAUCACAAACUACAGCAUCCUUUGAGUUGAAAAAGGAAGUAGGUGAAAAGAAAAGUAAAAAAUACAAUUAGCAUUCCCUCAAAUUGUAGAAAGUUAGGUAGCAUUAUAGACAAGUUGAUAGCGGCAAUUUUACAUUUCAAACUUCACCUAUUCAAUAACUAAUUCGAUGGCUUGCUACAUGGUCAAUCUUUGGACCCCUUCCUGCCUCCAGAUAUCCCUUUCCUCAAUCAGGGGCUUCUACAAUUACCAGUUUCAAUUGUAUGGUAUAGUGUAAAUAUCAACAAAUUAGAUGUAGAUGCUAACAUAAUAAAUGUGAAUGCUAAGACAGCAACAUACAAUCGAACCUGCAAUUGUAUGAACCCCAAUCUCGCUUCCUAGUCCACCAUCUUUCUCUAGGUAAUAAUCUCCCUUCUAAUUUAUUCACAAAAUGCACCUUUCAUCACCUCCAAUAGCGUCGACAUGAUCUUUACCCUAGAAGACUAUUCACCGACUCUCAAUUGACGUCAGAAAAUCUAAGAGUAAUUCUACUUUACCCUAAGAUUGAUAUCAACAAGACAAGGACAAUUUAGAAUUAUUACACGCCUCUUCUUAAUAGGAAAAAGAAAUAGAGAAGAAAGUCAGGCCAGGUCUAAUUUCUUUUCAAAGGCAAUACAACAUUACGAAAUCAAGCAUUCAUUCAUACAAAUAUUUCAUAGUCACCGGUUUGCUGAGUAGAAAAAUUUAGACAAAAACUUAAUAUUAUAUUGUUUAAGAGUUAACAAUUUAGAGCUUAAUCUCCUUGUACUUUGGAGUUAACAAUUUAGAGCUUAAUCUCCUUGUACUUUGGACUAAACUUGAACGUGAAAGGAAAUCCCAAAACCAUAUUGGGCAUGAAUUCACACUUAAUAUACCCAAUAAAAGAUGGCGACUGGUGAAAGGCAGUGGAGACUGGUGGAGAGAUUUGAGGAAUAGAAGCAGACGGAAAAGCAACAAAUUUUUGCCGAAAAACGGUCACUUUCAUGGUUAAUUUUGCUACUCUCCAAUUGUACUUGACCAAUUACAACAAUUUCAUGGAGUUUGAUACGUGAAAAGAAUUUUUUAUAAAUUUUAUUUUGAUCCAUAAUGUUAUCUUUACAUAUAUAAAACAUUUUACAAUUUUGAUUUUGGCGCAGCUAACUUUUGGUUAACAAAAAUGCUCAUGUUUAAAAAACCAGAAAUAAAACAAAACAAGAAACAAAAGAAAUAAGAGGGUAGCAUAGACAUUUUGGAUUUUUCCGUUAAUUUGGAUGAUUUCCACCCACGUUCUAAUUUAAUCCAAAACACAAAGGAAUUACGUAGAGGUUUUAAAUAAUCAGGGAGCUUCAUGAUCGAACCCCAAACCACGUGAUAGCAUACAAGAGUUCUAUUUCACUAUCGGUAGACAAAGACUUUCUAUGGUUGAUGUACCGUAGGAAAAAAUCUGCCUAUACAACGUGAUAGCAUUUUUUCAAAAACACAAGAUGGAAAAUUGCCCCCUUAAACGUGGAAAUUCAUGAUCUUUCCUCGAACAAAGAAUACUCACGCCUAUUCAAGAUGGAAAAUUGCCCCCUUAAACGUCUAUUUGUCAAUUCUUGAAAAAAGAAUACUCACGCCUAAAACACGGCCUCUUCAUCUGCAGAAUUCUAAAAAGUUACGUAAACUCUAUAAACAAGUUGAUAGGUACAAUCGUACCCAAGAUCAAGUACAGAUAGUUGUACAUUCACUGCUGCAAUAACUAAUCUGAUGACUUACAAACAUAUCAUGGUCAAUCGUUGAAUGGUAAUGAGUCUUUUGUUAUGCAUUAGUAUUAGUGUGUACACUCUAAUAGAUUGAUACUUAUACUCUUUAAAUUAUCAUAAUAAUACCCUUAAUUAACUUUAACUCUUAAAAAGAAUACGUGUUAAUACACGAGAGUGUGUAACCUGAAUUGUUACUUAUACAUUAGUGUGUAAUAGAUAGGGAUGGCAGUGAGGGCGAGUGCCCGCGGGGGGCUCUCGGGGCGGGGGCGGGGGAGAAUUUUUUCCCCCCGUUUAGAAACGGGGCAGGGGACGGGGGAGUAUACCCCCGCCCCAUCCCCCGCCCCGCCACCCGCAAAAAAAAUUAUAUAUAUAUAAUUAUAUAUAAUAUGUAAUUUAAUUAGUUAUAAACUUAUGAUAAUGAUAUUAUUAGUUAGAUGUAUUAUAUAAUGUAUAUUAGUGUAUGUAAUAUAAUUAAUAUUAUCAAUUAUACGAAUAAUUAGACAUGUCCACUAAUAGAGUUUAUUAAUUAGUUAUACUAAAUUUACUAAUACAUUUGUACUAAAUUUCUAAUUACACUUAAUAGAAUAACACUUUUUUCUAAAAAAAAAAGCACAAACACAAUAAUGAAUUAGUGAUUGUAUUUGUACCAAAAGUGAAAACUUAACUAUUUUAGUUGUAUUUAUUUCAUCAUGUUGGAUUGUAUUCAAAUAAUUUUUGUUUGAUUGUUUUUAUGAGUUUCAAUUGUAAAAUUAAAAUGAAUAAUAACUUGAUGAUGUGUUGAUAUUUUAGUACUUGAUUAUUUAUUGAUUUAACUAUAAUAAAAUUUUAUUUUAUUAAAAUUUAACUAUAAUAAAAUUUUAUUAACCAAACGAGUUAUUAAUCCCGCGGGGGCACCCACGGGGGAAGCGGGGCGGGGCGGGGGAGUGGGAGGCGGGGGACGGGGCGGGGGUGGGGGGAGUUGUAGGUAGCGGGGCGGGGGAUGGGGGAGGGGUCCCCCGCCCCAACCCCGCCAUCCCCCGCCCCGUUGCCAUCCCUAGUAAUAGACUGGCAAGCAUUGUGGUGGUCAUUGAGAACUUACUGGAGAAAUAGUCCUAUAAGCUGUUCAAUGAGCAAUCACAACUUGCUAAUUGGAUGACUAAUAUAGCUCUAGCUGUAAUGUUUUAAUUAAAUUACAUCACUAACGUUGGGAUGACUUUUUAACCAAAAAAAAAUGCCUUAGUUCAAGCUUUUCCCUUUAUUGUGCAUUUUUUAAAGCAUUUGAUAGGCACUGCAAAUCUGUCAUUUUGGACAUUUUAUUAUUGACUAACAAUGAAAGCCGUGACGUCUACCCAUAACCAACACAAGAUUAAAUUAAUAUUAGAAAAAAUAAUUGAGUAAUUGGAAAAAAAAAAAGAGACUCAUUUUCAUUGAAACCCACCGACAAACUAAACGUGUCCAUGGCUUUUGAAUAGUGCAUUCAACGUUUAAUUGUAUAGUCCAGUUCAUUGCAGAUUACAUGGAGUAAAGAUUGUGCUCUUUCCUUUUUCACCCCUUUUGGAAUCGAUACUGUGGAGAAUUGGGUUUUUCCCUUCUUUUUUUCUUUUCUUUCCUUCUGUGCUUUGCAAAACAUAGGUAAAAAUAUGAAAUCCGAAGCAUUCUUUAAUUGGGAUUAAGUAUUGUUGUUGAAAUUAAAAAGAAAAAAGAAAGAACAACAAAAUUCCCAAUCUGGGUUGAUUGUUGAGCUCUAGAUUGGUUGCAUCGUGCUUCCAUAGAAGCUCUCUUAGUGUGAUACACUGCUUUCAAUCAGUUUAACACGGGAAAAAAAAAAAAAGAGAUGAAAAGCAAAUUUGGUGGGGAUAAUUUCAGAAACCUCCCCUGAAGAUUUUGACUAUUCUACUGGUCUCCCUUCAGAUUUUAAAAAUUACACUAAUCUUCCUUGAAGUUAAUUAUCUUGUAACAUUUAAAUUCAAUCAAUAAUUUAAAAAAUGAUAUUAUGAGAGAGAAAAUAAUGAUUUUAUCAUUGCCCCCCAUCUUACUACAUUAUUUAAUUAAUUUAAUAGCAACCCACACAUUAAAGAAAAAUAUUAAAAUUUGUUGUUUAUCAUUAAAGAUCAAAUCGCUUAUAACAUCAAAUAAUAGUAUAUUAUUUAUAUUUUUCACUCAAUAUAAUAUCCAAAUUACUCUUUUCAAUUACAUACCCAUUGUUAGACAAUCAACAACAAAUAACCAAAAAAUUUGCAACCAAAAUAUUACAAAAAAAUAAACUUUAACAUAUAAAUAUUCUUAUCAACAUAUUAAAGUUAGUUACUGAAAUUUUUAUGCUGUUAAACUUCACUCUUUUUGGUUACAGAUUUUUUUGAUUAUUUGUUAUUAAUUAUGUUUGAUGAUGGAUUUAUAAUUGAAAAGAACAAUUUGAAACUUACAUUAAGUAAAAUAUAUAGAGUGAUAUACUAUUUUUUAUAACAUAUGUGAUUCAAUCCUUCUUGAUAGGAUUGGUAAUAGAGGUAGAGGGGGGAGCCGGCUGCAUCCGGUCUACUUUUCAUAGAUAGUACAAUAUUGCGAAAUCGAUCGCAUUCACGCAAUAUUAUUUCCAAGUCAUUGCAUGGCUAAGCUGCAAAAAAAGUACGAACACAUGUUAUUAUAUAGCUUACGAUUCAAAACUUUAGAGCAUAACCCUCCACCUAACACAAUUGAAUAAUGAACAUUCACGUUUGUCAAAUCUGUCAAAGCACAGUUUGAGGACAACCCAUUCCAACCUGCAAAAGAUUUUUUACUUUUCUAAAGUUGUUGAGAGCUGUAAAAAGACUUACCAUGCUUGCAUCCUCCGAGCCUUGGGAGUUAAAAAUGAAGGCACUGAGUGCUAUAAAAAGGGGAAUAGAGGCUGCCUAGAAGCAUAUCAGCCUAAAACAAGAAUUUGUAGUUAAGAUGGGAAGCAAAGCAAAAGCAAUGGGGUCUGGGCUGACUCCUCUUCUUGCCACUGUUUUAGUGGUGUUUGUUGCUCUUGGCUUGCCCUCACAAACUGCAGCUGAUGAUCACUACAAGUAUUCAUCUCCUCCUCCUCCUUACCACUAUCCCUCACCACCACCACCAGUGCAUAUACCUCCACCUCAUCCUGUUUACAAGUACAAAUCUCCACCACACCCCCAGUACAAGUAUAAGUCACCACCACCACCUCCUCAUCCGGUAUACAGUCUCCUCCGCCACCACACACCCAGUUUACAAGUACAAGUCACCACCACCACCUCCUCAUCCGGUACCACACCCAGUUUACAAGUAUAAGUCUCCUCCGCCACCAGUUUACAAAUACAAGUCUCCUCCACCACCACCUCCAGUGUACAAAUACAAGUCUCCACCACCACCAGUUUACCACUACAAGUCUCCACCACAGUUUACAAAUACAAGUCUCCACCACCACCCCCAGUUUACAAAUACAAGUCUCCACCACCACCAGUUUACCACUACAAGUCACCACCACCUCCUCCCCCAGUUUACAAAUACAAGUCUCCACCACCUCCUCACCACUACUAAGCAAUUGCUUCUGAGGUAAUAACACUUGUUCAAUAUACCCACUUCUGCAUGAUAAAGCAUAUCUCUAUCAACACAAACUGUCAUGUCUAUCAUGCUAAGUGCCUUCACUUCAUCCACCAAAAUGACUGCUAGAAAAUUUUUUUUAUGUUACCAAAGAAAGGCAUCAUUUUUUCCCUCUGUUAUCAAGAACUUGUACAGUAUAUAGAUUAAAGAGUAUUUUUUUAACUAGCUUAUCAACUGAGAAAUGCAUAUAGCUGAUAGCCAGCUGAAUAUUUGCAGGCAAAGGAGAAGGAAACCAGUGUUUGAGACCUUCUUGAAGAUGUAGAAGCAUAAGAAUUAAAGCCCAAUGUGAAGAUGAUGAUUUCAAGUUUUUCUACGUUACCAUUUCUUUAUCUAAAUUGGUUGUAGCGCCUUAGUUCCUUUGUUUAUGGGAUUUGUAUCGUUUUACGUACCAUGCAGUACAUGUCAUGUUUGUAAGGUUUUCUAUCCUGCCGGCAAACCGCAGGUUCCAUGUAAUAAAUCAAUACUAUUUAUAUUACGACACUUUUCUCUGUUUCUCUUAUAUUUUGUCGUCUUUAAUAUUCUUAAUCAUAUUUUUAACAAAAAUAUUCAAACACUUAGGCAAUCUGGUCUAAUGCUAAUUGUAUGUUUUACUUUUCUUUUUCACCUGCUCCCCUUUUCAACUCAAAAGGAUGCAAUAGUUUGUGAUCACUGUUUAAGACGGAAGCAUGAUACUAAUGAAUAUCUCAUUGAAACUCAAGGAAACUAACAUUGCGAAAAGUGUAAAUCUUGAUUUGAUGCAACUAUUUAUUCGUGGAAUCUAUAGUUACAAAACUCAAAUUCUGACUGCGCCAUUGAUAAAUUAUUAAUGACGCUAUCAUCAUUAUUUAUCCCUAACUAGUUUCGACUACAACUGAACCCAAUAUUUUCCCCAUGAUAAAAGUUUUUGACUAUUUUACUGGCCUCUCUUCAAAUUUUAAAAAUUACACUAAUCUUCAUUGAGAUUAAUUAUCUUGUAACAUUUAAGUCCAAUUAAUAAUUAAAAAAUGAUAUUAUGAGAGAGAAAAUAAUAUAAUUUUAUCAUUGCCCCCCAUCUUGCUAUAUUAUUUAAUUAAUUUAAUAGCAACCCACACAUUAAAGAAAAAUACUAAAAUUUGCUGCUUUUCAUUAAAGAUCAAAUUGCAUAUGCCAUAAAACAUAGUAUAUCAUUCUAUAUGUUUCACUUAAUGUAAGAUCCCAAUUGUUCUUUUCAAUUACAAACCCAUUGUCAAUAACAAAUAACCAAAAAAUUUGCAACCAAAAUAUUACAAAAAAAAACUUCAACAUCAUAAAUAUUCUUACCACCUCUAGUGCAUUCACCCUCAUAAAAUAAUUCAAGACCCUACUGUCAUAAAAUGACUGAUCAACUCCCGUAAACCUAAUUUGACAACAUUUAAAUGGAGAACUUUAGCUAAAAGAAUUAUGGUCAAGCUAAAGAAAAAACCAGUUAUUUUCCAACAUAUGCAAUCAUUGAUCAGGGAAAAAAAAAAGAGCAAAAAGACAUCUUCAAUCAUUUAAUAGCUUACAGGGCAAAUUAACCCCUAAGCGAAAACUGGUUGCUCUAGAAUCAAAAUUUUACUUUAGUUACCCAGGCAACUUUUUUGUUGCUUUUUUUUUUUUUUUCCUUUAGUUUUGCCCCCUCUGUCAAGCUUAUAAAAUUAUUAAGAUAAUAAAAGUGCCUUGAAUAGUAUUAAUAUAUCCAUUGACUUGAGCUGUCGUCAGUUUGCGAUUCCAUGAGGCCUUUUCAAAGUACUCAGAAAAUGGGGAGUCAUGAAAUCCAUUUGUUCUAUUCAUUGCUAAGAUGCUUUUCUCUAUAAAGAGACUUCCUAACGAAAAUACUUUGUAGAUUUCUUUACUCCAAGUGGUGCAUGGAAAAUUAAUAUUUUCAAUUAUCAAAUAAAAUUCCCUUUUUUCGGCGUAGAUUUCAUCCAUCCAGCUGUUAACACAUUCUAUAAAUCCGAAUUGACUAAUCUUUUCGUUUCCAUUUUCCAACUUGCGAAUACGGCAUAUAGUGUCUGCUAAACACUAUAUAUUCUCUGCCAAAUAUGAAUACAUAUCACUUUUCUGAGCAAGUGCAGAGUCAUUAUCAUUUUUAUUCCCACCUAACAAAUUAGGGAUAAAAAAGUUAAUAAUCUUUACAUGCUAUCAGGUCACAAGUUAAUAAUCUUUUAAAGAACAUGUUAAAUUAAUUUAUUGGUAUGAAUAGUAGUCAAAGAAGUAUGUUAAAGUUAGUAAUCUUUAAAAUAAUAUGUUAAAAUCAUUCGUACAAAUUAGUCAGAGAAGUAGCAUAAACACCGCGAUGCAAUUAAUACUUUCAAUCUCAAGGUCUCUAUUAUGGAAAUUUGCAUCGGUCAAUAUACACUUGGCAUAAUAUAAUCUCCCAACUCAUUUCUUUACAAAUGCACCUUUAAUCACCACCAAAAGGUGUGGACAUGAUCUUUACCCUAGAAAACUAUUCACCGACAGGCAAAUUGACGUCAGAAAUACUGAGGAAUUCUAGUUUCCUUCGGGUUCAUGCCAUGUUGUAUCCUUCAACUGUAACUCGAUUUCUAAGCUGUAAUUUGUGACAUAAUAGUCCUUAAACUAUGAAACCCUUCUUACUUAAUUACAAUGGUUAAUACAAUGCCCGUGACUAGACAAGUAUGAAGCAACCAUAACAGAAAAAAAAUCCAAAAUUAGAGAAAAGAAAGAAGUUUCGCGACCACCACCAGUUUACAAGUCACCUCCACCACCUCCUCCAGUUUACAAGUCACCUCCACCACCUUACCAUUAUUCCUCACCACCACCUCCAGUGCAUUCACCCCCACCACCACCAGUUUACAAGUCUCCGCCACCACCUUACCAUUAUUCCUCACCACCACCUCCUGUGCAUGCACCUCCACCACCAAUUUACAAGUCACCUCCUCCAGUUUACAAGUCUCCACCACCACCUUACGAUUAUUCCUCACCACCACCUCCAGUGCAUUCACCCCCACCACCACCAAUUUAUAAGUCUCCCCCACCGCCUCCCCCAGUAUAUAAGUCACCACCACCACCUCCUCCAGUAUACAAAUCACCUCCACCACCUCCUCCAGUUGACAAAUCUCCACCACCACCAAUUUAUAAAUACAAGUCUCCUCCACUACCUCCUCCAGUGUACAAGUCAUCACCACCACCUGCUUACAAGUCUCCACCUCCUCCAGUUUACAGUUCCCCACCACCACCAAUCUACAAGUCUCCACCUCCACCCUACCAUUACUACUACAAUUCUCCUCCUCCUCCUCGUCACUACUAAGCAAUUGUAUCCAAGUUUUUGAGGUAAUAACGCUUAACCAAUAAAUUAACUUUCGCAUGAUAAACCUUAUCUCUAUCAAGACAAACUGCCAUGUGUAUCAUGCCAAAUACGUACACCUAGAUCCAUGAAAAUGAAUGGUGAGGAGGGCCAUUUAGGCUCGGAGCGCCCUAGGCCUAGUUCCCCACCAUUUCCUGAAGUGCCGCCUCGGGUAUUAUCCUGGAAGGCGAUCGCGGCCCAUUUACCACCUCGGCUACAAUGUCAGGUCGUAACACCGAGGUGGACAUUGAAUGACAACUACGAAAAGGGGAGAUGUGAUCUCUGACACCUGAGCAAAGGCUGCUCUGACCCGCCGCCUGAAUCUGACAGAAUGUCCCAUCACGUCUCUUCAUGGAGACCGGUCAAGUCCACCUGAUCCACUGACUAUCUCAGAUCUUUUGGGACCCGUGCAAACAUCUCCUCUCUCCUAUCAGUCCCCUAUAAAUACACGAUACUUCUACUGAAAAAGGAGAUGACCAAUUUCUGGUAAAACACACUCCACUCAUUAUUUACUUCUCUAUAUCCGAACUGACUUAAGCUUCGGAGUUAUACCGGGGGAUCCAGCCCCUUUCUUAUCCAAGCAGGUGACUUCGUCCAAGAGAGUUGCCCAAGGUAAAGAUAUUCUUCCAAUUGAGGUGACUCACUCCUGCGGGUCGAAAAUCACCUCUUCAAUUGGCGCCGUCUGUGGGAACCGCAAAGAUAUUAGAAGAUGAAGCCUGCGCGUUCUAGAAGCAGAAAAGCUCUCACUAUCGAGGCUGGGCAAAGCAAUGCAGCUCAACAAGAAAAUAUUUCUGAAGGGCAGGAGUCCCCAAGGACUCAGCCCGCAAACGAAAAAGCCAUAACCCGUAUGGCCGAGUUUGUGACCGAGAACCCCAACAUCUUUGAAGAGUUGGGAAGAUACCUGAAGAGGCAAGGCAAACAAAAGGCCGAGUCCUCUAAAAGGAUGUCAGAUGGGUCUCUUGAGGACUCAUCUGAGGAGGAGUCGGAUGGAAGGCACUUAAGCCGAAGUGCCUCAAAGCGAGCAUUUUCUAAGGCCACUUCUAAGGUAGCCUCCCUGACCAAGGCGUUUUCCCGAGGGCUCUUGGGCCGACGACCCGAGGAAGAACCUCGGCCCUUGGGAAUACCCGGGGUGGACUGCAUGAGGGCUCCACCGUUCACGGAUGAUAUAAACGAGGAAAGGCUUCCUCCCAAUUUUAAGCUCCCCGCAGUACAAUCUUACGAUGGCCGAGGUGAUCCCGAGAAUCACAUCCAUACCUUCAUCUCGGCCUUCCAAAUAUACUGCAUCCCAGACCCUGUCAUAUGUCGGGCCUUUCCAGUAUUCCUCAGAGGAACUGCUCGAAAAUGGUUCUGAGCUCUAGAACCUAGGAGCAUUUCGACCCUGGGUGAAUUAGUGGAGAAGUUUCUCCACCGAUUUGUCUCCUCCCGACCUACGACUAGGACCUCGGCUUACCUGCUCACCGUGCAGCAGAACCCGGGAGAGUCACUCCGGUCGUACGUCCGGAGGUUCCAUGAGGAAAGCGUUCAGAUACCUGACCCCAAUGAGCAGGUAACCCUCGCUGCCUUUACCCAUGGACUCGUUGCCGGGGAGUUCAAUACGGGGAUCCAUAAAAAAUACCCCCGCACACUGCAUGAAUUGUGGUUGAAGGUUGAAAAGGGCAUACAGGCCGAAGACCUCCAUCGCAUGAAGAAAGAGGUCCAAGCCACCCGUCCAAGGGCUGAGCCCAGAAAGGGAAAAGACGCUGGCCGAACUGAAGUAGGGUCGGGAAGUGGCUUCCGAAGUCCUGGCCGAGACCGCCGCAGCGUGUUCGACAGGAUAUCCAAGGGGAAGUCACCUAUUCCCGAGUCCGAGUUGACUCCUUUAAAUACUACCCGAUCUCACGUGUUGUCCGUGAUGGAACAAAACAACCUCGGCAAGGGCCCGCCGAGGAUGUUUGGAAGCAGAGACAAGAGGAACUCGAACCUCUACUGCUUGUAUCAUCGUGACAUUGGUCACGAAACUGAGGAUUGCAACGAUCUCAAGAAGGAGAUCGAGAACCUCAUUAGACGGGGACACUUGAAACAGUUCAUCCGCAGAGGUGGAGGUCACCAACGUGACGAAAACCGGCAUGACAAAUGAGGUGACCAACGCCGAGAUGAGCGGCGGAGCUCCAGAAGCAGUUGCCGACCUCCUGAGGAUCCCAGGGAGACGAAAAGGCCUCCCCCAGACGGAUCUUCGGGACAUGGGCCAACCAUUGCCCGGGUCAUUAACACCAUUGCCGGAGGUCCGACGGGAGGGGACAGUCAGAACUCCCGGAAGAGAACCUAUAAGCAGGCUAACCCGGAUCAGGCCGAGUCGAGUUCUCGCCUGUCCGAGGUGAUCACCUACGGGCUCAGUGAUCCCAUCCCAGCUGCAUCCAGCAGUCAUGAAACCUUGGUGAUUGAAGUCCUCACCAAUAACUACAUUGUGAAAAGGUCUACAUAGACCCGGGAAGUUCAGUUGACGUCAUGUACCUCCGUACCUUUGAGAGCCUUAAAAUGGCUAAGGGGUGCAUGACCCCGCUGAGAACCCCUCUUGUAGGGUUCGGGGGACACGUGGUGCACCCCGAAGGGAUGGUGACUCUGACAGUGACCAUAGGGCAUCACUCUCGCUGUAGAACCGUCCCUGUCAAUUUUGUGGUGGUUAAGGCUGACUCCCCAUACAACCUACUUUUAGGUCGGCCUACGCUCAAUGCCUUGCGGGCGGUCUACUCCACCUACCACCUGAGCUUCAAGUUUCCUACCCCAGCAGGGGUGGCCGAGGUCAGCAGCGACGUCUGUGCUGUCCGGGAGUGCUACCUCGCCACCCUACAAGCAGCCUCCCCGUCUACCUCCGGUGCGAGGUCCGAGAAGAGGUCAAAUAUCCUCUCAAUAGAUAGCAUCGAUCCUCAGUGAGCUGAGAAGGUCCCGAGGCUGGAGACUGGGGAUGAGGUGGAAGAGAUUCCCCUGGACCCCACGAAACCUGAUCAGACAGUUCGCGUUGGUACCCGAUUGCCCGGUCCUAUCCGAAGAGGUAUGAUGGACCUCCUCAGGGAAUACCGGGACGUCUUUGCUUGGGCCGCCGAAGAGGUCCAAGGAGUCCCGCACCAUCUCAUGAUGCAUGACUGAACGUCGACCCCCAAGUCCGUCCGGUCAAACAGAAGAGAAGGCACAUCGGCCCUGAGCGCAGCCAAGCUGUUGGUGAGGAAGUGGACAAGCUUUUACCCGCUAAAAUAAUCCGAAAAGUCCAAUACCCGAUCUGGUUGUCUAACUCGGUCAUGGUCAAGAAGGAUACGGGGGCUUGGAGAAUGUGCGUCGAUUUUACCGACCUCAACAAAGCCUGCUCCAAGGAUUGCUACCCCUUGCCCAAAGUCGAUACUUUGGUAGACUCAGCAAUGGGCUACGAGAUCCUCUGUUUCUGGGAUGCAUUCAAAGGCUAUCACCAAAUUGGGAUGAGUCAAGAAAACCAGGAGAAAACGGCCUUCUACACCGACCGCGGCACGUACUGUUAUACUACCAUGCCAUUCGGGUUGAAGAAUGCCGGAGCCACUUAUCAACGCUUGGUCAACCAAGCAUUCAAGUCUCAAAUCGGCCGGAAUGUUGAGGCCUAUGUAGAUGACAUCCUCCUCAAAAGCCAGACGAACUCCACCUUCCUGGCCGACUUGAAGGAGGUCCUUGACAUCCUGCGGAAGGUGAAAAUGAUGCUGAACCCCAAGAAAUGUGUUUUUGGGGUCACCUCGGGGAAAUUUCUAGGUUACCUCGUCUCAAGGCGAGGUAUCGAAGCAAAUCCGGAUAAGGUGCGAGCCAUCCAGGAGAUGUCUCCACCCCGGUGCGUCCGCGAUGUCCAAAGGCUGACAGGGCGAUUAGCCGCCCUGAAUCGGUUCUUAUCGCAGUCGGCAGCUAAAGCACUGCCCUUUUUCAAAGUGUUGAAGAAAGCUGACCAUUUCUCCUGGACGGAAGAGUGUCAACAGGCGUUUGAGCAGUUGAAGGAUUACCUUCACUACCUUCCAACGCUCACCUCACCUCGUCCGGGGGACAAAUUAAUCUUAUACCUUUCUGCUGCGGCCGAAGCGGUGAGUGCCGUGCUGAUAAGGAAGGAAGGGGUCCAAAUGCCCGUCUACUACGUUAGCCGAGUCCUCCGAGGUCCAGAGACCAGGUACACACAAGCAGAGAAACUUGUGCUAGCCCUGAUCCACGCCGCCCGCAGACUCAAGCCCUACUUCCUAGCUCACCACGUCUGCUUGAGGACUGAUCAACCACUUCGGCAGAUUUUGACACGACCAGAGGUUUCGGGACGUCUUACCAAAUGGGCCAUUGAGCUGGGGGAGUACGACCUAACUUAUGAGCCUCGCACAGCGAUCAAGGCCCAGGCUCUCGCAGACUUCGUAGCCGAGCUCACCUUUGACGAGGUGCAAGGAUCCGUCCCGGCUGCCACAUCGGCCACAGUUGAUGUGGCCACCACUGGGCUCCAGCGGUGGAUCCUACACGUGGACGGUUCGUCAACAGUGAGGGUAGUGGAGCAGGCUUGCUCCUCGAAGACCCCCAAGGAGAAAUAUGCUAAUAUGCCUUAAGAUUUGACUUCGCUGCUUCAAACAAUGAAGCUGAAUACGAAGCCGUCAUUGCUGGACUGCAGCUAGCUCGCAAGCUCGGGGCCGCACACAUCUUGGUUUAUAGUGAUUCCCAACUCGUCGUGUGCCAGAUAUUAGGUGAGUACGAAGCCAGGGACGAGGUGAUGCAUCGUUACCUCUCCAAGGUCCUCCAGUUGGCGACUCACUUCGAGUCUUUUGAAAUUCAAAGAAUACCGCUAUCGAAAAACAGAAGGGCUGACGCCCUCUCCCGGCUUGCCUCAACCUCUUUCUCUGACCUGAACAAGACGGUUCUCGUUGAAGUUCUAGCCGAACCAGGAUAUGUAGCCGAGGUAGUAUACCCCGUCUACCCUGGGGACACCUGGAUGGGUCCCCUGACUCGAUUUUUCAGCCAGGGUGAGCUCCCCGAAGACCGAGCUGAGUCACGGAAGCUCCAACGAAAAGCAGCACGGUACAUUCUCCGACAAGGCCUUUUAUACAAAAGGUCUUACCUCGGCCCUUAGUUGCGAUGUAUCACGCCCGAGGAAGGCCAGAGAAUCCUCCAAGACAUACAUGAGGGGCUCUGUGGUGCUCACGUCGGCUACAGAAUGCUGGUAAAAAAGGCUUUGUUACUUGGGUAUUUUUGGCCCACUAUGAGGAUAGAUGCCCAGGUCAUGGUCCUUUGCUGCCCCUCCUGCCAGCAUCACGCUCCUGAGCACCACCAGCCGACCAAUUUAAUGAUCCCUAUCACCUCGUCAUGGCCAUUUGAGCAAUGGGGAACGGACAUAAUUGGCCCCUUUCCCAGAGCUCCAGGCAAUUAUACCUACGUGGUGGUAGCAGUGGACUACUUCACCAAAUGGGUCGAAGCUGAACCCCUAAAAAAUAUCACUGGUGCGGCAGUCCAGAAAUUCUUCUGGAAGAAUGUGGUUUGCCGCUUCGGCCUACCCCGGGUGAUCAUCUCGGAUAAUGGCCGACAGUUCGCCGAUAAUCCUUUCAAGGCCUGGUGUGAGAACCUCGGGGUCAAACAGCAUUUCACUUCGGUGGGACACCCCCAAGCCAACGGACAAGCCGAAAACUUCAAUCGCACGCUCCUCCAUGGCCUCAAGACCAGGCUCCACCAGGCUGGAUCGUUUUGGAUGGAAGAGCUCCCCAGUGUGCUGUGGUCCUACCGAACUACGCCGAGAUCAGCAACCCAGGAAACCCCGUUUUCCUUAACCUACGGGUCAGAAGCUGUUGUUCCAGCCGAAUUCAUCACCCCGAGUCCACGAAUGGCCGCAUAUGCUGCCGAAGUCAAUGAAGAAGAACGGCGAGUUGACCUCGACCUCGUCGAAGAGAAGCGUGAUAUGGCCGCGGCCAAAGUUGCUGUUUACAAAAAUAUCGUAGCUGGCUACUACAACGCUCGGGUUAAACAUUUGCGGUUCAGUCCGGGAGACCUGGUGCUCAGGAAGAACUCAGUCAGCCGGGCUGAACCUCAGGGUAAACUAACCCCCAAGUGGGAGGGACCAUACCGUGUUGUUGAGUCCAGCCAAAAUGGAUAUUGUAAAUUGGCAUACCGAGAUGGGUCUCUGAGUGCCCCGAACUUGGCAUGCUGAAAAUCUUAAGUUGUACUACCCUUGAGGGUAUGUGCUUUUAAUCUUGAGUUAUUUCACACUUAUUUUCAUUUCAUUAUAAGUGAAAAAUAAGGGGACAAAGUAGCAGUAAAGAGGAAAACCGAAUUUAAUUAAAAAGAAAGCAAGAAUAUGAACUCAAUUCCAUUGAAUUACAUAAAAGUAGAAAGCCGAGGUCACCUUUAAUUAGGAAGAAAGCAAGAAUAUAAACUCAAUUCCAUUGAAUUACAUAAAAGUAGAAAGCCGAGGUCACCUUUGACCUCGGCCUACAAUGACAAAAAAAAAAACAAGUGCCUCUAGGCACUCCCUACCCUGACAUCCUGGCCCCCCGUGGUCGCGCCACCCGUUUCGGCACCCUGUCCACCCUCAGCUCCUCCACCGGCCUGGUCGUCUUCAGUACCAUCUAGUUCAAACUCCUGGAGCCAUUUGUUGAAUUCGGCUCGGACUUCGGUUAGGUCUUUCUCAGUCCGGAUGCCCUCAGCCAUGCUGUCGCAUAGCUCCUUGGCAUCCUCGUUAUAGUGCGAAGUGCUCUGAAGGGACUCCAGUUGUUCAGAGGGAAGAAAGGAUGCCGCGUCAUUAAUAGCCGACGUGUACCCGAACAUGAAGCUUGGCCGGGUGAGCUCGCCGAGGUCACGGAUGAAGGACUCUGACGUCCGGAAGGCUUCCACAGCAGUGACCCCGGCCUUGUCCAUGGCCUCCCUGUUUGACUGUUCUUCUUGGGCCCUCCUUUUUUUCUCCUCAUCAAGAGCAGUCACCAGGGAAUUGUUCGCGACCUCGGCCCUUUUGUUAGCCGCCUUGGCCUUGUCACGCUCCAACUCGGUUGCCUUCAGUUUUUCUUCCAACUCGGCAAUUCUCUUCUGGAGCUCGGCAGGAGGCUCAUAGUUUUCCAUGAACUUUCCAUACCGUUGAAUCAUCUCGACAAAAAAAGCCGUGGUAGAGGCCCAUGACACCGAGGCGCUCUGCAUCAACUCCCCUGCGGAGAGCUUCCUAGCAUAAGUGCUAUCUCGUGGCAGCACUGAAUGCACCAAGAGCUCCUGAGCGACCAAAGGGUUCUUGCAGCGAUCGUUGAAAUUAAUCUCCCACUCUGGACACCAGUGUGAUCCGGGGUGUCUCUUGUCCUCCUCAGCUGCCUUGAAAGGCACAUGAUGGAGUUUGAACAAAGAUGACCCCGUGACGGGGUUCUCCGGAAAUAUGGUCACACCCUGACCCCGGGGGGGAGUGGCAAUCGUGACCCAGCGAGAAGGGAUUCCCACCGGAAUUGCCGAGGCUCGGGAACCUCCCGGAGUGGCCGAGGUGUGCGAGCCCUCGCCCACGAUCACCACGGCAGGCUCGCGGUCGCCCGACGCCGCGGUGGUUUUCUUAGCCGGCCUGGAAGAGGACCCUGCAGUGUCCUUGCGCUUUUUGGGAGCUCUUUUGACCACCUCGACAUCUCCCGAGGUUAUCAGGUCGAAAAUCUUCGUCACUGCAAAGUAGGAGACGAAGUCAGUUAGAAUUCAAGAGGGAUAAACUAAAAGGGAAGAAAUGGAAAAAUACAAAGUCUGUGAAGCCUAGUCGAGAGUAAGACAGGCUGGUCAGAGCUCGUCAAGGCUCAACUGAUCCCGCCUUCCACGAGCACCACUUCGGGAAAAUCCCAGCAGUUUAUCCUGAGGCCCGACCCCGUUAACUUCUGGAAGUUACGCUCUUCUAACUUCCCUGGAGAUAUCUCCUUGAUCGAGGUGGGAGGCCUCCACCAGAAUCCGCGAGGGAAGUCAUCGGCCGAGACGAAGAAGAAGUUUUGCUUCCACUCCUUUAUUGAGUUCGGAGCAUCAACCACCAACUUCGGAACUUUGUUUCCGAAGUAGAACCAUCCUUUUUCACUUCUGCUGUUCUUGAGUGAGUAACAGCGGCGAAAGAGGUUGACCUAAGGUUGUAUCUCCUGAUGUCGGCAAAGUAGCUGGAAGCCAACGAGAAUGCGAAUAGCGUUAGGGGUGAGUUGAGUGAUUCUCACCCCCCAGUACCUCAGGCAGUCCCGAAGAAACCUCGUCGUGGGCACUCUGAGUCCGGCCUCCAGCUGUUCCUGAUAGAUAGUCACCUUGCCCUUUGGUGGCAGUGCGGCUGACUGAUGCGGUUGGGGUAUGUAAAUACUAUAAUCCCUUCUCCAGGGAUACCUGCGGACCACCUCGGCUAUUGAGGCUUGUCCCAUACCACUACUGAAGAACGGCAUCUGGCCGUAGUCGAGAGUUGCCACGUUUGGAGGAGUGGAAGGUUCUUGUACUCCCUCGUCUCUAGGGAUCUCAAUCCCGAGGUCAUCGUUGUAUAGGACCUCGGGCUGGACCUCGAUCUCCUCGGGCUGCACCUCAACCGCCUCAGCUCGGCGUGAUGCCUCGGCACCUCCACCCUCAGCUUGGUGAGAUGCCUCAGCACCUCCGCCCUCGGACGCGGUCCUUUCCUGGGAGGGGUCAGGCCUCUCUGCCUCAGUGAGGUCAGGUCUCACUGUCUCUUUGUGCGUACGAGCUGUUCUAGCCAUUGUAUCAGAAGGGGAAGAAGUGAACUUACUUAGAAUCUGCGACUGGAAGAAGAUGCCGAAGUAGACGUGGUUUAGAAAGGUUGCCGAAGUGAAAAGAGAAAGAAACAGAGUUCUGGGGUGAUUCUUGAUUUUUGGUGAAGAGUAAAACGGUGAAAAAAGACCACUAUUUAUAGGCCACCAGGGUGAAACCCAAGAGACGGCACCCUCUCUCUUCAUUAAUGGGAGGACUGUUCGUCUGCCAACACAGCUGACAGCCGUCCCUUCAGUUAUCACUCAGUCCCAUCUAUGCGGUCAUGACGUGUCCGUGUUCCGUGUUUUAUACGCUUCUCAGCUUCGGGAAGUAACGACCACGGCGGAUGCCCAUCUCGCCCUUCUCAAAGCUUGGGGGGCUUAGUGAGGAGGGCCAUUUAGGCUCGGAGCGCCCGAGGCCUAGUUCCCCAUCAUUUCCUGAAGUGCCGCCUCGGGUAUUAUCCUGGAAGGCGAUCGCGGCCCAUUUACCACCUCGGCUACAAUGUCAAGUCGUAACACCGAGGUGGACAUUGAAUGACAACUACGAAAAGGGGAGAUGUGAUCUCUGACACCUGAGCAAAGGCUGCUCUGACCCGCCGCCUGAAUCUGACAGAAUGUCCCAUCACGUCUCUUCAUGGAGACCGGUCAAGUCCACCUGAUCCACUGACUAUCUCAGAUCUUUUGGGACCCGUGCAAACAUCUCCUCUCUCCUAUCGGUCCCCUAUAAAUACACAAUAUUUCUACUGAAAAAGGGGAUGACCAAUUUCUGGUAAAACACACUCCACUCAUUACUUACUUCUCUAUAUCCGAACUGACUUAAGUUUCGGAGUUAUACCGGGGGAUCCAGCCCCUUUUCUUAUUCAAGCAGGUGACUUCGUCCAAGAGAGUUGCCCAAGGUAAAGAUAUUCUUCGAAUUGAGGUGACUCACUCCUGCGGGUCGAAAAUCACCUCUUCAAAUGGUAGAAAGUUUUCUUAAGAACCAAGAACAGCAUUAGUAUUCCCUCUGCUUCCAAAAACUUGUGUAUUAAAUAGAUUAAUGAAUUGUUUAACAUGCUCAUCUACUUGAAAAUGCACAAUACCCAUAACCCACUGAAAUUUUUGCAGGAAAAGGGAAAGAGAAUCUGUGUUUGAGAGCUUCAUGAAGAUGUUGAAGAAUAAGAAUAAAAGCCCAAUGCGAGGAUGUUUUCAAGUUUUUCUAUGUCCACUUUAAUUUGUAAAUUGAAUUUUACAACUCAAUUAAUUCCUUGUUUGUGAGGUACGUAUUGUUUUACGUACCAUGCCGUACAUGUUUGUAAGGAUUUCUAUCCUAUUGGCAAAAGUCGGUUCCAUACAAUUAAUCAAUUCAUUUCACUUCUAUUGGCUCUACUAUUUAUGCAUGUUACGACACUCUUUCCCUUAUAUUUUGCCUUUAAUAUUAUGAGUCAAUAGUAAUAAUGGGCCUUUUUCUUAAAAUUAUACUAUUAUACAUAGGUAGUUUGGUCUAACGCUAAAUUCAUGUUUGUCUUUCUUUUAUUCCCUUUACAUCUCAAAGUAUACUAUAGUUUGUAAUCAUUGUGGUGAUGAUAUUACCAGCUGGUACUUAUAGUUUAAGGCAGAGACAUGAUAUUAACAACUAUCUCAUUGAAACAUAAGUCAAAAUCAUGACAAGUGUGAGUCUUGGUUAAUGCACAAUUUGUUAGUGGAAUUUAUAUUUAUAAAACUCAAAAAAAAUUUUUGACAAUGCUAUUACUAAUUAAUUAAGGACUUCAUUGCUAUAAUUUAUCGCUUACUAGUUUAAACUAUAAAUGAUCUCAAUACUUUUCUCCAUGAUGUCGAUUUCUUUAGACUACGAAAGGGAAAAAUUAGUGACAUAUCCCUUACUGAUUACAACAUCAGCAAAAAUUAGUUAUAAACUUUUCCGGUGGUUUUAAAUCCCUCGGGCACUAAGGUUUUUUGCACAUCGAGUGAAUUAAGGAACAUAGGCAAUUCGUUCUGCAUACCAAGUCCUUGUUUAAGAUGCACGUACUAAAAUGCAUCCACUUCAUUAAUUUGGAAAAUUGCCAUAGUUUUUUUUAAGCAUUUUGAUUUUUUACAUGAUUCAAAAUUUUCUUAUUGGAUACAAUCACUUUGUGUCAAGAACACAUUUUCAAUCAUCUUUUUUAUCUUCUCAAUAAGAAAAUAAAAAUUUAUUCAUGCUUUUCUAACAUAUCCAAUCAUUGAUCUGAAAAAUAAAGAAUUAAAAAAAAAAGACAUUUUCAAUCAUUGCUUACAGGGCAACUUCCCCAUGUGAACCUCUUCAAACAAAGCCAAUAAUAUGAAGGAACAUCUAAAUACACUUUUGCCCUAAAGGCUGGUUGCCUUGGGGUCAAAAUUUAACCUUCGGGAGUAUAAUUACCCGCCAAAUUUAUUAUUUUUUAUGGGUAUAUAGUUCCAAUUUUGCCUCCUGUUAAGCUUAUAAAUAUAUUACGACCCAGAAAAUAAAGGAAUCUUGAAUAGUAACAUGUCCAUUGACUUGAGUUGUCAUCAAUUUGGCUACUUCGAUUCCAUGAGGCCAAUCCAAUUCACACUAGCUAGAGAAAAUGGUGAUAAAGGCACUUAGAAAUUUAUAUGUAAUAUUGAUUGGUAGUAACUGAUAAGUAUAUAUUUUACGUGUUUUAAAUAUGUUUUAUUAGUUAGUUUUGGUGUGUUUUAACUACUUUUAUAACUAAUUAACUAGGAAUCUAGUGAAAAUAUGCAUUUUGUGGUUUGAAGUGUGAAAAUUGUAUUUCUAUGGAUUUUAAUGGUGAAAACUUCAUGUUUUUGUAGGUUUAAUGAUUCAAUCAUCAAAUGACAUGAUUUGAGAAGAUAAUUAGAUGAUUGAUGAUGUUUUGAAGUGAUAAAAAGAGAAUACAAAGUGCAAGAGAGGAAAUGCAAUCAAGAAUAAAAGAAGAAAAUUUUUGUAGCUUUGACAUAUUGUGGUAUUUUGGCAAUAUAUUGAGCUACAAUGAUUGGAUUAAGGUGAUUCUUAAACCAUUUGAAGCUAAGAUAUAGAUCUACAUUUGGUAUGAAGGCAUCGAAACCCAUGUCAGUCAUUUUCCUUGUCAAAAUGUUGAAAUACAGAAGUGCAACUCUGUUCUCGAAAGCUAAAACAGAGCUCUGGCUAGUCGAGGGUAUUUUCAUCAUUUCUUAGUCCACAGAGCUCCAAAUGAGAUGAUUCUUAAGGCAUUAGAACCCUAACUCAAAGAGCUACAACUUUCAUAUUUUGUACAAGAGUUAGUUCGGCCUCCAUCAUUCAGAAAAUAGUAGUUGAAGUGGUGCCAAAUGCAUAGAAGUGAAAACGCGAGCUAUCAAUACUCGACCUGAAGUCGCGUAUUCCUGAGGUCAUGCAUUCUCUUCUAUUUUCUGCAACUUGCCCUGCUUUCACAUAAUUUUUUCAUCUCAAUUCCAACUAUCAAUUUCGGCUAUAUCUGAUCAAGAAAAGUGUGGAAAGUUUGAAAGACAACUCAUAGGAGUUUCAAGAGUCAAAAAUUACAAUUAGAAACAACUCAUUUGGCUCUUGAAUCCUCUAUAAAUAGAGGCCUUUGAAGAACAUUUUCACAACUUUGGAAGGUUAGAGAAACUCCACAAAAACAUAGUCUUCACUAGAAUUUCCUUAGUUCAUUAGUUAGGGUAGUAUAGUAUAGUUAGUGUAGCUUUUCCUUCUUGUAUUUAUAGUUAGGUUUGAAUGAAGAUUCAGGAGCAAAGAUAGAGAGGUUGAUCUCAUGUGACAAGGGUGAUAUCUCUUCUACUACUUUCUCUUUUGUAUUUGAUUUCAUAUUUAACUAUACUACAAAUUUGGCUUUGUUUUUUUUUUUUAUCAUGUUUAGUUAAAGUUUAUGCCUAGAGUAUGGAUGACCUUUCUAUAUCUUGUUUGUGAUAUUUAACUGGUUAUUUGAUGAUGUUAUUUUUGAGCAAGUUAUUUAUCACUUUUGCUUUUCUAAUCGUGAUUAACUGGCCAUUAGUUGUGAUUAUCUAAAAGUGUUAAGUUUGUAAUGAGAAUUGGAGUUUAACACUAGUUCAAGGAAGUGAUAAAUUUAGGGAGUUCACUCAUGAGAGUAGAGGAACACCUUUGUGACCUAAGUGACUUGUUUCAUAUAAUUUCAUAGAAAAAAUGAACUUGUAAUUAAUUUCAUAACCACGAGAGUAAGUAUGGUUUAGCUAUAUGUAUAGUUGAUUCACUACGAGAGUAGGUUUCACAUACAUUAGAAAAUUACAUCAUAACUAGUCAAGAUAAUAUCAUUCAUUUAAUCAGUAAUCUCAUUUGCAUGAGUAGUAAGGCAUUCCAUAUCUCUAGGAGGUUUUUAGUAUUAUUUUCAUUACUUUUAUGUUUAUGGUAGUCUAGAUAAUAAUGGAGUUCAAAAACUACUAGUAAUUGAAAAUUUUCCCUGUGGGAUCGACCUUUAAUACCCUAUACUCGCUCUCGACUCGUAUACUUGCGAAAAAUCACGUGUGCGGUAUUUAGAAUUUAUAAAUGUAAAACUUGACUGUAGAUGAACUAAUUGAUAUAUGUAUACCCCGCACUCGUCAGUAACCAGCUUGUAUUGAUCCCAUUAUUGUGGAUAAUUGUGCUCUUAUGAAAAAAAAUUAUAAAAAAAUUAGCAAAAUUUAUGAUAACAAAUUAAAUUUAUUCAUACAAAUCAGUGAAAGAAGUAGAAUUUUAAAGACCAUGAUGAAAUUAAUACUUUCAAGGGCUCUAUUAGGAAGACUUCACUUGUUGGUGAAACUACACUAGCACAGUUAUAUGCACAUUUACUGUUUUGGUAUCUAAUUUCCUUGCCUUAAGUUGGGUGCAGAUGUUUAUAUUACAAAUAGAUGGUAUCAUAAAAUUGUUGUAUUCACGUUUGUUCUUUUUUUUUCUUCCUUAAGUUUUUUUCUUUAUUCUCGUGACUUCAAAAAUACGAACUCAAGAAAUUGGCUGCUUAAUCAAUAUGUCAUACAGGCUUCGCUAGUGAGGUAUAACUUCACAACUAGAGUCAAUAGAAAUUAUCAAAUGAUUUUUUAACAUCCAAAUUAAGCAAUAAAUUUUGUUUUCAUUUUAUGACAUAUAAUAGUACUACUUCAUGAGAGAUUUUAUAGUUUCUUUUAGGUAUCAUACCUACAAGUGAUAUUUGUCAUUGGAUAGUGACAGAAGUGUUAAUGAUUGUAAGAUUAAAUAUUGUUAAAUAUUGAAAUUUAAACUAUUUAUCUUUAUUGAAAGAUACAAGUUAAAGAAUCGUUCAAGGGGGCAAUUUUCCAUCUUGUCUUUUUGAAAAAACGCUAUCACAUUGUAUAGGCAUGAUAGGUUCAAAUUUGUCAUUAAAUUUAUGAUUGAUUUCCCUUUUAUUCAAGCCAAAUAUUGUUUUAAUUAUCAAAUUCUACUUAUAUUUGGUUAAUUGUACUAAUUGUAGGGCGGUAGAGCAAAAGUUGCUAAAAAUAGGUGAUUUUCUGCAAAUUGGUUGUCAAGGCUGAAGGAUUUGGGAUUCGCAUGUUCAAGGCCUGUUUCCAAGUUUGAUUCAAACUCUGGACAGUUUUAGAGGAAGAUUUGGAAGAUUUGAAAUUUCAUUAUUAGUUUUAUGGUUGAAUUAGGAAUCUUGGAAUAAUUUCUUUUGUGAUUUAUUUUUCUAUUUAGGAGACUAGUUGUUAUUUAGUAGUAGACUUCAAUUAGAAAACAAAGAGAAAAAGAAGGCCGGAAUCCCGCUUGAUUAAUACCUUGGCCAGGGAACAAUCUCGGUGGGGAGGACGGCCACUUAGCCUCUCAAUUCAUCUUGCUUUUCGUUAGUUUGAGAGGAAAACCAAUUGCAACUAGAUUCAAUGGAGUCUGGCAGAAUUUCUUCUAGGAUGCGUAGCUAAAUCCUCAAUUUUUAGUCGAAGGUCAAUUUGAAAAUUCGGUUCCAAAUAUCUGUGAAAUCGAAUUAUUUUACUUAUUUCUUUUAUUUAUUGGUAUUCGCACGUUUUCUGAUUUAACUUUUUAUGAUUGUUUUGUUAUUUGAAUGUCAAGGGUCCGAUAUUCGAAUUAACUUAAUAAUCUACUGCCAAAUUAACCGGUUAAAUCCGUAAUUGUUUGAUUGAUUAAUAUCAGUGGCGACUAGCGUGAUUGGUCCCAUGUUAGGAAAACGUCUGAUCUAAUUUAAACAAACCGUCGUAGCGUGUUUGUUGAUUAGGGUUGGACUUUUCUAAUUCUUAAUUCAAUUGAGAAAUUAAAUCUCCCGGUCGUACCUAAGAUUAUUUUUUUGUUAGCGAAAUAGUUAAUGGUCGUACCUUGACUAUCGAAAAAGUAAGGAAGAGUUGAUUGUUUAUCGCGUGUACGACAACUAUAAUCAAUCUAUUAAUGAGUAAUUGAAUUAUCUUUGCAUCAGUAAUCAGUUGAAUGGACCGUGUCUGAAAAGUUGUACCUUUGGCUAGAGUCUUAUCUGUUGUUGAUUCAUUCAUAUCUAUCUUCAUGCGUUGUUUUAAUUUAGUUAAUUAGUUAUUUUUAUAAAAACCCCUCAUCUCUGGACUCUAAAAGAAAUAAAUUAUUUCUAGUUCCUGUGGAUUCGAUCCUACUCACCGCUAUAUACAAAAUUUGUAUUUUUUUGAAUAAAUAAUUAUUAUUACACAGGCUUGACACCUGUCAAGGCAAAAUUUCCUUAACUUCAUCAUCUGUAGACGUAAACUUUCUACGGGUGAUAUAAUAUAAGGAAAUUUUGCCUAUACGAUGUGAUAGCAUUUUUUCAAAAAAGACAAGAUGGAAAAUUGCUCCCUUGAACGGAAAAAAUCAUGAUCUUUCCUCAAACUAGUCUACUAGUCAAUUCUUUACAAAAGAAUACUCGCUCCUAAACAUAGCCUGUUCAUCUACACUGUCCCGCAGAAUUCUAGAAAGUUAGGCAAAACUAGACAAGUUGACAGGUAUAAUCAUACCCAAGAUCAGGAACAAGCAGUUGCACAUUUCAAAAUUCGCUGCUGCAACAGCUAAUUUGAUGACUUACAACACUACACGGUCAAACUUUGAAUGGCAAUGGAUCUUUUGUUGUACGUCAUGAUGUAAUUUUCAUGUUACAUACAUUAAUAGGUUGAUAUCUAUAUUCUUUAAAUUAUCAUGAUAAUACCCUUAAUUAGAUUUAACUGAUAAAAAGAACACGUGUUAAUAUACAAAAGUGUGUAACGUGAAUGUUACAUUACUGUAUUGCAGAAGACCUAUAGUCUCUUCAUAUCUCUUCCUGCACGUAUCAAUUCGUUUCCUCUAGAUAAUAAUCUCCCAACUCGUUUCUUUACAAAUGCACCUUUUAUGUUUUAUUACCUCCAAAAGCCUUUACAGGGUCUUUACCCUAAAAAUCAAUUCACCGACUCGCAUUUGAUGUCAGAAAUUCUUAAGACGAAUUCUACUUUACUCAAAGAUUGACUGUUAAUAAUGAGACAGCGACCAUUUUGUAUUAUUAGACCGUCCUUCUUGAUAGGUAAAAGAAAUAGAGAGGAAAGUGGGUCCGUAUAUGGUCUUUUAUUCAUAGAUAAUACAACAUUACGCCAUCGAGCAUUCACACAAUAUUUCAAAGUCAUAGCAUGCCUAAGGCCCUGUUUGAUAGCUCAAUUUCGUAAUUAAAUUUAAUAGAUUCAAAUUUUAACACAUUUAAAUCAUUUGAUAACAAAAAAUUGAAUAUUUAAAUUAAUUAAGUAACACUGAACUUUCUAAACAAAACUUGCUUUCAAAAUUAAGUGAUAAGUUAUUCACUUAUCUUUGAAUGUGAUAUGCACUCAAAUAUAUUAAAUUUAAUAAUUUAAUGGAUUCAGAUUUCAGAUUUCAGUUUUAUUACACACCCUAAGUUGCAAAAUAAUACCAAAACUUGUUAUUAUAUAGCUUGAGAUUCAAAAAUUUAGAGCAUAAUUCUCAACCUAACACAAUCGAAUAAUGAAUAUUCACGAUUGUUUCAAAGUACAAUUUGAGGACAACCCAUUCCAACGCGUACACGAUUUUUAACUUUUCUAAAGUUGUUGAGAGCUGUUAAAAGAGAUUUACCAUGUUUACAUCUUCCAAGUCUUGGAAGUGAAAAAUGAAGCCACUGAGUGCUAUAAAAAGGGGGCUAGAGGCUGCCUAGAAGCAUAUCAGCCUAAAACAAGAAUUUGUAGUAACAAUGGGGAGCAAAGCAAAAGCAACGGGGUCUAGGCUGACUCCUCUUCUUACCACUGUUUUAGUGGUAUUUGUCGCCCUUGGCUUGCCCUUGGAAACUGCAGCUGAUUAUUACAAGUAUUCAUCUCCUCCUCCUCCUCCUUACCACUAUUCUUCACCACCACCUCCAGUGUAUUCACCUCCACCAACCCCUGCUUAUAAGUUACCCCCACCAUCUCCUCCAGUUUACAAGUCCUCACCACCACCUUACCACUACUCACCACCUCCGGUGUAUUUACCUCCACCAUCUCCAGUUUACAAGUCACCACCACUACCCCCUCCGGUAUACAACUCCCCGCCUCCACCAGUGUACAAAUACAAGUCCCCACCACCACCUCCUCCAGUUUACAAAUCUCCAUCGCCACCAGUUUACAAAUACAAGUCACUCCCACCACCUCCUCCGGUAUACAAGUCUCCUCCGCCACCUGUUUACGAGUACAAGUCUCCUCCACCACCUCCUCCAGUGUACAAGUCCCCACCACCUCCAGUUUACAAGUACAACUCACCUCCACCUCCUCCCCCAGUUUACCUGUCUCCACCUCCACCCUAUCAUCACUACUACGGUUCUCCUUCUCCUCACCACUACUAAGCAAGUGCAUAAGUUUUGAGGUAAUAAUACCUAUCCAAAACUUUAUCAACACAAACUGCCAUGUAUAUUAUCAUGCUAAGGACGUACACUUGAUCCAUGAAAAUGACUAGUAGAAGAUUUUUUUUAAGAACCAAAGAAAUACAUUAUUUUUUCGGUCUGUUUUCAAGAAUUUGAGCAGUAUACAGAUUAAAGAGUGUUUUUUUUUUUGUAAACUUGCUUGUCAACUUAAAAAUGCACAUAGCUGAAAGCCAACUGAAUAUUUGCAGGCAAAGGAGAAGGCAAUCGGUGUUUGAGACCUUCAAGAAGAUGUAGAAGAAUAAGAAUAAAAGCCCAAUGCGAGGAUGAUUCCAAGUUUCUACGUUACCAUUUCUACAUCUAAAUUGACUUUAGCUCCUGAGUUCCAUGUUUAUGGGGUUUGUACCGUUUUACGUACCAUGCAGUACAUGCUUGCAAGGUUUUCUGUCCUGUUGGCAAACUGCAGGUCCAUAUAAUAAAUGAAUACUAUUUACAUUACGACACUUUUCUCUUUUUCUCUUAUAUUUUGUCUUUAAUAUUGUUGAUCAUUUUUUUUUUAUCAAAAGCAUCAAAUGCUUAGGUAAUUUGGUCUAAUGCUAAUUGUUUUACUUUUAUUUUUCACCUACACCCCUUUUCAACUCAAAGGAUGCUAUAGUUUGUGAUAAUUGUUUAAGACCGAAGCAUGAUACUAAUAAAUAUCUCAUUGAAAGUCAAGGAAACUAACAUUAGGAAAAGUUUAAAUCUUGAUUUGAUGAAACUAUUUAUUCGUGGAAUUUAGAGAUACAAAACUCAAAUUGUGACGGUGUUGUUGCUAAAUUAUUAAGGACAUUAUCACCAUUAUUUUUCCCUGAUCACUAGUUUCAACUGCAAUGAUCUCAAUCUUUUUGUGACUAAUUCUUUCCUUAAUAAUUUAUAAAGACAAAACUCACAAAGAAUAUGUGACUAAUUCUUUCCUUUCGUCUUCUAAAGAAAAUGCCAACUGUUAGUUUAUCAAGGGGAAAAAGGAUCGACAUCAGUUAUUAUUGAAACUAGUAAGGAAUAAAUAAUGGUGAUAAUGUCCUUAAUAAUUUAACAACAGCACCAUCAGAAUUUGACUUUGAGCUUCGGUCUUAAACAAUGAUCACAAACUACAGCAUCCUUUGAGUUGAAAAAGGAAGUAGGUGAAAAGAAAAGUAAAAAAUACAAUUAGCAUUCCCUCAAAUUGUAGAAAGUUAGGUAGCAUUAUAGACAAGUUGAUAGCGGCAAUUUUACAUUUCAAACUUCACCUAUUCAAUAACUAAUUCGAUGGCUUGCUACAUGGUCAAUCUUUGGACCCCUUCCUGCCUCCAGAUAUCCCUUUCCUCAAUCAGGGGCUUCUACAAUUACCAGUUUCAAUUGUAUGGUAUAGUGUAAAUAUCAACAAAUUAGAUGUAGAUGCUAACAUAAUAAAUGUGAAUGCUAAGACAGCAACAUACAAUCGAACCUGCAAUUGUAUGAACCCCAAUCUCGCUUCCUAGUCCACCAUCUUUCUCUAGGUAAUAAUCUCCCUUCUAAUUUAUUCACAAAAUGCACCUUUCAUCACCUCCAAUAGCGUCGACAUGAUCUUUACCCUAGAAGACUAUUCACCGACUCUCAAUUGACGUCAGAAAAUCUAAGAGUAAUUCUACUUUACCCUAAGAUUGAUAUCAACAAGACAAGGACAAUUUAGAAUUAUUACACGCCUCUUCUUAAUAGGAAAAAGAAAUAGAGAAGAAAGUCAGGCCAGGUCUAAUUUCUUUUCAAAGGCAAUACAACAUUACGAAAUCAAGCAUUCAUUCAUACAAAUAUUUCAUAGUCACCGGUUUGCUGAGUAGAAAAAUUUAGACAAAAACUUAAUAUUAUAUUGUUUAAGAGUUAACAAUUUAGAGCUUAAUCUCCUUGUACUUUGGAGUUAACAAUUUAGAGCUUAAUCUCCUUGUACUUUGGACUAAACUUGAACGUGAAAGGAAAUCCCAAAACCAUAUUGGGCAUGAAUUCACACUUAAUAUACCCAAUAAAAGAUGGCGACUGGUGAAAGGCAGUGGAGACUGGUGGAGAGAUUUGAGGAAUAGAAGCAGACGGAAAAGCAACAAAUUUUUGCCGAAAAACGGUCACUUUCAUGGUUAAUUUUGCUACUCUCCAAUUGUACUUGACCAAUUACAACAAUUUCAUGGAGUUUGAUACGUGAAAAGAAUUUUUUAUAAAUUUUAUUUUGAUCCAUAAUGUUAUCUUUACAUAUAUAAAACAUUUUACAAUUUUGAUUUUGGCGCAGCUAACUUUUGGUUAACAAAAAUGCUCAUGUUUAAAAAACCAGAAAUAAAACAAAACAAGAAACAAAAGAAAUAAGAGGGUAGCAUAGACAUUUUGGAUUUUUCCGUUAAUUUGGAUGAUUUCCACCCACGUUCUAAUUUAAUCCAAAACACAAAGGAAUUACGUAGAGGUUUUAAAUAAUGAGGGAGCUUCAUGAUCGAACCCCAAACCACAAGGCGAUUUACUAUAUUUUACUCUUAAAUUUUGGUUUCAUCUCAUAGCAUACAAGAGUUCUAUUUCACUAUCUGUAGACAAAGACUUUCUAUGGUUGAUGUACCAUAGGAAAAAAUCUGCCUAUACAACGUGAUAGCAUUUUUUCAAAAACACAAGAUGGAAAAUUGCCCCUUAAACGGGGAAAUUCAUGAUCUUUCGUCGAACAAAGAAUACUCACGCCUAUUCAAGAUGGAAAAUUGCCCCCUUAAACGUCUAUUUGUCAAUUCUUGAAAAAAGAAUACUCACGCCUAAAACACGGCCUCUUCAUCUGCAGAAUUCUAAAAAGUUAGGUAAACUCUAUAAACAAGUUGAUAGGUACAAUCGUACCCAAGAUCAAGUACAGAUAGUUGUACAUUAACUGCUGCAAUAACUAAUCUGAUGACUUAUAAACAUAUCAUGGUCAAUCGUUGAAUGGUAAUGAGUCUUUUGUUAUGCAUUAGUAUUAGUGUGUACACUCUAAUAGAUUGAUACUUAUACUCUUUAAAUUAUCAUAAUAAUACCCUUAAUUAACUUUAACUCUUAAAAAGAAUACAUGUUAAUACACGAGUGUGUGUAACCUGAAUUGUUACUUAUAAAUUAGUGUGUAAUAGAUAGGGAUGGCAAUGGGGGCGGGUGCCCGCGGGGGGCUCUCGGGGCGGGGGUUGGGGCGGGGGGGAAUUUUUUCCCCCCGUUUAGAAAUGGGGCAGGGGACGGGGGAGUAUACCCCCGCCCCAUCCCCCGCAAAAAAAAAAUUAUAUAUAAUAUGUAAUUUAAUUAGUUAUAAACUUAUGAUAAUGAUAUUAUUAGUUAGAUGUAUUAUAUAAUGUAUAUUAGUGUAUGUAAUAUAAUUAAUAUUAUCAAUUAUAUGAAUAAUUAGACAUGUCUACUAAUAGAAUUUAUGAAUUAGUUAUACUAAAUUUACUAAUACAUUUAUACUAAAUUUCUAAUUACACUUAAUAGAAUAACACUUUUUUCUAAAACAAAAAAGCACAAACACAAUAAUGAAUUAGUGAUUGUAUGAUAGGGUGUAAUUUUACUAUUUAUUUUAUUAUUAAUUUCCCCUAUCACCUGACCUGAUGUGGAUUAAUUGCUGGAUUCUGCUCACUUUUAGUACUUUGUAUUUAUUUCAGGGAGUAGAACGGAAAUUUGAUAACAGGUGCUAAUUUGGCAGAAAAAGAGUCCAGAUGAUAGAGCUUGCCCCAAGGGCAUUUUUGGAAAGGAGAACUUGUGCCCAUCUUGGUAAUUUGGGAGAAAAGGGAAACAGACAAAAUGGGUCUAACAUGGAUUGGAAGCGGCCGCACAGUAGCAGGGAAGAGGGCAGACGUAAAAGCAAUUGCAGGGGGGAAAAGGAGUUUUUUUAGUUUUUAGCUUAGCAUCUGAUUUUCCCUGGGAGACUUUUGUUAAAGAUUUCCUUUUGGCUGAUAUUACGCAUGGCAGAUGGCUUUUAACUUAUUCCUCCAUCUUUGACUUUUCUUCUUUAGCUUGUGGCAGUGGAUUGCUACUUACGAAUGUCAGCACUUAGCCAUUCGUGGCUUUUGAUCUUUUCUUCCUUAGAAAUUCUGAGUAACCUCUUUUCCUUUGUGCGCCAGACGAAGUGAAAACUAUAAACUUUUGUAGUUUUUCUAUUCAUUCAAUAUAUUGAGACGAGUUGGAUUCUACCAAAUUUCAACGGACAUGGCCGCUGGUUUCUCUUCAAUUUUAUAUGGGCUUUGUUCAUCCAACAUGAACUAAUUUCACCACUCUAGUCAAGGAGCAACGAAGGCUCUGAUUUGCCUAAAAAUUGUGAGAUCGUUUUAAUUUAAUCUUUUCCUUUUAUUUAUUGGUAUCCGCACAUUUCUUGAUUGCUAUGCUUAUGGUUAUUUAAUUAAUUGAUUGUCUUGGAUCCAGAUAAUUAAUUGAUCUGAUAGCCUAUUGUCAAUUAGGGCAUUUAAAUCCGUAAUUGUUUAAUUGUCCUGAAAUAGUGACAACUGGCACGAUUAGAUUCGUGCCAGGGGGGAUAUGCGGGCUAAUCUAAAAUAACCCUGGUAGUGUGUUAUUUGGUUAGAAUAGGGCUCCUCUAAUACUAAGGCAAUUGGGGAAUUAAAUUCUACGGGCGUACCUAGGAUUAUUUCUUAAUUAGAGCAGUGAUUAACGGGCGUACCUUGAUCACCGACACAGUAAGGAGGGGUUGACCGUCAUCGCUUGUUUGGCAGUUAUAACCUAUUUAUCAGUAAAUAAUUGGGAUUGCCUUGCAUCAAUGAUCAAUUAGGUGAACCAUUGUUGAAGUUACUUCUUGGUUAGAUCUUUAGUUAAUAUUACCUUGAUUUUGGUGAAUUGCCAUUUGAUUUUUAGUUGCCUACUUUAUUUUAUUUUUAAUUGUUUCCUUGCUUUAAUUGAGUUAGGCCUUUAAUUAUUGUUAUUCUAAGUUUAGUGAAUUGUGGUUUAAUUCCUAAUUAGUUAUUUAUUUUUACUUUCUUAUUUGAAUUUAUUUGCUUGUUAUCAUUCCUACGAAAUCACCCCCCUGUGUUACUUUGGAUUUCUUAAGAAACAAAUAUACCCAAUCCCUGUGGAUACGACCCUACUUGCUCUGUUCACGAAUUCAUAAUUAUUUGUGAAAAGAAAUAACCAUUCCACUCGGGUAUAUCGGAUCAAGCAAAUUCUUCGGGAACAGGGUGAAUCAAGUAACCCAAUGCACACCUAGAGUCCCUGCUCCAGUACUUGGAAUUGGGUUUUGGUCAUUUUAACUGGCAAUUAGGUUUAAUUUUAUUAUUGCACAGGCUGACGACCCUGUCAAUUUUUGGCGCCGUUGCCGGGGACUGGCGUUAUUAUUUGUUUCUUUUUAAAUUCAUUCUUUGUCCUAAUUUUCUGGUUUUCUUCUAGUGUAUGCCUCGAUCUUCUCGUACAGGUAAUUUGAUUUUUGACCCUGAGGUAGAGAAGACCGCAUGUAGAACGAGAAAGGAAACCAGACAGCUCAGAGAAGAGCACUCCAGUGCUACAUCUCAGAGACCCGAGUCAGAAGUUGAACUAACAGAUUCGUUUGGUAACACUUCGAGUGACUCUGACCAGGAGGAAGACACCAUGGCUAAUGCACGAACAUUAAGGGAGUUGGCUGCUCCUGAUUUAACUCAGCAGCCUUUAUGCAUUACUUUCCCCACUUUAAAUGAUAACAUUCCAUUUGAACUAAAAUCUGGUCUGAUUCAGCUUUUACCCUCUUUUCAUGGUUUACCAGGUGAAGAGCCGUAUAAGCAUCUGCAGGAGUUUGAUGUCGUGUGUAAUAGUAUGAAACCCUCGGGAAUCACAGAAGAGCAGAUAAAAAUGAGGGCAUUCCUCUUCUCCUUGAAAGAUUCUGCGAAGGACUGGCUGUACUACCUGUCACCAGGUAGCAUCACCACGUGGGACCAAUUGAAGAAAAAAUUUUUGGAUAAAUAUUUUCCUGCGUCCAGGGCUGCAAGUCUAAGGAAAGAAAUUUGUGGGAUCAAGCAGCAUCCAGGGAAGUCACUUUAUGAGUAUUGGGAACGGUAUAAGAACUUGUUGCGCAGGUGCCCCCAACACCAAAUAAGUGAGCAAUUGAUCAUACAGUAUUUUUAUGAGGGGCUCCUUUUUAGAGACAGGAGCAUCAUUGAUGCCAGGGGGGAGGGUUGGGAUGGGUGGUACGGGGGGAGGGAGUGUAAGCAAGAGGUCUCGGGUUCGAGUCCUCCCGCUUACACACAAAAAAAAAGAUGCUGCAAGUGGAGGGGCACUGGUAAACAAAACCCCUCAGGAAGCACGGGAGUUAAUAGAGGGGAUGGCAGAGAAUUCACAACAAUUCAGUACAAGAGAGGAUGUCCCAAUACGUAAGGUGAAUGAGGUAGAGACACCCUCUAUGCAGCAGCAGCUAACUGAGUUGACCGCGUUUGUUAGGCAACUGGCUGUGAGAAAUGCAUCACAAGCCAGGGUGUGCGGGAUUUGCACUGGUAUGGGUCAUUCUGCAGACAUGUGCCCAAUGAUUCAGGAAGAAACUGCAGAACAGGUGAACAUGGCUGACCACGCGCCCGCGCCAAGGAAGCAGUACGACCCUUACUCAAGCACCUACAACCCCGGGUGGAGAGAUCAUCCCAACCUCAGUUAUGGAGAAAAUAGGCAGCCCAACAUUACACCGAACAGGCAGUCUAACUUUGUGCCAAAUAGGCCACCAGGGUACCAGCAGCAAUAUCAACCCCGACCACCUCCGUCCCCAAGCUCUGGCCCAUCUUUGGAGGAGAUGAUGAAACAAAUGAUGACAACUAUGGCUCAAAAUCAGCAAAUGACGGAGGCAACCAUUAUGCAAAAUCAGCAAAGGACGGACUCCGAAAUGAAGGAUAUAAGGAAUCAGAUAAGUCAAAUGGUCACAACAAUCAACCGUUUGGAUUCCCAGAACCAAGGUAAAUUGCCAUUUCAGCCCGAAUUAAAUUCGAAGAACGUGAGCGCAAUGACCCUAAGGAGCGGGAAAGAAAUUCAGGGGUCUGAACCUGUGAUCCCUAAGGAUAAGGAUGAGGAAAAGAUCGAAAAUGAGCUUGAAAGGGAGGACAGCAAUGGUGCAGAUCUAAAGGUACUUCCUGACCCAAUAAUUACAGCUAAAACUAACCCGCCUCCUUUUCCUAGCAGGUUGGAAAAAUCGAAAAAAGAGGAUAAGGAGAAGGAGAUCUUGGAGGUUUUUCGCAAGGUUGAGAUAAAUAUCCCCCUCUUAGACGCAAUCAGACAAGUACCAAAAUAUGCCAAGUUCCUAAGGGACUUGUGUGUCAACCGAAGGCAGUUGAGGGAAGAUGAACGGGUUAUUGUUGGGGAGAAUGUGUCAGCAGUCCUGCAGAGAAAGCUCCCACCAAAGUGCGGGGACCCAGGUAUGUUUACUAUUCCCUGUAGGAUAGGUAAUACUGUGAUAGAAGGGCCAUGUUGGAUCUGGGAGCAUCAAUUAAUCUCAUACCUAAAUCUAUCUAUGCUUCUCUAAAAUUAGGUCCAUUAAAAGAAACUGGAAUAAUCAUUCAAUUAGUUGACCGAACUAAUGCAUAUCCUGAUGGGUUGGUUGAAGAUGUGUUGGUAAAAGUUAAUGAUUUGAUGUUUCCAGCUGAUUUUUAUGUACUUGAUAUGGAUGAUGAUCACUCCCCUGAUCCCUCACCUCUGUUAUUGGGUAGACCCUUUAUGAGCACAGCACAGACGAAAAUUGAUGUUAAUAAGGGUAUCUUGUUCAUGGAGUUUGAUGGGAAAAUUGUGCAUUUCAAUAUCUUUGAUACUAUGAAAUAUCCCUCAAACUCCAACUUUAGCACAGUUUUCUCUGUGAGUGCUAUUGACCCUGUAGUGCAGGAAGUGUUUGAAACUGAUGGCAGGGAUGAGUUGGAGGUGGCUUUGACCAAGCACCUCGAGUUGGAGACAACUCCUGAGGUGGAAUGGAGCGAGGACCUAAAAUGCACAAUAGGUGCAUUACACUCAUUGCAGUCCACCACGAAAAGGUAUGAAGUCUUACCUAUUUUUACUCCCGAACCUCACCAGAGGGUGUUGCCAUCUGUGGUGCAGGCACCUGUACUAGAAUUUAAACCUCUAUCAGAGCACCUGAAAUAUGCAUAUCUGGGUGAUAAUGAGACACUCCCGGUGAUUAUCUCAUCGACACUGUCAAAAAUCCAGGAGGAGAAACUGAUCCGGGUCCUUAGAGAGCAUAAAGAGGCGAUAGGUUGGACAAUCGCAGAUAUUAAGGGGAUCAGCUCGGCCAUCUGUAUGCACCGGAUUAGACUAGAAGAGGAUGCCAAACCUGUUAGGCAGGCUCAAAGGAGGCUCAACCCCCUAAUGAUGGAAGUUGUAAAGAAAGAAAUUUUAAAAUUGCUAGAUGUGGGGAUUAUUUUUGCAAUAUCAGAUAGCCCUUGGGUAAGCCCGAUCCAGGUAGUCCCAAAGAAGGCAGGGGUGACGGUGGAGGCAAACCAAACGGGUGAGCUCGUGCCAGUGCGCAAACCCACUGGAUGGAGGCAGUGUAUAGACUACCGUAGGCUAAACGCCGUCACCAAAAAGGACCAUUUCCCUCUCCCUUUCAUUGACCAAAUGGUUGAACGUUUAGCUUGUAGAGCUUAUUAUUGCUUUUUGGAUGGAUUUUCAGGAUACUUUCAGAUAGCAAUUGCUCCAGAGGAUCAAGAGAAGACAACCUUCACGUGCCCGUUCGGGACCUUUGCUUAUAGACGAAUGCCAUUUGCGUUGUGCAAUGCACCUGCAACAUUCCAGAGGUGUAUGGUAAGUAUUUUUUCUGAAUAUGUGGAGAAAAUUAUUGAAGUUUUCAUGGACGAUUUCAGUGUGUAUGGUGAUAGUUUUGAUACGUGUUUAGAUAAUCUGAAAUUGAUCCUGAUAAGGUGUAUAGAGACUAAUCUUGUGCUUAAUUGGGAAAAAUGUCAUUUUAUGGUUGAGCACGGGAUAGUCCUGGGUCAUAUUGUAUCGUCUAAGGGCAUAGAAGUUGACAAGGCUAAAAUAGAUAUUAUUUUUGCAUUACCUUACCUCGCGAGUGUGCGGAAGGUGCGUUCUUUUCUUGGACAUGCAGGUUUUUAUCGAAUGUUCAUCAAGGAUUUUUCAAAAAUUGGAGCCCCGUUAUUCCAACUCCUACAAAAGGAUGUGACCUUCGAAUUCGAUGAUAAGUGUGAGGAAGCCUUCAACAAGUUGAAAGAAUUGUUGACCUCACCCCCAAUUAUCCAGCCCCCUGAUUGGAGUCUACCAUUUGAGAUCAUGUGCGAUGCCAGUGAUCAUGCCGUAGGGGCUGUAUUGGGGCAAAGAGUAGGGAAGGCAGCUCACGUCAUCUACUAUGCAUCCCGAGCAUUGAAUGGAGCCCAAUUGAAUUACUCCACUACUGAAAAGAAGCUUCUUGCAGUUAUUUUUGCUUUAGAAAAAUUCAGGUCAUAUUUGCUAGGUGCUAAAGUAAUUGUAUUUUCUGACCAUGCAGCAUUAAGGUACCUAAUGACCAAGAAAGAUGCCAAACUGAGGCUCAUUAGGUGGAUAUUGCUACUGCAGGAAUUUGACCUGGAGAUACGGGAUAAAAGGGGCUCAGAGAAUUUAGUAGCUGACCAUCUGAGUCGUAUACCCGUUGGAGAGGAUAAUGAACCAUUGAGGGAUGCGUUCCCUGAAGAGCACUUAUUUUCUUUAAAUUCUCAGUUGCCUUUGUAUGCCGAUCUGGUCAAUUAUUUGGUAACUGGUAAUUUUCCUGCAGGUUGACCAAAAUCGAAGAGGGAUAAAUUGAAGAGCGACGCCAAGUAUUUUAUUUGGGACGACCCGUACCUAUGGAAGAGGUGUGCAGAUCAAGUGAUGCGGAGAUGUGUAAGUGAAAUGGAAUUUCAAUCGAUUUUAGCUUUUUGUCAUACUUUUGCCUGUGGAGGUCAUUUGGACCCAAGAGAACUGCUCAUAAGGUUUUAGAAAGUGGAUUUUAUUGGCCUUCAUUGUUUAAGGAUGCCUAUGUGUUUUGUAAGUCAUGUGAUCGCUGUCAAAGGGUAGGUAAUAUACCCCGUAGAGAUCAAAUGCCCCAAGUCCCGUUGAUUUUUAUUGAAAUUUUUGAUGUCUGGGGUAUAGAUUUCAUGGGGUCUUUUCCUACUUCAUUUGGUUUUUUAUAUAUUUUGCUGGCAGUUGAUUAUGUGUCUAAAUGGGUGGAGGCUAAGGCCACUCGAACUAAUGACUCGAAAGUAGUUGCAAAUUUUGUCAGGUCUAAUAUUUUUGUGCGAUUUGGAAUGCCUAGUGCUAUUGUCAGUGAUAGGGGAACGCACUUUUGCAACAAAAUCAUAGCUGCGUUGUUUCGCAAGUAUGGUGUACUCCAAUGGGUCUCAACGUCGUACCACCCUCAGACCAAUGGUCAAGCGGAGGUGUCGAAUCGAGAGAUCAAGUCUAUCUUGGAGAAAAUGGUGCGCCCCGAUAGGAAAGACUCGAGUCAAAGGCUGGAGGACGCACUUUGGGCCUAUCGGACGGCGUACAAGACUCCUAUAGGGAUGUCACCGUACAGGUUGGUAUUUGGGAAGCCGUGUCACCUUCCAGUGGAGUUUGAGCACAAAGCUUUUUGGGCGAUAAAGUAAUGCAACAUGAAUUUAGAGGAAGCCGGUGCCCAACGAAAGUUGGAUUUGCAAGAAUUAGAAGAGAUCCGGAACGAGGCUUACGAAAAUGCACUAAUUUAUAAGGAGAGAAGCCGGAUAUUUCAUGAUCAACAAAUUUCAAGAAAAUCCUUUGAAGUUGGUCAGAAGGUCCUACUAUACCAAUCCAGGCUCAAGCUAUUCCCAGGUAAACUACGUUCCCGUUGGAUUGGACCUUUUCUUGUUACUCAUGUUUUUCCAUAUGGUGCAGUUGAAAUCCGGAGCGCUAAAACAGACAACAAAUUUGUGGUGAAUGGACACCGUCUCAAGCAUUACUACGAAGGAUUUUCAGGUGAAAAGGUGGAGACAAUAAGUCUAGACGCGCCACCGUGUCCUAAUCAGUGACAUUUUACUAUGUCUAGCCAAAGACAUUAAAGACAGGCGCUCAUUGGGAGGCAACCCAAUUGUCCCUUUUAAUUAUUUGUUUGAUUUCGUGUGAUAGUUUAAAUAUGUUUUCCUUGAAUUCGACUGAUUUUGGGUUUCAGUUUUCGUUUUUGCUGAAUUGUAGGUGACCUUCAGUCUUGACGCGCCCGCGUGAUGACAUGCAGGAAGCUCACGAUCAGAAUCGUCUGAAAGCUCUCUUGCCCUUUUGACGCACCCGCGUGAUGACGUGCAGGAAGCUCACGAUCAGAAUCGUCUGAAAGCUCUCUUGCCCUCUUGACGUGCCCGCGUCACGUUCGCAGGAAAGGUACGGGUUUCAAAAAUUUAAAGAAAAAAUAAUAAUAAUAAUAAUUUAAAAUUUUGAAAUUAACUUCCGUAAAAAAAAAAAAGAAGAAAAAAAAUUUCACCGUGGCUUAAAUAGAGCCUAAAGAAGAGAAAAAAGAAACAAUUUCUUUCUUUUUUUUUUCUUUUUCUUCUUUCUUCCUUCUUUCUUUCUUUCUUCUUUCUCUUUUCCCUCUCUCUUCUCCCCUGUUUCUUCUCCCCUGUCCGUCGCCCGUGCGCCCCAUCGCUGCUCCACCUCCACACGCACGCCGACGCUGCGAGCCACCUGCGACCCCAGCGCCAGAUCUGGACCAUCGCCGAAACCCGCAGCCUCCGCCACCUCCACCUGAGCUCUGCCUCGCGCGCAACCCAGCUGCUCUGCGCCCGAAGCUCCACCGCCGCCACAGCCUCCCCACGCAGCUCCCUGCUCACGCGGCCACAAGCCCAUUGGAAACGGGACAGAGACUGCCGCCGAGCCACUUGCCCGCGUGACCGCCGCUGUUUUCCACCACCUCCCUCACGCGAGCUCUUUCCCUCUCAGCAGCAAUCCACUUCACAGCGCACCCGCUGCGCGCCGUCGCAGCCCUCGCAGCUCCAGCCCGUCUGGUCUAGUCCGCCGCGCGCACCAACCACCCACGGACGCUACCCCCAUCGCUAACCCACGCGGCCUCCACUCCAGUCUGUCCGCCGCCGCUGCUCGUGUCUCCCUUGCGCACCUCACGCCACCCGCUACUGUCCCCUUCCGUUUGGUUAGCAUCCACGGUGGAGGUAAUUGGAGGUUAUUUUCUCAAUUGUGUGACUUCCGCCUGUGAUACUGGUUGCAUUAUUUUUGCUGGGAAUUGCUACUUCUUUUGGGUUGGGUUCAACUGUGCAAUUAAUUGGCCAACUGGAGCCAUUUGUUGGGAUUUUGGGUGAGCUGAAAUACUGCAUUUGUGUGUUACAUUGGGAGGUUUAUUGGGUACAUUCUAACCGCUGUUUUCCAUUGUUACUCUCGCUGGGGUGUCUAUUAAAUUGCGAUUGAAGUAUUUUGGAUAUUGCAUGUUGAGAUUGAGGUUUCAUUGAAUUUGGCCUACGUUCUGCCCCCAGUGGUACUGGUGGGAAUAUUUUCAAUUGAAUUUGUUACCUCUAGUUGGUUGGCUACAUUAUUAUGGUCGAAUUCCUAAGUUGUCGUCAUUGCAUUUGUUGAUCUUGAUUUGGGGCAUUAACCGGCCAACUGGAGCCAUCUGUGCGUUUUUAGGCGCUAUUAUUGGUUUCUUCUCCCUUAACUUUGUCAACUAUAUUUGGUUGGGUAUUUGGUUGACUGCCACGGACUUGUAACUGUGUUUUGCUUCUAAUUGACCAGUUGCACAGCAGUUUUUUUUUAAUUGAUAGGGUGGUUAUACCUCUGGAUAUUUGUAUCCACUGGUUUGAGGACAUGGUGAGACCAAAAUCCUCCUCUAGGUCUAGGACCCCUAGAACCUCGCAAUCCCAACCCCAAGCCUCUACUCUAGUCAAUACCCCUAUAAAUCAACCUACUGCUCCCGGUGUCCGAACCUGGUUAGGUAGGGGUAGAGGUGCCCACGUGGCUUCCGCCACUCACUUGGGAGGGCAUUUGGAAUUCACUAGAGCCGCCGAUCAGCGACGCUAUGCUCAAGCUUGUGAGCGGCGUAUCAUUCCGUGCAAAUGCGCGGACCACAUUACUAUGGUUUUUCUGGGGAUCCAAGGGGAGGUUGAGCGCAUGUACACCGCCAUUGGAUGGCGCCCCUAUCUGGAUAUUUUCCAGCCAGCCUUUGUCGAGUUGACUAGAGAGUUUUACACCACUUUUAAGUUUGAAUUACCGACUAGGUAUACUGUUGCGACUCCCGAUAUCAUUCACUUCCGUCUCAUGGGCCAGGAAUUCAAUUUCUCUAUCACCCAGUUCAAUCUGGCUUUCGGUUUCAUCACUCGGGAGUAUGCAGAGACUAGGGAAUACGGUGAGAGUGCCUGCGAUUUUGUGGAACCUUUCCUUACCGCCUACCGUGAGGUGUGGGAGGACAUGUCUGUGGACAUGCAGCGUUACGAUCCCUCUCGGUCUCGGAGCUCCUUUCUAGAGGACCCGAGUGCUCGGUAUGUUCAGCGGCUUUUAGCAUAUAGCUACUCGGGCAGAAAGAACAGCUUCGGUAUUAUCUCUCGGCCGGAGCUCUUCUUCCUUUGGUGUAUGAAGAAUGGGUUCAAGGUCAAUUUGGGUUGUUGGUUGGCGGCACAGUUCAAGACCGUCAUGGCAAAGAAGAACAAGCCGUUGAUUCUUGGGUCGUAUAUCACGUACUUGGCGGUCCAGCUAGGCGUUCUGAAUCUACAGGAUCACGAUUUGCACUUGGCCUGCGACAUGGAGUAUCUCACUGCUGACCGGCUAGAGAAGAUGGGGGUUCUGGAGCUUGUCGAUGGCCACUACCGAUUUGUGCCCCCGGGACCGCCCCGCGCCCCGCCUCGCUCUUCCUCCACCCAUUCGGCCCCAGUUGGCGGUGAUCCUGGCCCGUCGACAUCCGCUCAGCUCCCUCCACCAGCAGGGGCUGAAGAUUGGCACCAAAUCAGGACGCAGAUUCAGAAUUUGGACGCCCGGAUGAUUAGCAUCGAGAGCAACGUGGCGGCUAUAUCACAGAAUCUGGCGGCAUUCCUGCAGCACUCGGGUUUCCCGCCCCCAAUCCCACCUCACCCUCCACUAUGACCCGGUUUCAGGGAAGUUUGGUUACUUUCUCCCUCACUUUUGUUGUUUUUUGACACAUUGAGGACAAUGUGUCCUAUAGGUGUGGGGGGGUCUAUAGUCUUUCUAGUUUUUAGUAGUUGUUAGUUUUUAGUUUUUUAGUAGUUUUAGUUUUAUUUCUAGUUGCGUAUUUUCUUUCUUUUCUUAGUGCUUAUUCCCCAUGUGAAAAGAAAAAGAAAACAAAAAAAAAGAGAAAAAAAUGUUGGUUUAUUGACUCUAACUCUACUUUUGCCAAGUUUUUUUUAAAUAAAAAUGUAUCGGGUUAAUGUGGUUGGAUCCAGAAUAUCUCCCUGGUGAAUAUCGGAUUGCUUGGCUCUUUUGAUUUCUGUGUUAAUUUCUCUAGGCAUAGGGAAUGACUGUUGGCAUUUUAAUGUGAACUGGUCCAAUAUUGACUCCAGUUCUCUAUGUUUGGCAAUAAUGAGGCGAGCUGUUCCUAUUUUUGGUUCUUAGUGUUGUUAUUAUGUGUUUUUGGCUUUGUUUGGCUGUGAAUAAUCUGGACUGUACUCCGCUAUGAGUUACUACUGAGUAACCGAGGAUCGGCACCUAAAAGUGUCGAUUCUCGCGUCAAAAGGUGGUACUUUAUAUGAGUACGUGGUCGUAUAGCAGUAGGAGCUGAGUAACCGGGCUCCUUCAUCUAAAAAUGUUGGAGUUCGCGUCAAAAGGCCCCGACGGCUAACGACUAAGUCUUUUUGUGUUAAUUAUUAUUGCUUUGAAAAACAAAAAAAAAAAAGAACGAAAAAAGAGAGAAUAAAUAAUAGGAAGGCUUGCCGGUUUAUGGACUUAAUAUGGAGACUUGUGUGAAUAUUUGGACCAUUAGCUAAUAAAUGUUGUGCGCCAUUCCCUUUUCUUAGAGUAGUUAACCUGGAAAUUGAAGGAAUUUGCAGUUUAGGGGCUAACCGGGGGGGAGGCUUCUUGGAUUUUAAUCACCAAUGCUCGAUAUAUGUUUUUCUCUUGAAGAUCUUGGCAAUAUAGGAGAUUGGACAAUGGCCAUCAUCGAAUUUUGGUGUUCGUUUACUAUUCUUAUGCUUGAGGACAAGCAUGGUUUAGGUGUAGGGGGAAUUGAUAGGGUGUAAUUUUACUAUUUAUUUUAUUAUUAAUUUCUCCUAUCACCUGACCUGAUGUGGAUUAAUUGCUGGAUUCUGCUCACUUUUAGUACUUUGUAUUUAUUUCAGGGAGUAGAACGGAAAUUUGAUAACAGGUGCUAAUUUGGCAGAAAAAAGUCCAGAUGAUAGAGCUUGCCCCAAGGGCAUUUUUGGAAAGGAGAACUUGUGCCCAUCUUGGUAAUUUGGGAGAAAAGGGAAACAGACAAAAUGGGUCUAACAUGGAUUGGAAGCGGCCGCACAGUAGCAGGGAAGAGGGCAGACGUAAAAGCAAUUGCAGGGGGGAAAAGGAGUUUUUUUAGUUUUUAGCUUAGCAUCUGAUUUUCCCUGGGAGACUUUUGUUAAAGAUUUCCUUUUGGCUGAUAUUACGCAUGGCAGAUGGCUUUUAACUUAUUCCUCCAUCUUUGACUUUUCUUCUUUAGCUUGUAGUAGUGGAUUGCUACUUACGAAUGUCAGCACUUAGCCAUUCGUGGCUUUUGAUCUUUUCUUCCUUAGAAAUUCUGAGUAGCCUCUUUUCCUUUGUGCGCCAGACGAAGUGAAAACUAUAAACUUUUGUAGUGUUUCUAUUCAUUCAAUAUAUUGAGACGAGUUGGAUUCUACCAAAUUUCAAUGGACAUGGCCGCUGGUUUCUCUUCAAUUUUAUAUGGGCUUUGUUCAUCGAACAUGAACUAAUUUCACCACUCUAGUCAAGGAACAACGAAGACUCUGGUUCGCCUAAAAAUUGUGAGAUCGUUUUAAUUUAAUCUUUUCCUUUUAUUUAUUGGUAUCCGCACAUUUCUUGAUUGCUAUGCUUAUGGUUAUUUAAUUAAUUGAUUGUCUUGGAUCCAGAUAAUUAAUUGAUCUGAUAGCCUAUUGUCAAUUAGGGCAUUUAAAUCCGUAAUUGUUUAAUUGUCCUGAAAUAGUGACAACUGGCACGAUUAGAUUCGUGCCAGGGGGGAUAUGCGGGCUAAUCUAAAAUAACCCUGGUAGUGUGUUAUUUGGUUAGAAUAGGGCUCCUCUAAUAUGUAAGGCAAUUGGGGAAUUAAAUUCUACGGGCGUACCUAGAAUUAUUUCUUAAUUAGAGUAGUGAUUAACGGGCGUACCUUGAUCACCGACACAGUAAGGAGGGGUUGACUGCCAUCGCUUGUUUGGCAGUUAUAACAUAUUUAUCAGUAAAUAAUUGGGAUUGCCUUGCAUCAAUGAUCAAUUAGAUGAACUAUUGCUGAAGUUACUUCUUGGCUAGAUCUUUAGUUAAUAUUACCUUGAUUUUGGUGAAUUGCCAUUUGAUUUUUAGUUGCCUACUUUAUUUUAUUUUUAAUUGUUUCCUUGCUUUAAUUGAGUUAGGCCUUUAAUUAUUGUUAUUCUAAGUUUAGUGAAUUGUGGUUUAAUUCCUAAUUAGUUAUUUAUUUUUACUUUCUUAUUUGAAUUUAUUUGCUUGUUAUCAUUCCUACGAAAUCACCCCCCUGUGUUACUUUGGAUUUCUUAAGAAACAAAUAUACCCAGUCCCUGUGGAUACGACCCUACUUGCCCUGUCCACGAAUUCAUAAUUAUUUGUGAAAAGAAAUAACCAUUCCACUCGGGUAUAUCGGAUCAAGCAAACUCUUCGGGAACAGGGUGAAUCAAGUAACCCAUUGCACACCUAAAAUCCCUGCUCCAGUACUUGGAAUUGGGUUUUGGUCAUUUUAACUGGCAAUUAAGUUUAAUUUUAUUAUUGCACAGGCUGACGACCCUGUCAUUGUAUUUGUACCAAAAGUGAAAACUUAACUAUUUUAGUUGUAUUUAUUUCAUCAUGUUGGAUUGUAUUCAAAUAAUUUUUGUUUGAUUGUUUUUAUAAGUUUCAAUUGUAAAAUUAAAAUGAAUAAUAACUUGAUGAUGUGUUGAUAUUUUAGUACUUGAUUAUUUAUUAAAAUUUAAUUAUAAUAAAAUUUUAUUAACUCAACGAGAAAAAUUUUAUUAAUCCCGUGGGGGCACCCGCGGGGAAAGCGGGGCGGGGCGAGGGGAGUGGGAGGCGGAGGACGGGGCGGGGGCGGGGGAUGGGGGAGGGGUCCCCCGCCCCAACCCCGCCAUCCCCCGUCCCGUUGUCAUCCCUAGUAAUAGACUGGCAAGCAUUGUGGUGGUCAUUGAGCAACUUAUAGGAGAAAUAGUCCUAUAAGCUGUUCAAUGACCAAUCACAACUUGCUAAUUGGAUGACUAAUAUAGCUCUAGCUGUAAUGUUUUAAUUAAAUUACAUCACUAACGUUGGGAUGACUUUUUAACCAAAAAAAAAAAGCCUUAGUUCAAGCUUUUCCCUUUAUUGUGCAUUUUUUAAAGCAUUUGAAAGGCACUGCAAAUCUGUCAUUUUGGACAUUUUAUUAUUGACUAACAAUGAAAGCCGUGGACGUCUACCCAUAACCAACACAAGAUUAAAUUAAUAUUAGAAAAAAUAAUUGAGUAAUUGGAAAAAAAAAAAAAAGAAGAGUCUAAUUUUCAUUGAAACCCACCGACAAACUAUACGUGUCCAUGGCUUUUGAAUAGUGCAUUCAACGUUUAAUUGUAUGGUCCAGUUCAUUGCAGAUUACAUGGAGUAAAGAUUGCGCUCUUUCCUUUUCACCCCUUUUGGAAUCGAUACUGUGGAGAAUUGGGUUUUUCCCUCCUUUUUUUCUUUUCUUUCCUUCUGUGGUUUGCAAAACAUACGUAAAAAUAUGAAAUCCGAAGCAUUCUUUAAUUGGUAUUAAGUAUUGUUGUUGAAAUUAAAAAGAAAAAAGAAAGAACAACAAAAUUCCCAAUCUGGGUUGAUUGUUGAGCUCUAGAUUGGUUGCAUCGUGCUUCCAUAGAAGCAAGAUUUGUAAAAUCGGAAUCCUACAUAGGAUCGAUUUUAGUUUCACAGGAUCGGAUUGUAAAAUCGUAAGAUCCUACCAAAAGCUCUCAAUUGCAAUUAAAGGUUGCAAUUCUUUAAUAAAUUACAAAUAUACCACAAAUAUUUUCAUUUACUUGCAAAAUGGAGCUUCGUAUUUCACAAAUUUACAAAAAAAUUGUAGGAUCGUACGAUCCUACCGAUCCUACGAUCCUACACGAUCCUACCGAUCCUGCUACGAUUCUAUGCGAUCCUACAAAGAUUAAUAUGAUUUGCGACUCUGCAUACGAUCCGGAUCGAUUUUGGUUAUCCGGAUCGUAGGAUCGUAUGAUCCUACGAUCCGGAUCGCGAUUUUGACAACUAUGCAUAGAAGCUCUCUUAGUGUGAUACACUGCUUUCAAUCAGUUUAACACGGGAAAAAAAAAAAGAGAUGAAAAGCAAAUUUGGUGGAGAUAAUUUCAGAAACCUCCCCUGAAGAUUUUGACUAUUCUACUGGUUUCCCUUCAGAUUUUAAAAAUUACACUAAUCUUCCUUGAAGUUAAUUAUCUUGUAACAUUUAAAUUCAAUCAAUAAUUUAAAAAAUGAUAUUAUGAGAGAGAAAAUAAUAUGAUUUUAUCAUUGCCCCCCAUCUUACUACAUUAUUUAAUUAAUUUAAUAGCAACCCACACAUUAAAGAAAAAUAUUAAAAUUUGUUGUUUAUCAUUAAAGAUCAAAUCGCUUAUAACAUCAAAUAAUAGUAUAUUAUUUAUAUUUUUCACUUAAUAUAAUAUCCAAAUUACUCUUUUCAAUUACAUACCCAUUGUUAGAGAAUCAACAACAAAUAACCAAAAAAUUUGCAACCAAAAUAUUACAAAAAAAAUAAACUUUAACAUCAUAAAUAUUCUUAUCAACAUAUUAAAGUUAGUUACUGAAAUUUUUAUGCUGUUAAACUUCACUCUUUUUGAAUACAGAUUUUUUUGAUUAUUUGUUAUUAAUUAUGUUUGAUGAUGGGUUUAUAAUUGAAAAGAACAAUUUGAAACUUACAUUAAGUAAAAUAUAUAGAGUGAUAUACUAUUUUUUAUAACAUAUGUGAUUCAAUCCUUCUUGAUAGGAUUGGUAAUAGAGGUAGAGGGGGGAGUCGGCUGCAUCCGGUCUUCUUUUCAUAGAUAGUACAAUAUUGCGAAAUCAAUCGCAUUCACACAAUAAUAUUUCGAAGUCAAUGCAUGGCUAAGUUGCAUAAAAGUACGAACACUUGUUAUUAUAUAGCUUAAGAUUCAAAACUUUCGAGCAUAACCCUCCACCCAACACAAUUGAAUAAUGAAUAUUCACGAUUGUCAAAUCUGUCAAAGCACAGUUUGAGGACAACCCAUUCCAACCUGCAAAAGAUUUUUUACUUUUCUAAAGUUGUUGAGAGCUGUAAAAAGACUUACCAUGCUUGCAUCCUCCGAGCCUUGGGAGUUAAAAAUGAAGGCACUGAGUGCUAUAAAAAGGGGAAUAGAGGCUGCCUAGAAGCAUAUCAGCCUAAAACAAGAAUUUGUAGUUAAGAUGGGAAGCAAAGCAAAAGCAAUGGGGUCUGGGCUGACUCCUCUUCUUGCCACUGUUUUAGUGGUGUUUGUUGCUCUUGGCUUGCCCUCACAAACUGCAGCUGAUGAUCACUACAAGUAUUCAUCUCCUCCUCCUCCUUACCACUAUCCCUCACCACCACCACCAGUGCAUAUACCUCCACCUCAUCCUGUUUACAAGUACAAAUCUCCACCACCCCCACCACCACACCCAGUUUACAAGUAUAAGUCACCACCACCACCUCCUCAUCCGGUAUACAAGUAUAAGUCUCCUCCGCCACCACCACACCCAGUUUACAAGUACAAGUCACCACCACCACCUCCUCAUCCGGUACCACACCCAGUUUACAAGUAUAAGUCACCUCCACCACCUCCUCAUCCGGUACCCACAGUUUACAAGUAUAAGUCACCACCACCACCUCCUCAUCCGGUAUACAAGUAUAAGUCUCCUCCGCCACCACCACACCCAGUUUACAAGUAUAAGUCACCACCACCACCUCCUCAUCCGGUGCCACACCCAGUUUACCACUACAAGUCACCACCACCACCUCCUCAUCCGGUACCACACCCAGUUUACCACUACAAGUCACCACCACCUCCUCACCCAGUUUACAAAUACGAGUCUCCACCACCACCAGUUUAUAAGUACAAGUCACCACCACCUCCUCCACCAGUUUACAAGUAUAAAUCUCCUCCACCACCACCACCAGUUUACCACUACAAGUCUCCACCACCUCCUCCCCCAGUUUACAAAUACAAGUCUCCACCACCUCCUCACCACUACUAAGCAAUUGCUUCUGAGGUAAUAACACUUGUUCAAUAUACCCACUUCUGCAUGAUAAAGCAUAUCUCUAUCAACACAAACUGUCAUGUCUAUCAUGCUAAGUGCCUUCACUUCAUCCACCAAAAUGACUGCUAGAAAAUUUUUUUUAUGUUACCAAAGAAAGGCAUCAUUUUUUCCCUCUGUUAUCAAGAACUUGUACAGUAUAUAGAUUAAAGAGUAUUUUUUUAACUAGCUUAUCAACUGAGAAAUGCAUAUAGCUGAUAGCCAGCUGAAUAUUUGCAGGCAAAGGAGAAGGAAACCAUGUUUGAGACCUUCUUGAAGAUGUAGAAGCAUAAGAAUAAAAGCCCAAUGUGAAGAUGAUGAUUUCAAGUUUUUCUACGUUACCAUUUCUUUAUCUAAAUUGGUUGUAGCGCCCAAGUUCCUUUGUUUAUGGGAUUUGUAUCGUUUUACGUACCAUGCAGUACAUGUCAUGUUUGUAAGGUUUUCUAUCCUGCCGGCAAACCGCAGGUUCCAUGUGAUAAAUGAAUACUAUUUAUGUUACGACACUUUUCUCUGUUUCUCUUAUAUUUUGUCUUUAAUAUUCUUAAUCAUAUUUUUAACAAAAAUAUUCAAACACUUAGGCAAUCUGGUCUAAUGCUAAUUGUAUGUUUUACUUUUCUUUUUCACCUGCUCCCCUUUUCAACUCAAAAGGAUGCAAUAGUUUGUGAUCACUGUUUAAGACGGAAGCAUGAUACUAAUGAAUAUCUCAUUGAAACUCAAGGAAACUAACAUUGCGAAAAGUGUAAAUCUUGAUUUGAUGCAACUAUUUAUUCGUGGAAUCUAUAGUUACAAAACUCAAAUUCUGACUGCGCCAUUGAUAAAUUAUUAAUGACGCUAUCAUCAUUAUUUAUCCCUAACUAGUUUCGACUACAACUGAACCCAAUAUUUUCCCCAUGAUAAAAGUUUUUGACUAUUUUACUGGCCUCUCUUCAAAUUUUAAAAAUUACACUAAUCUUCAUUGAGAUUAAUUAUCUUGUAACAUUUAAGUCCAAUUAAUAAUUAAAAAAUGAUAUUAUGAGAGAGAAAAUAAUAUAAUUUUAUCAUUGCCCCCCAUCUUGCUAUAUUAUUUAAUUAAUUUAAUAGCAACCCACACAUUAAAGAAAAAUACUAAAAUUUGCUGCUUUUCAUUAAAGAUCAAAUUGCAUAUGCCAUAAAACAUAGUAUAUCAUUCUAUAUGUUUCACUUAAUGUAAGAUCCCAAUUGUUCUUUUCAAUUACAAACCCAUUGUCAAACAUGAUCAAUAACAAAUAAUCAAAAAAUUUGCAACCAAAAUAUUACAAAAAAAAACUUUAACAUCAUAAAUAUUCUUACCACCUCUAGUGCAUUCACCCUCAUAAAAUAAUUCAAGACCCUACUGUCAUAAAAUGACUGAUCAACUCCUGUAAACCUAAUUUGACAACAUUUAAAUGGAGAACUUUAGCUAAAAGAAUUAUGGUCAAGCUAAAGAAAAAACCAGUUAUUUUCCAACAUAUGCAACCAUUGAUCAGGGGAAAAAAAAAAGCAAAAAGACAUCUUCAAUCAUUUAAUAGCUUACAGGGCAAAUUAACCCUUGAGUGAAAACUGGUUGCUCUAGAAUUAAAAUUUUACCUUAGUUACCCAGGCAACUUUUUUGUUGCCUUUUCUUUUUCUUUUUUGGGUAUAUAGCUCCAGUUUUGCCCCCUCUGUCAAGCUUAUAUAAUUAUUAAGAUAAUAAAAGUGCCUUUAAUAGUAUUAAUAUAUCCAUUGACUUGAGCUGUCAUCGAUCGGUUUGGGCUACUUCGAUUCCAUGAGAACAAAUGGUAAUAAAAGUACUCAGAAAAUGGGGAGUCAUGAAACCCUUUUGUUCUAUUCAUUGCUAAGAUGCUUUUCUCUAUAAAGAGACUUCCUAACGAAAAUACUUUGUAGAUUUCUUUACUCCAAGUGGUGCAUGGAAAAUUAAUAUUUUCAAUUAUCAAAUAAAAUUCCCUUUUUUCGGCGUAGAUUUCAUCCAUCCAGCUGUUAACACAUUCUAUAAAUCCGAAUUGACUAAUCUUUUCGUUUCCAUUUUCCAACUUGCGAAUACGGCAUAUAGUGUCUGCUAAACACUAUAUAUUCUCUGCCAAAUAUGAAUACAUAUCACUUUUCUGAGCAAGUGCAGAGUCAUUAUCAUUUUUAUUCCCACCUAACAAAUUAGGGAUAAAAAAGUUAAUAAUCUUUACAUGCUAUCAGGUCACAAGUUAAUAAUCUUUUAAAGAACAUGUUAAAUUAAUUUAUUGGUAUGAAUAGUAGUCAAAGAAGUAUGUUAAAGUUAGUAAUCUUUAAAAUAAUAUGUUAAAAUCAUUCGUACAAAUUAGUCAGAGAAGUAGCAUAAACACCGCGAUGCAAUUAAUACUUUCAAUCUCAAGGUCUCUAUUAUGGAAAUUUGCAUCGGUCAAUAUACACUUGGCAUAAUAUAAUCUCCCAACUCAUUUCUUUACAAAUGCACCUUUAAUCACCACCAAAAGGUGUGGACAUGAUCUUUACCCUAGAAAACUAUUCACCGACAGGCAAAUUGACGUCAGAAAUACUGAGGAAUUCUAGUUUCCUUCGGGUUCAUGCCAUGUUGUAUCCUUCAACUGUAACUCGAUUUCUAAGCUGUAAUUUGUGACAUAAUAGUCCUUAAACUAUGAAACCCUUCUUACUUAAUUACAAUGGUUAAUACAAUGCCCGUGACUAGACAAGUAUGAAGCAACCAUAACAGAAAAAAAAUCCAAAAUUAGAGAAAAGAAAGAAGUUUCGCGACCACCACCAGUUUACAAGUCACCUCCACCACCUCCUCCAGUUUACAAGUCACCUCCACCACCUUACCAUUAUUCCUCACCACCACCUCCAGUGCAUUCACCCCCACCACCACCAGUUUACAAGUCUCCGCCACCACCUUACCAUUAUUCCUCACCACCACCUCCUGUGCAUGCACCUCCACCACCAAUUUACAAGUCACCUCCUCCAGUUUACAAGUCUCCACCACCACCUUACGAUUAUUCCUCACCACCACCUCCAGUGCAUUCACCCCCACCACCACCAAUUUAUAAGUCUCCCCCACCGCCUCCCCCAGUAUAUAAGUCACCACCACCACCUCCUCCAGUAUACAAAUCACCUCCACCACCUCCUCCAGUUGACAAAUCUCCACCACCACCAAUUUAUAAAUACAAGUCUCCUCCACUACCUCCUCCAGUGUACAAGUCAUCACCACCACCUGCUUACAAGUCUCCACCUCCUCCAGUUUACAGUUCCCCACCACCACCAAUCUACAAGUCUCCACCUCCACCCUACCAUUACUACUACAAUUCUCCUCCUCCUCCUCGUCACUACUAAGCAAUUGUAUCCAAGUUUUUGAGGUAAUAACGCUUAACCAAUAAAUUAACUUUCGCAUGAUAAACCUUAUCUCUAUCAAGACAAACUGCCAUGUGUAUCAUGCCAAAUACGUACACCUAGAUCCAUGAAAAUGAAUGGUAGAAAGUUUUCUUAAGAACCAAGAACAGCAUUAGUAUUCCCUCUGCUUCCAAAAACUUGUGUAUUAAAUAGAUUAAUGAAUUGUUUAACAUGCUCAUCUACUUGAAAAUGCACAAUACCCAUAACCCACUGAAAUUUUUGCAGGAAAAGGGAAAGAGAAUCUGUGUUUGAGAGCUUCAUGAAGAUGUUGAAGAAUAAGAAUAAAAGCCCAAUGCAAGGAUGUUUUCAAGUUUUUCUAUGUUUCCACUUUAAUUUGUAAAUUGAAUUUUGCGACUCAAUUAAUUCCCUGUUUGUGAGGUACGUAUUGUUUUACGUACCAUGCCGUACAUUUUUUUUUUCCAACAAACGGUAUCAUGUUAUAGAUAUUAACACUUGACCUUACAAGGAUUAGUUACAAAAAGGGGAUACUACCCUCAACUCUGUCCUAGCUAAAUCAGUCAGCCAUAUUGGGAAAUUAGUUUCCCAUUCAAUAUCAUGUACAAGCUUCACAGCAUAUUGUGCUAAUUGAUGGCUGAUGUGAUUUUCAGUUCUAGGUAUAAACACAAAAGAACAUUUUUCAAAAGCUAGACUAAGUUCCUGCACAUCUUCUAAGAUAGUUGCAGUCGUGUAGUCAUACUCCUUGCGUUUAGUAAUCUGCUCUACCACUGAUUUGCAGUCUGUAUGGACUAUAAUUUGUGUCCAACCUGCUUGGGUAGCCAUCAGCAGAGCAUUUCUCACAGCCCGAGCUUCCACUUCACUUGCCGAUCCCUUUCCCUGUGUGACAAUUCCUUUUGCUUUCAAAAGCUGUCCUUUCCAAUUUCUUGCUAUAAUCCCUUGUCCGGUCCUGACUCGUUUAGCUGAUAUCGCUGCAUCGGUAUACAGCCUUAUCUCUUCCUUCCUUGGCCGCACUCUCCUGGUAGGUAAGGCAUCAUUCAGCUUCCCUGCGAUCUCCUUCUGGUCUGUACUCCCUACCUGUUCAAACUCAAGCCAUUCCUCCUGUGCUUUCCUUACUAUUUUUACUGGAUCCUGGUUGGCUUGUUCAAAAAAUUUUUUGUUCCUGGCUUUCCAAAUUUGCCAAAGGAUAUUGAUAGUAAGACUAACUCUCUCCUGACCUUGGUUCAGUGCCAGCGAUUGUGUGACUUGUUCCCACCAUAACCAAAAGUUAUAUUGCAUACCCAGUAAUCCAUCCCACCUGACCGGUGCUAGCUUCCACGUUUCCACAGCCUUUUCACAGAAGAAAAACAAAUGCUCAAUAGUUUCCAUAUCUUCACCACAGCAACCACAUCUGCCUUCCCCUCUAUGUAGCCUUUUCGACAUCUGUUCAUUGACUGGCAGACAAUUUUGUAAGCACUUCCACAUGAAGUGUUUUAGUUUGGCCUUCACCUUCAAAUGCCAUAGCUGCUUCCACACAUUUCGUUUUCGUAUCUCCCAACUUGUUUCUGCCUCUUGGCCUGUCCUUGUACCUGCUUUUCCUUCCCGUUGCCUUGCUAAAGCAUAACCAGAUUUCACGCUAUAAAUUCCAGCUUUGGAAUGCCCCCAUACCAACCUAUCCUUUCUUCUUCCUAUACUUGUUGGAAUUCCCUUUAUGUGCUCUGCAUCUUUUGCACAAAACCACUUGAGAAGCAAAUCAUUUUUCCAUUUCCCUUCCUCUAUCAGCUCACUUACCCAUUCCAACUUGCAUCCCACAGGUUGUGUGGUUGAUGCAAAGCCGGUAUCUGAACCAACUAUCCAUCUGUCCCGCCACAUGUUGACUGACUUGCCAUCUCCAAUUCUUUUCCAAAGACCAUCAUACAGAAAGGAGGCUGCACUAUGAAUACUCUUCCAACACCAUGAGGCUGAAGAGACUGGCUUCUUGUCCAUCCAUUUUUCAUCACUCAUAUACUUCGCCUUCAUUACCUUACUUACUAACAAAUUUGGAGCCAUUAAGAAUCUCCAAAUUUGUUUUGCCAGUAAUGCUGUGUUGAAGGCCUCCAAAUCUCUAAAGCCUAAACCUCCUCUUCCCUUAACUUCUAAGAGCUUCUUCCAGCUUGCCCAAUGUACACAGGUACCCUUUUCUCCCUUCCCCCACCAGAAACUCGCUAUUUUACCUGUGAUUUGUCUACACAAACCCCUUGGAAGUCUAAAGCAAGCCAUCACAUAUGUUGGCAUAGCCAUAAUCACUGAUUUGACCAGAAUUUCUUUCCCUCCUUGGCUCAACAGUUUUUGUUUCCAACCUUGCAACUUGUUACUAAUUUUGUUCUGGACAAAUGCAAAGACCUGUGUCUUUGAUCUUCCAAUUGCCAUUGGGAGUCCUAGGUAGGUUCCAUUCCUUGCCUCUUUAAUGUUAUCUAAUACCUCCCUCACUCCAUUCUUCCUUUGAUCAGUGGUAUUUUUGCUAUAGAAGAUAGCUGACUUUUCAAAAUUCACCACCUGUCCGGAUGCUUGACCAUAUCUUUCCAAUAUGCUUUUGACCUUCCUCGCCUCCUGCUUGGUUGCUUGGCAGCAUAGUAGAGAAUCAUCUGCAAAAAAUAGGUGAGAAACCAUCGGACUGUCCUUGCAUAUUUUGAUCCCUGUAAUUUCCUUGUUCAUCAUAGCUUUAUGGAUCAAACAUGAAAGACCUUCAGCGCAUAUAAUAAACAAGUACGGGGAUAGGGGGUCUCCUUGUCUAAGCCCUCUACUCGGUUGAACACAGCCUACCUUUUGCCCAUUUAAGUUGAAGGAGUAAGUCACAGUAGAUAGGCAAGACAUGAUCCAUUUAACAAAAAUUGGACAAAACCCCAUUUUCAUCAUAACUCUCCCCACAUAUUUCCAUUCGACUCUAUCGUAAGCUUUGGACAUGUCCAGUUUAAGAGCCAUAAAUCCUACCCUUCCCUUUCUCCUAUUUUUCAAAAAAUGCAGGAUUUCAUGUGCAACUACUACAUUAUCAAGAAUUUGACGGCCUGGGAUAAAAGCGGAUUGAGAGGGACUAAUACAAUGAUGCAAGACACCUUUCAAUCUAUUAGCUAUGAUUUUAGAAAUGAUUUUAUACAGGACAUUGCACAAGCUAAUAGGUCUAAAAUGCACCACAGAUUCAGGAGUAUCAACUUUAGGAAUCAACGAAAUAAUAGUAUCAUUCACAGCUUUGAGCAAAUGCCCAGUAUGAAAGAAACUCUUAAUAGCUGCUACCACAUCAUCCUUGAUAAUAUCCCAAUAGUGUUGAAAAAAUAGAGGAGACAUACCAUCCGUUCCUGGUGCUUUAUUAGGGUGCAUCGAGAACAAAGCUUUCCUGAUCUCACUUUCCUCCACUUGUCGUAUCAGUUGUCCAUUCAUAUGACUCGAAAUAGUGCUUGGAAUUUCAGCUAGAAUGUCCUCAAAGCAGUCCGGGUUAGUAGUGGUAAAAAGGUCUUUAUAGUACUCACAAAGUUCCUCCUCAAUCUCAUGUUCCUCCUUGCACCAUGUCCCAUCUUUUUUCUGCAAUAUAGUGAUCUUAUUUCUCCUCCUCUUUGCCAUGACCGAAGAAUGGAAAAAAGCUGUAUUCUUGUCCCCUUCUUUGAGCCACUUGUUCCUGGAUUUUUGACUCCAAAACAUCUCUUCCUCUGCAUAAGCUUUAUUCAAUUGUGCUUUUAGUUCAGCCACUUGUACUCUUUUCCCUUCAUCCUUUCUUGCUUUCACUUCAGCCAAUUUCUCCUUUAACACUUUAAUUCUAACCUUUGAGUUUCCCUGCACCUUUUUCCUCCAAUCCAGAAUAGCCAUGCGACAUUCCUUUAUUUUUGUAGCCACUCUAAACAUCCUGGACCCUGACUUCACCUUUGUCCAUGCUCCUUGAAUCACCCUUUUUGCUUCUGGAUUUAGCGUCCAUCGUUGAUCAAAGUAAAAUCUCCGUUUUCUCCUUGUGUUUUCCGGGUUUGUAUCCACAAGAAGCAUUAGAUGAUCAGAGGCUUCAGUAUCUAAAUGAGUACACUGUGCCUUUUCAAAUCUUUGCAGCCAUUCGGUGCUGCAUAAACAUCUAUCCAACCUCUCUUUCACUUCCCCAUCCCCCUCCCAACUAUUGCACCAAAUCCACGGGACCCCUUGAUAACCUAAGUCAACCAGGUUAUUGUCUUUGAUAAACCUGUUGAACUCCCUAAAACAUCUUUCAGCUCUAUCCCUUCCUCCCCACUUCUCCUCACUAGACCUCAAAUCAUUAAAAUCUCCUACAAUGAUCCAGCCAUCCCCCCAGUCCCUCAUCCUGUCCUCUAAAUAUUUCCAUUGUGCUUUUCUAAUGUUACUAUCUGUGCUUGCAUAAACACACACUAGCCCCCAGUAUCCUUUAGUAUCCUUGUCCUCAACUCUAGCACUAAUACACCAAUCAGUACUUACAAUCUGGUCUAAAAUCACCUCAUUGUUCCAGAAUAAUGCUAGACCGCCUGCUUUACCUAUUGAAUUCACAAAAAAGCUAUUGUCAUACUGAAUCUUCCUUUGAACCUUGCCCAUAAACCCUUCCUGAUUCUUAGUUUCACAAAGGAACACCACCUUAGGAGAGUGGAAGUUAGUCACUUCCUUUAGUUGGGGACUUGUCAAGGGGCCUCCUACACCUCGACAAUUCCACACCACAACCUUCAUUUACACUUUGGAGGCUUUCCGGGGCUAGCCUCCAUUUCCCCUAUUGUACUAACAUUUAUUAGAUCCAGUUUCAUAACCUUUACCUUCGGUACAUUAUCAUCAUCCUCCUCUAUCGGUUGUGUUCCCUGAAACAUACCAUCAGCCUUCCUUUUAGCACACGAAACCUGCGUUACUUGUCCAUUUGUAUCUGCCUUUAAGGAUGUUUUAGCCGGCCUCCCUCUUCUUUUAAAACUGCUUCUUUUUUCAGCUUUGUUAUCUUCUUCCCCUGGAGUAGCCUCCUUUCUUGGCAUUCUUGCAUUUGUCUCCUCCUGCUUUAUUGACCCUACCCGCAAACUUUCACAUUCCUGUUUUGAGCUGUCCGUUUCCAUAUCCUCAUAAUCUACUGGUGGGAUUACGCUGCUCCCUCCUUUACUCCCUUCCUGUACCCUACCCUCCUUUUCACCAUUUCCCUCCAUUAAGACCACAGCCAAACUUUCCACCCGUUGGUUUGCCUUUCCAUACUGCCUGCUGUCUUUUAGAAUCUCAUCCCACCUCUCUUCAUAUUGUCUCGUCAUCAUUUUCUCCUUAUCCCCCCUUUCCUUUCCCCCCAAGACUCUACCAUUUUUUCCCCCAAGAGUUAAUGUAUCUCCAGCCAUUUGUACUCCAGUUUGAACUUCACUACUAGGAGACCCUGCCCCCACCCUCCUUGCAUCAAUUUCACUUACUCCUUCCAGCCGUCCCUUUAAGGGAGAUACCAUUAUAUUUCCAGCUCUCAUCCAGGCACCAUAUUGUUCCUCUCGCUUCUCCCCCCCACCCUUCCUACCACAGUACAAGUCCUAUCACUAUGCCCAAUGAUACCACACCUAUAACAGAAAUCAGGGCAGCGUUCAUACCUGAACUCAACCCACACUGCCUGGUUCUUACAGUUGAUCUUUGUCCCUCUAACCAGUGGUUUCGUUAUAUCUACCUCAGCCAUAAUCUUCAUGUGGCGACCCUCUUUCCCACCACUUCCUGGGAGAAUCACUCCCCUCACUGAUUUAAAGAUCCCUCCUAUUUUCAAACCCACUGCUCUGCUCAACCAGUGCACCGGUAGGUUCCAUAGUUGAAUCCAAAGAAAGGAAUGCUGGAAAAAGCUGCUGUUUGUAUCAUACCCCUCUACCCACUCCUUCACUAUCAGCAACUGGUUGUCCAUGACCCAAGGCCCUCCAGAUAAGAUCUUUUUCUUUUCCCCUUCAUCUCCCAGAUGGAAAUGGAAUAAGUUAGGACCUAACUCAGUCACUUUCAUCUUUGAGGGGUAUCCCCAUGCAUGAUUUGUAAAGUUCUUUAACCCCGUAAAGUUGGCAAUUUUUUCACCAAUCAGCUUUCCUACCAGGCUUCCUUGACACUCAGAGACGCCUUCUUCCAGGUCCUCACCACUCAGAUCGACACCUCCUAACUCUGUUUCAGACAAGUCAAAAUUUUGAAAGGCUCUUUCUAAAGCAUCCGCCAUUGCUGUGACGAGAGCUCCUUGAGAAACCAAGCACUAUUUCUGAGCUAUGAGUGACCCACUGACAGACCUGUGAAGAAUUGCAAAGACAGACAAAGCUGUGUUAUCCGUACACACUAAAAACCAACCAGAAAAACAGAGAGGAACUCGACAGAAAAAGCACAGGCACAAGAAGAAACGAAAGAAAAAAGAAAAACCAACAAACCACUAUCCCACUCCCGACCACAUAACAGCAUUAAAGAAAGGGACACAAAUACGACACUCCAACUUCCGAUCACAUGCUCUGACUCAAUGGAUCAUAUCUUGCCCAAAGCGUUUACUCCUCCAACCGAUUCCAAACCACUACAGACAUUGUCUCCCAUUUUGAAGCCGGAAGAAAGGUGGCUUCUGGACAGGGAACAUGAAAGCAAAGGUUGAACUAAAGAUUUGAUUUUAGAUCUGAAAAUUACGCUGUAGGAAAAAGUGCUAUGUGUUUGUACCUCACCCACUCUCCCACACCGAGGAGGGGAACCUCUAAAGUUAGAGAGAGAAGCUCUCAAGUUAGAGAGAAGCUUUGGAAGUUAAUUACCAACGUACCAUGCCGUACAUGUUUGUAAGGAUUUCUAUCCUAUUGGCAAAAGUCGGUUCCAUACAAUUAAUCAAUUCAUUUCACUUCUAUUGGCUCUACUAUUUAUGCAUGUUACGACACUCUUUCCCUUAUAUUUUGCCUUUAAUAUUAUGAGUCAAUAGUAAUAAUGGGCCUUUUUCUUAAAAUUAUACUAUUAUACAUAGGUAGUUUGGUCUAACGCUAAAUUCAUGUUUGUCUUUCUUUUAUUCCCUUUACAUCUCAAAGUAUACUAUAGUUUGUAAUCAUUGUGGUGAUGAUAUUACCAGCUGGUACUUAUAGUUUAAGGCAGAGACAUGAUAUUAACAACUAUCUCAUUGAAACAUAAGUCAAAAUCAUGACAAGUGUGAGUCUUGGUUAAUGCACAAUUUGUUAGUGGAAUUUAUAUUUAUAAAACUCAAAAAAAAUUUUUGACAAUGCUAUUACUAAUUAAUUAAGGACUUCAUUGCUAUAAUUUAUCGCUUACUAAUUUAAACUAUAAAUGAUCUCAAUACUUUUCUCCAUGAUGUCGAUUUCUUUAGACUACGAAAGGGAAAAAUUAGUGACAUAUCCCUUACUGAUUACAACAUCAGCAAAAAUUAGUUAUAAACUUUUCCGGUGGUUUUAAAUCCCUCGGGCACUAAGGUUUUUUGCACAUCGAGUGAAUUAAGGAACAUAGGCAAUUCGUUCUGCAUACCAAGUCCUUGUUUAAGAUGCACGUACUAAAAUGCAUCCACUUCAUUAAUUUGGAAAAUUGCCAUAGUUUUUUUUAAGCAUUUUGAUUUUUUACAUGAUUCAAAAUUUUCUUAUUGGAUACAAUCACUUUGUGUCAAGAACACAUUUUCAAUCAUCUUUUUUAUCUUCUCAAUAAGAAAAUAAAAAUUUAUUCAUGCUUUUCUAACAUAUCCAAUCAUUGAUCUGAAAAAUAAAGAAUUAAAAAAAAAAGACAUUUUCAAUCAUUGCUUACGGGGCAACUUCCCCAUGUGAACCUCAUCAAACAAAGCCAAUAAUAUGAAGGAACAUCUAAAUACACUUUUGCCCUAAAGGCUGGUUGCCUUGGGGUCAAAAUUUAACCUUCGGGAGUAUAAUUACCCGCCAAAUUUAUUAUUUUUUUUAUGGGUAUAUAGUUCCAAUUUUGCCUCCUGUUAAGCUUAUAAAUAUAUUACGACCCAGAAAAUAAAGGAAUCUUGAAUAGUAACAUGUCCAUUGACUUGAGUUGUUAUCAAUUUGGCUACUUCGAUUCCAUGAGGCCAAUCCAAUUCACACUAGCUAGAGAAAAUGGUGAUAAAGGCACUUAGAAAUUUAUAUGUAAUAUUGAUUGGUAGUAACUGAUAAGUAUAUAUUUUACGUGUUUUAAAUAUGUUUUAUUAGUUAGUUUUGGUGUGUUUUAACUACUUUUAUAACUAAUUAACUAGGAAUCUAGUGAAAAUAUGCAUUUUGUGGUUUGAAGUGUAAAAAUUGUAUUUCUAUGGAUUUUAAUGGUGAAAACUUCAUGUUUUUGUAGGUUUAAUGAUUCAAUCAUCAAAUGACAUGAUUUGAGAAGAUAAUUAGAUGAUUGAUGAUGUUUUGAAGUGAUAAAAAGAGAAUACAAAGUGCAAGAGAGGAAAUGCAAUCAAGAAUAAAAGAAGAAAAUUUUUGUAGCUUUGACAUAUUGUCGUAUUUCGGCAAUAUAUUGAGCUACAAUGAUCGGAUUAAGGUGAUUCUUAAACCAUUUGAAGCUAAAAUAUAGAUCUACAUUUGGCAUGAAGGCAUCGAAACCCAUGUCAGUCAUUUUCCUUGUCAAAAUGUUGAAAUACAGAAGUGCAACUCUGUUCUCGAAAGCUAAAACAGAGCUCUGGCUAGUCGAGGGUAUUUUCAUCAUUUCUUAGUCCACAGAGCUCCAAAUGAGAUGAUUCUUAAGGCAUUAGAACCCUAACUCAAAGAGCUACAACUUUCAUAUUUUGUACAAGAGUUAGUUCGGCCUCUAUCAUUAAGAAAAUAGUAGUUGAAGUGGUGCCAAAUGCAUAGAAGUGAAAACGCGAGCUAUCAAUACUCGACCUGAAGUCGCGUAUUCCUGAGGUCAUGCAUUCUCUUCUAUUUUCUGCAACUUGCCCUGCUUUCACAUAACUUUUUCAUCUCAAUUCCAACUAUCAAUUUCGGCUAUAUCUGAUCAAGAAAAGUGUGGAAAGUUUGAAAGACAACUCAUAGGAGUUUCAAGAGUCAAAAAUUACAAUUAGAAACAACUCAUUUGGCUCUUGAAUCCUCUAUAAAUAGAGGCCUUUGAAGAACAUUUUCACAACUUUGGAAGGUUAGAGAAACUCCACAAAAACAUAGUCUUCACUAGAAUUUCCUUAGUUCAUUAGUUAGGGUAGUAUAGUAUAGUUAGUGUAGCUUUUCCUUCUUGUAUUUAUAGUUAGGUUUGAAUGAAGAUUCAGGAGCAAAGAUAGAGAGGUUGAUCUCAUGUGACAAGGGUGAUAUCUCUUCUACUACUUUCUCUUUUGUAUUUGAUUUCAUAUUUAACUAUACUACAAAUUUGGCUUUGUUUUUUUUUUUUUAUCAUGUUUAGUUAAAGUUUAUGCCUAGAGUAUGGAUGACCUUUUUAUAUCUUGUUUGUGAUAUUUAACUGGUUAUUUGAUGAUGUUAUUUUUGAGCAAGUUAUUUAUCACUUUUGCUUUUCUAAUCAUGAUUAACUGGCCAUUAGUUGUGAUUAUCUAAAAGUGUUAAGUUUGUAAUGAGAAUUGGAGUUUAACACUAGUUCAAGGAAGUGAUAAAUUUAGGGAGUUCACUCAUGAGAGUAGAGGAACACCUUUGUGACCUAAGUGACUUGUUUCAUAUAAUUUCAUAGAAAAAAUGAACUUGUAAUUAAUUUCAUAACCACGAGAGUAAGUAUGGUUUAGCUAUAUGUAUAGUUGAUUCACUACGAGAGUAGGUUUCACAUACAUUAGAAAAUUACAUCAUAACUAGUCAAGAUAAUAUCAUUCAUUUAAUCAGUAAUCUCAUUUGCAUGAGUAGUAAGGCAUUCCAUAUCUCUAGGAGGUUUUUAGUAUUAUUUUCAUUACUUUUAUGUUUAUGGUAGUCUAGAUAAUAAUGGAGUUCGAAAACUACUAGUAAUUGAAAAUUUUCCCUGUGGGAUCGACCUUUAAUACCCUAUACUCGCUCUCGACUCGUAUACUUGAGAAAAAUCACGUGUGCGGUAUUUAGAAUUUAUAAAUGUAAAACUUGACUGUAGAUGAACUAAUUGAUAUAUGUAUACCCCGCACUCGUCAGUAACCAGCUUGUAUUGAUCCCACUAUUGUGGAUAAUUGUGCUCUUAUGAAAAAAAAUUAUAAAAAAAUUAGCAAAAUUUAUGAUAACAAAUUAAAUUUAUUCAUACAAAUCAGUGAAAGAAGUAGAAUUUUAAAGUCCAUGAUGAAAUUAAUACUUUCAAGGGCUCUAUUAGGAAGACUUCACUUGUUGGUGAAACUACACUAGCACAGUUAUAUGCACAUUUACUGUUUUGGUAUCUAAUUUCCUUGCCUUAAGUUGGGUGCAGAUGUUUAUAUUACAAAUAGAUGGUAUCAUAAAAUUGUUGUAUUCACGUUUGUUCUUUUUUUUCUUCCUUAAGUUUUUUUCUUUAUUCUCGUGACUUCAAAAAUACGAACUCAAGAAAUUGGCUGCUUAAUCAAUAUGUCAUACAGGCUUCGCUAGUGAGGUAUAACUUCACAACUAGAGUCAAUAGAAAUUAUCAAAUGAUUUUUUAACAUCCAAAUUAAGCAAUAAAUUUUGUUUUCAUUUUAUGACAUAUAAUAGUACUACUUCAUGAGAGAUUUUAUAGUUUCUUUUAGGUAUCAUACCUACAAGUGAUAUUUGUCAUUGGAUAGUGACAGAAGUGUUAAUGAUUGUAAGAUUAAAUAUUGUUAAAUAUUGAAAUUUAAACUAUUUAUCUUUAUUGAAAGAUACAAGUUAAAGAAUCGUUCAAGGGGGCAAUUUUCCAUCUUGUCUUUUUGAAAAAACGCUAUCACAUUGUAUAGGCAUGAUAGGUUCAAAUUUGUCAUUAAAUUUAUGAUUGAUUUUCCUUUUAUUCAAGCCAAAUAUUGUUUUAAUUAUCAAAUUCUACUUAUAUUUGGUUAAUUGUACUAAUUGUAGGGCGGUAGAGCAAAAGUUGCUAAAAAUAGGCGAUUUUCUGCAAAUUGGUUGUCAAGGCUGAAGGAUUUGGGAUUCGCAUGUUCAAGGCCUGUUUCCAAGUUUGAUUCAAACUCUGGACAGUUUUAGAGGAAGAUUUGGAAGAUUUGAAAUUUCAUUAUUAGUUUUAUGGUUGAAUUAGGAAUCUUGGAAUAAUUUCUUUUGUGAUUUAUUUUUCUAUUUAGGAGACUAGUUGUUAUUUAGUAGUAGACUUCAAUUAGAAAACAAAGAGAAAAAGAAGGCCGGAAUCCCGCUUGAUUAAUACCUUGGCCAGGGAACAAUCUCGGUGGGGAGGACGGCCACUUAGCCUCUCAAUUCAUCUUGCUUUUCGUUAGUUUGAGAGGAAAACCAAUUGCAACUAGAUUCAAUGGAGUCUGGCAGAAUUUCUUCUAGGAUGCGUAGCUAAAUCCUCAAUUUUUAGUCGAAGGUCAAUUUGAAAAUUCGGUUCCAAAUAUCUGUGAAAUCGAAUUAUUUUACUUAUUUCUUUUAUUUAUUGGUAUUCGCACGUUUUCUGAUUUAACUUUUUAUGAUUGUUUUGUUAUUUGAAUGUCAAGGGUCCGAUAUUCGAAUUAACUUAAUAAUCUACUGCCAAAUUAACCGGUUAAAUCCGUAAUUGUUUGAUUGAUUAAUAUCAGUGGCGACUAGCGUGAUUGGUCCCAUGUUAGGAAAACGUCUGAUCUAAUUUAAACAAACCGUCGUAGCGUGUUUGUUGAUUAGGGUUGGGCUUUUCUAAUUCUUAAUUCAAUUGAGAAAUUAAAUCCCCCGGUCGUACCUAGGAUUAUUUUUUUGUUAGCGAAAUAGUUAAUGGUCGUACCUUGACUAUCGAAAAAGUAAGGAAGAGUUGAUUGUUUAUCGCGUGUACGACAACUAUAAUCAAUCUAUUAAUGAGUAAUUGAAUUAUCUUUGCAUCAGUAAUCAGUUGAAUGGACCGUGUCUGAAAAGUUGUACCUUUGGCUAGAGUCUUAUCUGUUGUUGAUUCAUUCAUAUCUAUCUUCAUGCGUUGUUUUAAUUUAGUUAAUUAGUUAUUUUUAUAAAAACCCCUCAUCUCUGGACUCUAAAAGAAAUAAAUUAUUUCUAGUUCCUGUGGAUUCGAUCCUACUCACCAUACAAUCCAACCUGCAAUUGUAUGAACCCCAAUCUCGCUUCCUAGUCCACCAUUUUUCUCUAGGUAAUAAUCUCCCUUCUAAUUUCUUCACAAAAUGCACCUUUCAUCACCUCCAAUAGCGUCGACAUGAUCUUUACCCCAGAAGACUAUUCACCGACUCUCAAUUGACGUUAGAAAAUCUAAGAGUAAUUCUACUUUACCCUAAGAUUGAUAUCAACAAGACAAGGACAAUUUAGAAUUAUUACACGCCUCUUCUUAAUAGGAAAAAGAAAUAGAGAAGAAAGUCAGGCCAGGUCUAAUUUCUUUUCAAAGGCAAUACAACAUUACGAAAUCAAGCAUUCAUUCAUACAAAUAUUUCAUAGUCACCGGUUUGCUGAGUAGAAAAAUUUAGACAAAAACUUAAUAUUAUAUUGUUUAAGAGUUAACAAUUUAGAGCUUAAUCUCCUUGUACUUUGGAGUUAACAAUUUAGAGCUUAAUCUCCUUGUACUUUGGACUAAACUUGAACGUGAAAGGAAAUCCCAAAACCAUAUUGGGCAUGAAUUCACACUUAAUAUACCCAAUAAAAGAUGGCGACUGGUGAAAGGCAGUGGAGACUGGUGGAGAGAUUUGAGGAAUAGAAGCAGACGGAAAAGCAACAAAUUUUUGCCGAAAAACGGUCACUUUCAUGGUUAAUUUUGCUACUCUCCAAUUGUACUUGACCAAUUACAACAAUUUCAUGGAGUUUGAUACGUGAAAAGAAUUUUUUAUAAAUUUUAUUUUGAUCCAUAAUGUUAUCUUUACAUAUAUAAAACAUUUUACAAUUUUGAUUUUGGCGCAGUUAACUUUUGGUAAACAAAAAUGCUCAUGUUUAAAAAACCGGAAAUAAAACAAAACAAGAAACAAAAGAAAUAAGAGGGUAGCAUAGACAUUUUGGAUUUUUCCGUUAAUUUGGAUGAUUUCCACCCACGUUCUAAUUUAAUCCAAAACACAAAGGAAUUACGUAGAGGUUUUAAAUAAUGAGGGAGCUUCAUGAUCGAACCCCAAACCACAAGGCGAUUUACUAUAUUUUACUCUUAAAUUUUGGUUUCAUCUCAUAGCAUACAAGAGUUCUAUUUCACUAUCUGUAGACAAAGACUUUCUAUGGUUGAUGUACCAUAGGAAAAAAUCUGCCUAUACAACGUGAUAGCAUUUUUUCAAAAACACAAGAUGGAAAAUUGCCCCCUUAAACGGGGAAAUUCAUGAUCUUUCCUCGAACAAAGAAUACUCACGCCUAUUCAAGAUGGAAAAUUGCCCCCUUAAACGUCUAUUUGUCAAUUCUUGAAAAAAGAAUACUCACGCCUAAAACACGGCCUCUUCAUCUGCAGAAUUCUAAAAAGUUAGGUAAACUCUAUAAACAAGUUGAUAGGUACAAUCGUACCCAAGAUCAAGUACAGAUAGUUGUACAUUCACUGCUGCAAUAACUAAUCUGAUGACUUACAAACAUAUCAUGGUCAAUCGUUGAAUGGUAAUGAGUCUUUUGUUAUGCAUUAGUAUUAGUGUGUACACUCUAAUAGAUUGAUACUUAUACUCUUUAAAUUAUCAUAAUAAUACCCUUAAUUAACUUUAACUCUUAAAAAGAAUACGUGUUAAUACACGAGAGUGUGUAACCUGAAUUGUUACUUAUACAUUAGUGUGUAAUAGAUAGGGAUGGCAAUGGGGGCGGGUGCCCGCAGGCAACCGCCCCGCGGGGGGCUCUCGGGGCGGGGAGGGGGGAAUUUUUUCCCCCCGUUUAGAAACGGGGCAGGGGACGGGGGAGUAUACCCCCGCCCCAUCCCCCGCAAAAAAAAUUAUAUAUAUAUAAUUAUAUAUAAUAUGUAAUUUAAUUAGUUAUAAACUUAUGAUAAUGAUAUUAUUAGUUAGAUGUAUUAUAUAAUGUAUAUUAGUGUAUGUAAUAUAAUUAAUAUUAUCAAUUAUACGAAUAAUUAGACAUGUCUACUAAUAGAAUUUAUUAAUUAGUUAUACUAAAUUUACUAAUACAUUUAUACUAAAUUUCUAAUUACAUUUAAUAGAAUAACACUUUUUUCUAAAAAAAAAAGCACAAACACAAUAAUGAAUUAGUGAUUGUAUUUUUACCAAAAAUGAAAACUUAACUAUUUUAGUUGCAUUUAUUUCAUCAUGUUGGAUUGUAUUCAAAUAAUUUUUGUUUGAUUGUUUUUAUGAGUUUCAAUUGUAAAAUUAAAAUGAAUAAUAACUUGAUGAAUAAUAAUGUCAAUCGUUGAAUGGUGUGUACACUCUAAUAUUAUGCAUUAGUAUUAGUGUGUACACUCUAAUAGAUUGAUACUUAUACUCUUUAAAUUAUCAUAAUAAUACCCUUAAUUAACUUUAACUCUUAAAAAGAAUACGUGUUAAUAACUCUUAACCUGAAUUGUUACUUAUACAUUAGUGUGAAAUAGAACGGCAAGCAUUGAGCAACUUAUAGGAGAAAUAGUCCUAUAAGCUGUUGGAUGACUAAUAUAGCUCUAGCUGUAAUGUUUUAAUUAAAUUACAUCACUAACGUUGGGAUGACUAAUGGUUUAAAAAUAAUUGAGUAAUUGGAAAAAAAAAAAGAGACUAAUUUUCAUUGAAACCCACCGACAAACUAAACGUGUCCAUGGCUUUUGAAUAGUGCAUUCAACGUUUAAUUGUAUAGUCCAGUUCAUUGCAGAUUACAUGGAGUAAAGAUUGUGCUCUUUCCUUUUUCACCCCUUUUGGAAUCGAUACUGUGGAGAAUUGGGUUUUUCCCUUCUUUUUUUCUUUUCUUUCUUUCUGUGCUUUGCAAAACAUAGGUAAAAUUAUGAAAUCCGAAGCAUUCUUUAAUUGGGAUUAAGUAUUGUUCUUGAAAUUAAAAAGAAGAAAGAAAGAACAACAAAAUUCCCUGAUUGGUUGCAUCGUGCUUCCAUAGAAGCUCUCUUAGUGUGAUACACUGCUUUCAAUCAGUUUAACAUGGAAAAAAGAAAGAGAUGAAAAGCAAAUUUGGUGGGGAUAAUUUCAGAAACCUCCCCUGAAGAUUUUGACUAUUCUACUGGUCUCCCUUCAGAUUUUAAAAAUUACACUAAUCUUCCUUGAAGUUAUAACAUUUAAAUUCAAUCAAUAAUUUAAAAAAUGAUAUUAUGAAAGAGAAAAUAAUAUGAUUUUAUCAUUGCCCCCCAUCUUACUACAUUAUUUAAUUAAUUUAAUAGCAACCCACACAUUAAAGAAAAAUAUAAAAUUUGUUAUUUAUCAUUAAAGAUCAAAUCGCUUAUAACAUCAAAUAAUAGUAUAUUAUUUAUAUUUUUCACUUAACAUAAUAUCCAAAUUACUCUUUUCAAUUACAUACUCAUUGUUAGACAAUCAACAACAAAUAACCAAAAAAUUUGCAACCAAAAUAUUACAAAAAAAAAUAAACUUUAACAUCAUAAAUAUUCUUAUCAACAUAUUAAAGUUAGUUACUGAAAUUUUUAUGGUGUUAAACUUCACUCUUUGUAAUAUUUUGGUUACAGAUUUUUUUUGAUUAUUUUUUAUUAAUUAUGUUUGAUGAUGGGUUUGUAAUUGAAAAGAAUAAUUUAAAACUUACAUUAAGUGAAAUAUAUAGAGUGAUAUACUAUUUUUUAUAACAUAUGUGAUUCAAUCCUUCUUGAUAGGAUUGGUAAUAGAGGUAGAGGGGGGAGUCGGCUGCAUCCGGUCUUCUUUUCAUAGAUAGUACAAUAUUGCGAAAUCAAUCGCAUUCACACAAUAAUAUUUCGAAGUCAAUGCAUGGCUAAGUUGCAUAAAAGUACGAACACUUGUUAUUAUAUAGCUUAAGAUUCAAAACUUUAGAGCAUAACCCUCCACCUAACACAAUUGAAUAAUGAAUAUUCACGUUUGUCAAAUCUGUCAAAGCACAGUUUGAGGACAACCCAUUCCAACCUGCAAAAGAUUUUUUACUUUUCUAAAGUUGUUGAGAGCUGUAAAAAGACCUACCAUGCUUACAUCCUCCGAGCCUUGGGAGUUAAAAAUGAAGGCACUGAGUGCUAUAAAAAGGGGGCUAGAGGCUGCCUAGAAGCAUAUCAGCCUAAAACAAGAAUUUGUUGUUAUGAUGGGAAGCAAAGCAAAAGCAAUGGGGUCUGGGCUGACUCCUCUUCUUGCCACUGUUUUAGUGGUAUUUGUUGCUCUUGGCUUGCCCUCAGAAACAGCAGCUGAUGAUCACUACAAGUAUUCAUCUCCUCCUCCUCCUUACCACUAUCCCUCACCACCGCCUCCAGUGCAUUUACCUCCACCAGUGUACAAAUACAAGUCCCCACCACCACCUCAUCAUGUUUACAAGUACAAAUCUCCACCACCCCCACCACCACACCCAGUUUACAAGUAUAAGUCACCACCACCACCUCCUCAUCCGGUACCACACCCAGUUUACAAGUAUAAGUCACCACCACCACCUCCUCAUCCGGUAUACAAGUAUAAGUCUCCUCCGCCACCACCACACCCAGUUUACAAGUAUAAGUCACCACCACCACCUCCUCAUCCGGUACCACACCCAGUUUACAAGUAUAAGUCUCCUCCGCCACCAGUUUACAAAUAUAAGUCUCCUCCACCACCACCUCCAGUGUACAAGUACAAGUCUCCACCACCACCAGUUUACAAGUACAAAUCACCACCACCUCCUCCCCCAGUUUACAAAUACAAGUCUCCACCACCACCAGUUUACCACUACAAGUCACCACCACCUCCUCACCCAGUUUACAAGUACAAAUCUCCUCCACCACCAAUUUACCACUACAAGUCACCACCACCUCCUCCCCCAGUUUACAAAUACAAGUCUCCACCUCCUCCUCACCACUACUAAGCAAUUGCUUCUGAGGUAAUAACACUUGUUCAAUAACACUUGAUAGCCAGCUGAAUAUUUGCAGGCAAAGGAGAAGGAAACCAGUGUUUGAGACCUUCUUGAAGAUGUAGAAGCAUAAGAAUUAAAGCCCAAUGUGAAGAUGAUGAUUUCAAGUUUUUCUACGUUACCAUUUCAAUAUCUAAAUUGGUUGUAGCGCCUUAGUUCCUUUGUUUAUGGGAUUUGUAUCGUUUUACGUACCAUGCAGUACAUGUCAUGUUUGUAAGGUUUUCUAUCCUGCCGGCAAACCGCAGGUUCCAUGUAAUAAAUCAAUACUAUUUAUAUUACGACACUUUUCUCUGUUUCUCUUAUAUUUUGUCUUUAAUAUUCUUAAUCAUAUUUUUAACAAAAAUAUUCAAACACUUCAGCAAUGGUUCACCUAGUUGAUCAUCGAAGCAGAGGCAAUUCCAAUUAUUUAUCAAUAAAUAGGAUAUAACUACCAAACAAGCGAUGGCAGUUAACCCCUCCUUACUGUGUCGGUGAUCAAGGUACGCCCGUUAAUCACUGCUCUAAUUGAGAAAUAAUCCUAAGUACGCCCGUAGAAUUUAAUUCCCCAAUUGCCUUACAUAUUAGAGGAGCCCUAUUCUAACCAAAUAACGCACUAUCAGGGUUAUUUUAGAUUAGCCCGCGUAUUCCCCUGACAUAAAUCUAAUCAUGCCAGUUGUCAUUAUUUUGAGGUAAUUAAACAAUUACGGAUUUAACACCUCAAUUGACAAUAGAUUAUUAAAUUAAUUAAUUAUUCGGAUCCAAGACAAUCAAUUAAUUAAACAACCAUAAGCACUACAAUCAGAGAAUAUGCAAAUACCAAUAAAUAAAUAAAAAAUAAAAUUAAAUCGAUCUCACAAUUUUUAGGCGAAUCAGAGCAUCCGUUGUCCCUUGACUAGAGCAAGGAAAUUAGUUCAUAUUUGAUGAACUAAACCCAUACAAAAGGGAAGCGAGAAAUGCAGCCAUUAUCCUUUGAAAUCUGGAAAAUUCAACUUGUCCGAAUAUCGAAUAGAUAGUAAUACUACAAAAGGUAAUUCAUAGCUUCCCUUUCGUCUGACACACAAGAAGAAAAAAAAGGGCUGCUAAUAACUAAAGGAGGAAAAGUCAAAGUCCUAAGCUAUGCUACAAGACGAAAAACUAAAGAAGACAAAAAGGCAGUGCUCAUUCCCUGCAAUCUCAAUUCCUAUUCUAUCUAAGUGCUCUCCAAUGUGCGGCGGCUCCCCUUCCGGAGAGGACGAAGUGGCACCCUUUUUUCCUGCGCAAUUUUCCUAUAUAAAGUAGUGCUCCUUGCAGCGGCUCCUGUGCGAAAAAAUGAAGACUUCGGCCCAAUUUGCCUAACAAGGGCUCACGUUUUGUUGUUCUAAAAAUGUCCCUAGGACAAACUCUAUCAUCUGAACUCUUUUCUUGCCAAAUUAGUACCUGUUAUUAUAUUUUCGUUCUACUCCCUGAAAUAAAUGCAAAAUAUCAAAAGUGAGUAGAAUCUAGCAAUUAAUCCACAUUAGGUCAGGUAAUAGGGAAAAUUAAUAAUAAAAUAAAUGAUAAAAUUGCAAUCUAUCACGGGACCACUGUGGUAAGGUGUGUUUCGCCUAUUAUAAGGAGUUCGGAGAGUUAGACGUGUUGGAGGCGGAGGCGCGGUCACUCCUGCACGCCCUCCAGCUGUGUGCAGAUCGCGAGGUACGGGCGUUGACUGUAGAAUCUGAUUCAAAGGUGCUUGUUCAACUAGUUUGCUCGGAUAUGAGGUCGAAGUGGCCGGUGUGUAUCGUAUUGCGGGAAAUAAGACAUUUGAUCCGGCGGAUGGGUGCAUCCCUUCAUCAUAUAUUCCGUGAGGCCAAUUCGGUGGCGGACGCAUUGGCUUCUCUGCAAUUGGGAGGGCAGCAGUACUACACCUCAGGCGUGGCGCUGCCUUUCAGGCCCAGAGGAGAGGCUCUGCUGGAUCGUCAAGGAGUACCUCGCAUCCGUGAGGCGCUCACUAAGGUUUGAUAGGCUAUGUCCUCCUUUCAAAAAACUUAUUUCAUCUACUCCUUGUAAUCAUUUUUCUUAUCAAUAAAUUGAGGCUUUUUAUUUAAAAAAAAACAUAUAAUUUAAGGCAAAAAUAUGAUCCUAGCGAGUAUCGCACUGAGACAUUAGGAAACAUCAUUAAAAGAGUAUUUCUUGAGUUAGUGCAACUAUUUCUUAGGGGAAUUUAUAGUUACAAAAUUCAAAAAUUUGAGAUUCUAUUACUGAUUAAUUAAGGGCGUUAUCACUAUUUUUCUUAUUAUCACCAUUAUUUACCCCACAUACUAUAAGUUUUUUUAGGGCACAGGAAAAGAGGUGGGCCGAUGUUUAGUUAUGUACAAAAGUUCAAAAUUUGUAGAUAACUUAUCAUGUGCCCUUAGAGCGUAGAAUACAGAAAAAAUAUCUUAAACUAUAACUAAUCCUAAUAUUUUUCUCUAUGAUAAACUAGCUCUUAUCCAUUUCUUUAGAUGAUGAAAGGAAAUAGUUAGUCACCUGUCCUCUAGUGAUUACAACAGCAUCAAAACAAAUUAGCACUCUUUUCCCGUAGUUUAAAAAUCCCUCAGCCACUAAGAUUUUGCAUGUCGAACGAAUUAAGGAACAUAGAAGGUUCGUGCUGCACCACAGUGUCCUUGUUGACGAUGCAAAGACAGAAAUGCAUCCGCGUAUACUUCCUUAAGCAUUUUGAUUACUUUAUGAUUCGAACUUUUCUUGUCUGACAGCUGGACUUAAUUGAAAAACACAAGUAACAAUAUUUCAAAGUUGAUUCGUCAAAGUUUACCCAAUUGGUGAAACUUUCUUCAUAGAGCUGACUUUGUAUUAGGUGACAAUGAUAUGGAAUUGAUGUCCUUCCCUUUUUCCUUUUUUUGUGUUGAAGACGCACAACGUUUUCAAUGGCAAAUUUAUAUGGGCUUUUCACGACAAAAUGUGUUCUGAAAAGUUCAUUCCAGAGGUUAAAAUUUUGUGUGUUAAAAAUUUGCUUCUCAGGACUUUGAUGGGAAAGUCUUGGUGUUUCCAAAAAGUUUAAGCAGGAUGCUUCUGGCUUUCUCUCCAUGUAUUUGUGAGUUAGAUCUAAAAUUAUCAGGGCUCCAGAGAUCUCUUGAAAUCGCAGCAUAUAUUGAAGUCUUUCCAGAAGGAGUCUUUUUUUUUUUUUUUAUGAAUUAUGAUAGAUAAUUAAUCUGACGGUGCAUAUAUAUAUAUAUGUGAUUUGCAGUAGGGUGUUUGACGAAAUGGUUAGGCUUCCUAAGUAAUGAUAGGAAUGCCAUUUGCAAAGAAGGACAGGGGGCUGGUGCUGUCAUAUUUUAUGCGAUUUGAUCCGUUGUUGUAUAAGUUUAAACUUUUGACGUGCAAUUGUGCUAUAAUAUUAUACUAAAUAUAUGUGUGAAAUAUUUUGUCUAUAUACAUCACUUUUAUCAUGAAUACAACAGCUGAGUAUAAUAAUAUAGUAUAAUGUAAUUGUACACCAAAUAAUGUAGCAAAUAUAACAAUUGAUCCGAAUUACACGGAACCAUAACAACAAGAUCACCGCCUCCCAAAUUUUACAAAAUUAGGUUUUUUUUUUUUCUCUUAGAUUAUUGAAAAUUUUCAAAAAUAAUCUACAUAAUUUAAGCUUUUGUCCUACAAAAAUUUGAAGAGAUUUUACAUUACAAGCUUAAGCUUAGAUAUAUUAAACUUUGCCCCCAAGAUUAAUUUUCCGUUUUUAUCUAUGAACCGAUCCAUAUAGCUAGUUAGACUGUAGUCCUCACAUUUGUGGGAUUUAACACCCAAGAUUCUCCUUCUUGGAAUGUAAAAUGUAGAUCUUCUAUGUUAAUAAUUCAAGACCCUACUGUCAUAAACGAAAUGACUGAUCAACUCCUGUAAACCUAAUUUGACAACAUUUAAAUGGAGAACUUUAGCUAAAAGAAUUAUGGUCAAGCUAAAGAAAAAGCCAGUUAUUUUCCAACAUAUGCAAUCAUUGAUCAGGAAAAAAAAAAAAAAGCAAAAAGACAUCUUCAAUCAUUUAAUAGCUCACAGUGCAAAUUAACCCCUAAGCGAAAACUGGUUGCUCUAGAAUCAAAAUUUUACCUUAGUUACCCAGGCAACUUUUUUGUUGCUUUUUUUUUUUUCUUUUCCUUUUUGGGUAUAUAUAUAGCUCCAGUUUUGCCCCCUCUGUCAAGCUUAUAUAAUUAUUAAGAUAAUAAAAGUGCCUUGAAUAGUAUUAAUAUAUCCAUUGACUUGAGCUGUCAUCGAUCGGUUUGGGCUACUUCGAUUCCAUGAGAACAAAUGGUAAUAAAAGUACUCAGAAAAUAGGGAGCCAUGAAACCCUUUUGUUCUAUUCAUUGCUAAGAUGCUUUUCUCUAUAAAGAGACUUCCUAACGAAAGUACUUUGUAGAUUUCUUUACUCCAAGUGGUGCAUGGAAAAUUAAAAUAUUCAAUUAUCAAAUAAAAUUCCCUUUUUUCGGUGUAGAUUUCAUCCAUCCAGCUGUUAACACAUUUUAUGUAUCCGAAUUAUAUAUUCUCUACCAAAUAUUGUAACUUUUCUGAGCAUCUUUACAUUUUUAUUCCCACCUAACAAAUUAGUUGUUGAGCAUCUUUACAUGCUAUCGGAUCACAAGUUAAUAAUCUUUUAAAGAACAUGUUAAAUUAAUUUAUUGGUAUGAAUAGUCAAAGAAGUAUAUUAAAGUUAGUAAUCUUUAAACACCACGAUGCAAUUAAUACUUUCAAGCUCAAGGUCUUUUUUUUUUUUUUUUUUGGUACUGUACUUCCUUGCUUUAUAGUAUGCACGUUUAUUUCUGUGGAUUGCUUAAGCUUAUAUUGUUAAUAAUUGGGCAUUUAACCAUAAAUUAUAAUGAUUAUGAAGUCAUAUAUAUAUAUAUAUAUAUAAGAAAAUUACCACAAUUAUUCAAUUUUUUUUGCAAAUUCAAAUUUUAUUAAUAAGAAAUAGGCAGUAAGCUUUUACAAACGGAAAAAAAAAAUCCUACAACAACUCUAGGACCUUUGAAAGAAAGAAAAAAAAAAGAAAAGAAAAGCUUAAGGACUCUACCUCAUAGAAGCUAAACAAUCCUACAAAUAAACUGCAAAAUAAAUCACAAUAACGCAAAAUUUUUGUCUUUCUUCCGUAUGAAAUGAAACUACGAAGUCAAGAAUUGACUCCUUUAACCGCUAUUGCCAGCGGGCUCCGUCAGCAAGAUACAACUUUGCAAUUUGAUUCAAUAGAAAUCCUCAAAUAGCUAUUUUGACAGGCAAAUUAAGCAUUAAUUUUGGUAUCCCUUCAUAAAAUACAAGAGUACUUUUGAUUAUAUCUAUAGAUCAACUUUCUAGGCUAUUUUGAUGUAUUAUAAGAAAAUCUGCCUCAACAAUUUUGAUAGCAUUUUUCCAAAAGCAGAAGAUGGAAAAUUGCCCAUUUGUACUGGGGAGUUCGUGAUCUUUUCCUCCUUCUAGUCUACUUACAAUUCUUGGAAAAAGGAAUACUCACAUCUCAAACAACUGCCUGUUCAUCUGCAAUGUCCUGCCGAAUUCUAGAAAGUUAGGUGGCAAUGCUAAUUACAUUUCAAAAUUGACUGCUGCGAUGACUAAUUCGAUGGCUUACUACAUGGUCAACGUUUGGAUCCCUUCCUGUCCUUUUUGGAUGCACAUUUUUUUUCUCUAGGCAAUAUAUAAUCUCCCAACUCAUUUCUUUACAAAUGCACCUUUAAUCACCACCAAAAGGUGUGGACAUGAUCUUUACCCUAGAAAACUAAUCACCGACAGGCAAAUUGACGUCAGAAAUACUAAGAGGAAUUCUAGUUUCCUUCGGGUUAAUGCCAUUUUGUACCCUUCAACUGUAACUCGAUUUCUAAACUAUAAUUUGUGACAUUAUAGUCCUUAAACUAUGAAACCCCUCUUACUUAAGUACAAUGGUUAAUACAAUACCCGUGACUAGACAAGCAACCAUAACAAAAAAAAAUCCAAAAUUAGAGAAAAGAAAGAAGUUUCGCGACCAAAGUAUGUAUCAAGGCAUAGUAUAGAAAUAAAAGUGUCCAAAUUAAGAGUUUAGGGAUAAAAGAGAUCAAGAUAUAGUUUAGGGAUUGAUUUGUCUCAAUUAGAGUUUUGAUGUCAACUAAGAAGAGAGAUAUAGUUGAAGGGUAGAAUAUAGAUAUAACAGUUCAAUGAUUGAUAUCAACGAGACAAUGACAACUUUGGAUUAUUACCAACCUCUUCUUGAUGGGAAAAGGAAAUAGAGAAGAAAGUCGGGCCUGGUCUAAGCCUGCUUCGGAGGCAAAACAACAUUAUGAAAUCACCGGCAUUCACACAAAUAUGUCAAAGUCACCGGCAUGCUAAGUUGCAUAAUUUAUACAAACACUGAAUAAUAUAUUGUUCUUAAAAUUUUUGUUUAAGAUUUAACAAUUAGAGCACGGUACACGAAUUAGCAAUAUUAAAUAAUGAAUGUUCACGAUUGAUAAAGUUAUCAAAGUACAGUUUGAGGACAACCCAUUCCAACGUGUACAAGAUGUUUAGCCUUUGAAAAGUUAAUUAGAGAAGGUGACGAGAUUUUACUAGGCUUAAAUCUUCUAGGCCUCGGAAGUAAAAAAUGAAGGCCUUUGAGUGCUAUAAAAAGGGGGCUAGAUGUUGCCUAGAAGCAUAUCAGCCUCAGACCACAUUUUGUAGCAAUGGGGAGCAAAGCAAAAGCAAUGGGGUCUAGGCUGACUCCUCUUCUUACCACCGUUUUAGUGGUAUUUGUUGCUCUUGGCUUGCCUUCAGAAACUGUGGCUGAUUACUACAAGUAUUCAUCUCCUCCUCCUCCUUACCAUUAUUCCUCACCACCACCUCCUGUGCAUUCACCUCCACCACCGCCAAUUUAUAAGUCACCCCCACCACCUUACCACUACUCCUCACCGCCACCUCCAGUGUAUUCAUCUCCACCACCACCUUCGCCAGUUUACAAGUCUCCGCCACCACCUUACCAUUAUUCGUCACCACCGCCUCCGGUGCAUUCACCUCCACCACCACCUGUUUACAAGUCACCUCCACCACCUUCGCCAGUUUACAAGUCUCCGCCACCACCUUACUAUUAUUCGUCACCACCGCCUCCGGUGCAUUCACCUCCACCACCACCGAUUUACGAGUCACCUCCACCACCUCCUCCAGUUUACAAGUCUCCGCCACCACCUUACCAUUAUUCCUCACCACCACCUCCAACGCAUUCACUCCCACCACCAGUUUACAAAUCACCGCCACCACCUCCUCCUAUGUAUAAGUCCCCUCCACCACCUUAUCAUUAUUCCUCACCACCACCUCCAGUGCAUUCACCCCCACUGCCACCAAUUUACAAGUCUCCGCCACCUCCAAUCUACAAGUAUAAGUCACCACCACCUCCUCCCCCAAUUUACAAGUCACCACCACCACCUCCUCCAGUAUAUAAGUCCCUACCCCCACCAGUGUAUAAGUACAAGUCUCCACCACCACCUCCUCCAGUAUACAAAUCACCUCCACCACCUCCUCCAGUUUACAAAUCUCUACCACCACCAAUUUAUAAAUACAAGUCUCCUCCACCACCUCCUCCGGUUUACAAUUCCCCACCACCACCAAUCUACAAGUCUCCACCUCCACCCUCCCAUUACUACUACAAUUCUCCUCCUCCUCCUCCUCAUCACUACUAAGCAAUUGUAUCCAAGUUUUUGAGGUAAUAAUGCUAAACCAAUAUAUUAACUUUCGCAUGAUAAACUUUAUCUCUAUCAAGACAAACUGCCAUGUGCAUCAAGCCAAAUACGUACACUUCGAUCCAUGAAAAUGACAAGUAGAAGGUUUUCUUAAGAACCAAGGAACAGCAUUAGUAUUCCCUCUGUUUCCAAAACUUGUGUAUUAAAUAGAUUAAUGAAUUGUUUAACAUGCUUAUCUACUUGAAAAUGCACAAUACCCAUAACCCACUGAAAUUUUUGCAGGUAAAGGGGAAGAGAAUCUGUGUUUGAGAGCUUCAUGAAGAUGUUGAAGAAUAAGAAUAAAAGCCCAAUGCGAGGAUGUUUUCAAGUUUUUCUAUGUUUCCACUUUAAUUUGUAAAUUGAAUUUUUCGACUUAAUUAAUUCCCUGUUUGUGGGGUACGUAUUGUUUUACGUACCAUGCCGUACAUGUUUGUAAGGAUUUCUAUCCUAUUGGCAAAAGUCGGUUCCAUACAAUUAAUCAAUUCAUUUCACUUCUAUUGGCUCUACUAUUUAUGCACGUUACGACAUUUUUUCUCUCUUUCCCUUAUAUUUUGUCUUUAAUAUUAUUGAGUCAAUAGUAAUACUGGGCCAUUUUUUUUAAAACUUAUACUAGUAUACAUAGGUAGUUUGGUCUAACGCCAAAUUCAUGUUUGUCUUUCUUUUAUUCCCUUUACAUUUCAAAGUAUACUAUAGUUUGUGAUCAUUGUGGUGAUGAUAUUACCAGCUGGUACUUAUAGUUUAAGGCAGAGACAUGAUAUUAACAACUAUCUCAUUGAAACAUAAGGAAAAAUCAUGACAAGUGUGAGUCUUGGUUAAUGCACAAUUUGUUAGUGGAAUUUAUAUUUAUAAAACUCAAAAAAAAAAUUUUGACAAUGCUAUUACUAAUUAAUUAAGGACUUUAUUGCUAUAAUUUAUCGCUUGCUAGUUUAAACUAUAAAUGAUCUCAAUACUUUUCUCCAUGAUGUCGAUUUCUUUAGAUACGAAAGGGAAAAAUUAGUGACAUAUCCCUUACUGAUUACAACAUCAGCAAAAAUUAGUUAUAAACUUUUCCGGUGGUUUUAAAUCCCCGGGCCCUAAGAUUUUUUGCUCAUCGAGUGAAUUAAGGAACAUAGGCAAUUCAUUUUGCAUACCAAGUCCUUGUUUAAGAUGCAAGUACUAAAAUGCAUCCACUUCAUUAAUUUGGGAAAUUGCCAUAGUUUUUUUAAGCAUUUUGAUUUUUUACAUGAUUUAAAAUUUUCUUAUUGGAUACAAUCACUUUGUAUCAAGAACACAUUUUCAAUCACCUUUUUUUAUCUUCUCAAUGAGAAAAUAAAAAUUUAUUCAUGCUUUUCUAACAUAUUCAAUCAUUGAUCUGAAAAUUAAAACAUUAAGAAAAGGACAUUUUCAAACAUUAAGAAGUAGUAUUUUAAAGACCAUGAUGAAAUUAAUACUUUCAAGGUCUCUAUUAGGAAGACUUCCUUUAUUAAUACUCUACUAGGCAGAGUUAUAUGCACGUUUACUGUUUUGGCCUUAAGUUGGGUGCAGAUGCUUAUAUUACAAAUAGAUGGUAUCAAAAAAUUGUUGUAUUCACGUCUGUUCUUUUUUUCUUCCUUAAGUUUUUUUCUUUAUUCUCGUGACUUCGCUAGUGAGGUAUAACUUCACAACUAGAGUCAAUAGAAAUCGUCAAAUGAUUUUUUGACAUCCAAAUUAAGCAAUAAAUUUUGUUUUCAUUUCAUAACAUAUAAUAGUACUACUUCAUGGGAGAUUUUAUAGUUUCUUUAGGGUAUCAUACCUACAAUUGAUAUUUAUCAUUGGAUAGUGAAAGAAGUGUUAAUGUCUCUAAGAUUAAAUAUUGUUAAAUAUUGAAAAUUUGAACUAUUUAUCUCUAUUGAGAGAUACAACUUAAAGAAUCCUACCCAAAAGAGACUAGAAUUUUCUCUGUUUUUCAUCAUCUGUAGACAUAAACUUUCCACGGUUGAUAGCAUUUUUCAUCAUCUAUAAGGAAAUUUUGCCUAUACAAUGUGAUAGCAUUUUUCAAAAAGACAAGAUGGAAAAUUGCCCCCCUUGAACGGAAAAUUGCCCCCUUGUCAAUUCUUUAAAAAAGAAUACCGUCCCGCAGAAUUCUAGAAAGUUAGGCAAAACUAGACAAGUUGACAGGUAUAAUCAGACCCAAGAUCAGGAACAAGCAGUUGCACAUUUCAAAAUUCGCUGCUGCAACAACUAAUUUGAUGACUUACAACACUAAAUGGUCAAACUUUGAAUGGCAAUGAAUCUUUUGUUGUACAUCAUGAUGUAAUUUUCAUGUUACAUAAUAGAUUGAUAUCUAUGUUCUUUAAAUUAUCAUAAUAAUUAAAUUUAACUGAAAAAAAGAACACAUAUCAAUACACAAAAGUGUGCAACGUGAAUGUUAUUUUAGUGUAUUGCAGAAGACCUAUAGUCUCUUCAUAUCUCUUCCUGCACGUAUCAAUUCGUUUCCUCUAGAUAAUAAUCUCCCAACUCAUUUAUUUACAAAUGCACCUUUUAUGUUUUAUUACCUCCAAAAGCCUAAAAAUCAAUUCACCGACUCGCAUUUGGUAUCAGAAAUUCUUAUUACGAAUUCUACUUUACUCAAAGAUUGACUGUUAAUAAUGAGACAACGACCAUUUUGUAUUAUUACACCGUCCUUCUUGAUAGGCAAAAGAAAUAGAGAGGAAAGCGGGUCCGUAUAUGGUCUUUUAUUCAUAGAUAAUACAACAUUACGCCAUCGAGCAUUCACACAAUAUUUCAAAGUCAUUGCAUGCCUAAGGCCUGCUUGAUAAUCUAAUUCCGUACUUAAAUUUAAUAAAUUCAAAUCUUAACACAUUCAAAUCGUUUGAUAACAAAAAAUUGAACAUCUAAAUUAAUUAAGUAACACUGAAUUUUCUAGGCAAAACUUGCUCCCAAAAUUAAGUGAUAAGUUAUUCACUUAUCACUGAAUAUGAUAUGUAUUCAAAUGUAUUAGAUUUAAUACUUAAUAAUUUAAUGAAUUCAAAUUUCAUAUUUCAUAUUUCAGUUUUAUCAAACACACCUUAAGUUGCAAAAUAAUACCAAAACUUGUUAUUACAUAGCUUGAGAUUCAAAAAUUUAGAGCAUAAUUCUCAACCAAACACAAUUGAAUAAUGAAUAUUCACGAGUGUCAAAUCUAUCAAAGUACAAUUUGAGGACAACCCAUUCAAACGCGUACACGAUUUUUAACUUUUCUAAAGUUGUUGAGAGCUGUUGAAAGAGAUUUACCAUGUUUACAUCUUCCAAGUCUUGGGAGUAAAAAAUGAAGCCACUGAGUGCUAUAAAAAGGGGGGUAGAGGCCACUUGAGAUCCUCGGUGACAUGUUUUCUAUGCCAAUCCAAUGCCACCAAUAGUGUUGCGCCAAGUGUCAUGUUAUUAUUUACACUUGUGUUAAACUAAGCCAAGUUGAAUUAUUAGAAAAUUAAAGUGUAAAUAAUAACAUGACACUUGGCGCAAUACUAUUGGUGACAUUGGGUUGGCAUAGAAAAUAUGUCACCGAGGAUCCCAAGUGGAUAGAUGCUGCCUAGAAGCAUAUCAGCCUAAAACAAGAAUUUGUAGUAACAAUGGGGAGCAAAGCAAAAGCAACGGGGUCUAGGCUGACUCCUCUUCUUACCACUGUUUUAGUGGUAUUUGUUGCCCUUGGCUUGCCCUUGGAAACUGCAGCUGAUUAUUACAAGUAUUCAUCUCCUCCUCCUCCUCCUUACCAGUAUUCCUCACCACCACCUCCAGUGUAUUCACCUCCACCAACCCCUGUUUAUAAGUUACCCCCACCAUCUCCUCUAGUUUACAAGUCCUCACCACCACCUUACCACUACUCACCACCUCCUGUGUAUUCACCUCCACCAUCACCAAUUUACAAGUCACUGCCACCACCCCCUCCAGUAUACAACUCCCCGCCUCCACCAGUGUACAAAUACAAGUCCCCACCACCACCUUCUCCAAUUUACAAAUCUCCACCGCCACCAGUUUACAAGUACAAGUCACCCCCACCACCUCCUCCGGUAUACAAGUCUCCUCCGCCACCUGUUUACGAGUACAAGUCUCCUCCACCACCUCCUCCAGUGUACAAGUCCCCACCACCUCCAGUUUACAAGUACAAGUCACCACCACCUCCUCCCCCGGUUUACCAAUCUCCUCCACCACCAGUUUACAAAUACAAGUCACCACCACCUCCUCCCCCAGUUUACCAGUCUCCACCUCCACCCUAUCAUCACUACUACGGUUCUCCUCCUCCUCACCACUACUAAGCAAGUGCAUCUAAGUUUUGAGGUAAUAAUACCGAUCCAAAACUUUAUCAACGCAAACUGCCAUGUAUAUCAUGCUAAGGACGUACACUUGAUCCAUGAAAAUGGCUAGUAGAAGAUUUUUUUUAAGAACCAGAGAAAUACAUUAUUUUUUCGCUCUGUUUUCAAGAAUUUGAGCAGUAUACAGAUUAAAGAGUGUUUUUUUUAAACUUGCUUAUCAACUUAGAAAUGCACAUAGCUGAAAGCCAACUGAAUAUUUGCAGGCAAAGGAGAAGGCAAUCGGUGUUUGAGACCUUCAUGAAGAUGUAGAAGAAUAAGAAUAAAAGCCCAAUGCGAGGAUGAUUUCAAGUUUCUACGUUACCAUUUCUACAUCUAAAUUGACUUUAGCUCCUGAGUUCCAUGUCUAUGGGGUUUGUACUGUUUUACGUACCAUGCAGUACAUGCUUGUAAGGUUUUCUGUCCUGUUGGCAAGCCGCAGGUCCAUAUAAUAAAUGAAUACUAUUUAUAUUACGACACUUUUCUCUCUUUCUCUUAUAUUUUGUCUUUAAUAUUGUUGAUCAUUUUUUUUUUUUAUCAAAAGUAUCAAAUGCUUAGGCAAUUUGGUCUAAUGCUAAUUGUUUUACAUUUAUUUUUCACCUACAUCCCUUUUCAACUCAAAGGAUGCUACAGUUUGUGAUCAUUGUUUAAGACCGAAGCAUGGUACUAAUAAAUAUCUCAUUGAAAGUCAAGGAAACUAACAUUAUGAAAAGUGUAAAUCUUGAUUUGUGAAACUAUUUAUUCGUGGAAUUUAGAGAUACAAAACUCAAAUUGUGACGGUGUUGUUGCUAAAUUAUUUUUUUUUUAUAAUAAAACACAGUUCAUUCAAGGAUUACUGGAAAUCGUCCAGCACAAUUGAGAUACAUUGUUGCCCAGGUGGCAGAUAAAUAUGCACUAAAAUUAUAGAUAUGCAAUUUAACAAAUACAUAAGAUUUGAGAAAUUAAGGACAAAUCUAAAAAGGACCAUAAAUUUGAAAAACAUUUCAUCCUAGAAUAAGUCGCUGCAACUCUCUUUGUGCAUGCUGUAAUCGUCAGAUCUACUAAUCAACAGUUGUAAGGUCCAGUAAAGAUGGUGAGAUCUGCCGAGAUUGAUCCAAAUCUGAAAUAUUCCCUCAGAUCUGCUAUCCAAUUGGUUCAAACUCAAUACUGAAAGUGAAAUCUGAUGAGAAGACUGAAAAAAUUGUAGAUCUAACAUAUAGAUCUAAAAAAACUCCAAGAUUUGAAAAAGUAAAGAAACAAAACUAAAUAAAACUCUCAUUAAGAUAGUUUAGGAGAGACUAAAACUCUCAAUAGGACACCCUAGGAGAGAAGAAAACUCUCACUAGGAUAACCUAUGAGAGACUUUAUUGAAUGAAAGGAAAAGCAAAGGACAAAGGAAGAAGAAGGGAGACCUUGGCUUAAGGCCAAGGUCUCCCUCCUAUGGAGGAGGAAGGGUAGAGGAGGAAGCCUAGAGAGAAGGAAGAGAAUCCCUCCGCUAGAGGGAAGGAAGAGCCUCUGAGAGGGUACCCGUGUUGUUGCUAAAUUAUUAAGGACAUUAUCACCAUUACUUUUCCCUUACUAGUUUCAACUGCAAUGAUCUCAAUCUUUUUGUGACUAAUUCUUUUCUUAAUAAUUUAUAAAUACAAAACUCACAAAGAAUAUGUGACUUAUUCUUUCCUUUCGUCUUCUAAAGAAAAUGCCAACUGUUAGUUUAUCAAGGGAAAAAGGAUCGACAUCAGUUGUUAUUGAAACUAGUAAGGAAUAAAUAAUGGUGAUAAUGUCCUUAAUAAUUUAACAACAGCACCAUCAGAAUUUGAGCUUUGUAUCUAUAAAUUCCACGAAUAAAUAGUUUCAUCAAAUCAAGAUUUACACUUUUCAUAAUGUUAAGUUUCCUUGACUUUCAAUGAGAUAUUUAUUAGUAUCAUGCUUCGGUCGUAAACAACGAUCACAAACGAUAGCAUCCUUUGAGUUGAAAAGGGUAGUGAAAAAGAGAAGUAAAAAAUACAAUUAGCAUUCCCUCAAAUUGUAGAAAGUUAGGUAGCAUUAUAGACAAGUUGAUAGCCGUAAUUAUACUAAAAAUCAGGCAAAAGCCAGCAAUUUUACAUUUCAAAAUUCACCUAUUCAAUAACUAAUUCGAUGGCUUGCUACAUGGUCAAAAUUCACCACAUAUCCCUUUCCUCAAUCAGGGGCUUCUACAAUUACCAGUUCCAAUUGUAUGGUAUAGUGUAAAUAUCAACAAAUUAGAUGUAGACACUAAUAUAAUAAAUAUGGAUGCUAAGGCAACAACAUACAAAAACAUAAUAAAUUUUGGCAUUCCUUAAAAAAUUACGUCCCCAAAUCAAUCUCAUACACCCAAUUUCUAAUUUAUUUAACUCAUUCCGUCUAUUAACUGCACCAUACAAUCCAACCUGCAAUUGCAUGAACCCCAAUCUCGCUUCCUAGUCCACCAUUUUUCUCUAGGUAAUAAUCUCCCUUCUAAUUUCUUCACAAAAUGCACCUUUCAUCACCUCCAAUAGCGUCGACAUGAUCUUUACCCUAGAAGACUAUUCACCGACUCCCAAUUGACGUCAGAAAAUCUAAGAGUAAUUCUACUUUACCCUAAGAUUGAUAUCAACUAGACAAUGACAAUUUAGAAUUAUUACACGCCUCUUCUUAAUAGGAAAAAGAAAUAGAGAAGAAAGUCAGGCCAGGUCUAAUUUCUUUUCGAAGGCAAUACAACAUUACGAAAUCAAGCAUUCAUUCAUACAAAUAUUUCAUAGUCACCGGUUUGCUGAGUAGAAAAGUUUAUACAAAAACUUAAUAUUAUAUUGUUUAAGAGUUAACAAUUUAGAGCUUAAUCUCCUUGUACUUUGGACUAAACUCGAACGUGAAAGGAAAUCCCAAAACCAUAUUGGGCAUGAAUUCACACUUAAAUAGACCCAAAAAAAGAUGGCGACUGGUGAAAGGCAGUGGAGACUGGUGGUGAGAUUUGAGGAAUAGAAGCAGACGGAAAAGCCACAAAUUUUUGCCGAAAGAGGGUCACUUUCAUGGUUAAUUUUGCUACUCUCUACUUGUACUUGACCAAUGACAGGUUGUCAGUCUGUGCAAUAAUAAAAACCUGUUCAAACUAAAAGUAAUUUCUGUAGAUAGUGGUAAGCAGGGUCGAAUCCACAGGGAUUAGGUGUAACUGUUUCUUUUCAAAUUCACAAUAACAAAGGGGGUGUUUUUAUGCAGAAUGUGACAAUCAAAGAAAUUCAAUUAAAAGUAAAAUAAUAAAAAUAAAAUAGCCAACUAGAAAUUAAAUAACAAUUUACUAAAAUCAAAUGAGUGAUAAUUAAGGAUCUAGCCAAGGAAUAACUUCAGCAGUGGUUCACCUAAUUGAUCAUUGGAACAAAGGCAAUUCCAAUUAUUUACUAAUAAAUAGGUUAUAACUGCCAAACAAGCGAUGACAGUCAAUCACUCCUUACUGUGUCGGUGAUUAAGGUACGCCCGUUAAUCACUGCCCUAAUUGAGAAAUAAUCUUAGGUACGCCCGUAAGAUUUAAUUUUCCAAUUGCCUUACAUAUUAGAGGAGUGUCAGGAACAAGGAAAUAGAAUGGGACGUCGUUUAAUGCAAAGGGUUGUGCGUUUAAGGCCUUAGAAGCAAUACUACGUCGUUCUAAUAACAUAGGCGGUGCUGGUGUGAUAGGCCAAGUUAGUUGAGGGUCAAUUACAUAAAUAGCCUUCUGUAACAGAUUUUUGGUUAUGUUUUUGAAUGAAAAGUAUCUCGCUGCUUUCUCUCUCUUGUCUGUUAUUUCCCUCCCUUUUCUUCUUUCUCUCUUCCCUCUUCUUAAUCUUGUUUCUUUCUUCUGAUUCUUCCCCCAAAUUCAAUACAAUUCCAGAAAUUAACCUGCAAGUCUGACAUUUGGUAUCAGAGCGGUCGAUUCUUGGCCGCGAAGGUAUCAGAAAUGGCUGAGAGCACGCGAUUCAGGACACUGGAGGAGCAACUCAAGAAGCAGGAGAAUCGGUUGCAAGAACUGGCGGAAUCCAUGGCUGCACUGCAGAGUACGAGUUCCGAGGAGUUGCGGCAUAAGCUACAGGCGGAAAUGGAGCAGAACAAUGCAAAAUUGGACGCGGUGGUGGGAAGUCUGGACCAGAAGUUCAAUAAAAUGGAACAGAGACUCAGUACAGUGUUGAAGCUGCUGAUGAAGGAGAAAGGUCUCCCUGAUGUCGAAGGAGGAAUUUCUGAUCCAAUCUUGCCGACUCCUCCAUCUCAUCUGAGGUUAGCAUCCUCAGUCGAAGGGAUUGGGCACCAACAAGAGUACAGAGGUAGGCAAUUCACUCCUAAUGUACCUCGAUUAGAACUGCCAAUGUUUAACUCUGGAAACCCUAGGGAAUGGACCAGGAAAUGCCAGAAAUAUUUUUUGAACUAUCAGAUAGCAGAGAGUCAAAAGGUAGAGGUAGCAGAGAUGUUUUUGGAAGGUAGAGCUGACAAUUGGUUUCAAGGAGUGAAAUUGGUGAGGCCAGGGUUGUCUUGGGGGGAAUUUAGUGAACUUUUGUGUGAAAGAUUUUCUGGAAGUAGUUCUCGUGACAUUGUGGAGGAAUUUAACAAGUUACAGCAGAAAGGAACUGUUGAGGAAUAUGAGGAGAAAUUUGAAGAACUAAAAGCUCUAAUGCUGAUGAAAACCCCCAGGUUGGAUGAACUUUACUUUGUUUCCAGUUUUAUUAGUGGCCUCAGGGAAGAAAUUAGACCUAUGGUGAAGAUGUUUAAGCCUCAAACACUGAUGAAGGCCUUUGAAGUUGCGGAGUUGCAGGAGUGUUCCCUGGAAAUCCAAUCGAAACAAAACAGAACUUCAAGGAGGACAGCAAUGGAACCCAAGUUUGGAAUGUAUAAGGGCACUACGAGUGAUUAGGGUCGCCAAAAUUCAUAUAAGUUGCCUGGAGUCACUCCUGUCUCCAGGAGGACUAAUGCAGUACACAAGGAAUUUAGUAAGAUAUCAGCGGAGGAAAUGCAGUAUAAGCGUAAGCACAGCCUGUGCUAUAGGUGUGGAGAGAAGUUUGGAAUAGGUCAUCAGUGUAAGAAAGGAAGUCUGAACUGUGUGAGCACUGAGGAAGAGGAGGACACUGAAUUUGAGGAUGCGGAAGGGGAACAGGAUGAGUUAACAGGAAGGGUCGGGGAACUUGCAGAAGUCUCUUUGAAUGCUUUAUCUGGUGCCAUAAGGAGGAAAUCCAUCCUGUUGAUAGGGAACUUAGGGGGGCUUCCAGUCAAAAUUUUGGUGGACACAGGCAGUUCUAACAGCUUCAUUCACCACAGGAUUGUCAACCUACUGCAUCUACCAUAUCAGGCAGUCAGUCCAUUUACUGUGACUCUAGCAGAUGGAACUGACAUUACCAGUGGAGCCAUCAGUCCCAGCGUGUCUUGGUUAAUUCAGGACUAUCAAUUCCAAUUUGACUUAAAAGUAAUGGAAUUAGGGGGAUGGGAUAUAAUUCUGGGGGUGGACUGGAUGUGCCAGUAUAGUCCCAUUACAUUUGAUUUCCACUCUCUUAGCAUUGCCCUUAGUGAUAGGGGUUCUUUACUACACCUCCAAGGACUUGUGAAGCAACCUACUAUGGAACUGGUGAGGGGCAGGGAUCUCAGCUCGUUUAUACAGGAGAAGCAAAGAAACUGUGCAGCCAUGCAUGCUGAUAGGGCCAGGGAAACAGGAGAGCAGCUUCCAAAAGCUAUAGAAAGGAUCCUGGAACAGCACUCUCAGGUUUUCUCCACCCCAACAGGAUUACCCCCAGAGAGGGAAUUGGACCAUCAGAUCAACCUCAAACCAGGAGCUGAACCCUUCAAGCUCAAACCUUACAGGUACCCCCACUCACAUAAAGCAGAAAUUGAAAAAAAAGUUGCUGAGAUGCUCACUAAUGGAAUUGUUAUACAUAGCACAAGCCCCUAUGCCUCCCCUGUAUUGUUAGUAAAGAAAAAGGAUAACUCCUGGAGAUUAUGCAUAGAUUACAGGAAGCUGAACGAGCUGACUAUAAAGGAUAAGUUCCCUAUUCCCAACAUAGAUGAACUAUUGGAUGAAUUACAUGGAACCAGAUACAUGUCCAAACUGGAUCUCAGAGCUGGUUACCAUCAGUUGAGGGUGAAAGCUGUUGAUACCCCUAAGACUGCCUUCCAGACACACCAUGGCCACUUUGAAUUCUUAGUGAUGCCUUUUGGACUCACAAACGCGCCAGCUACAUUUCAGUCCUUGAUGAACAGAAUAUUUCAGCCAUAUCUCAGAAAGUUUGUCCUAGUCUUCUUUGACUACAUAUUAGUGUACAGCCCCACACUAGAGAUGCAUGCACAGCAUCUACAGAUUGUGCUCAAUAUUUUAGAAGAAAAUCAGCUGUAUUACAAGAGGUCAAAGUGCUCUUUUGCCCAGUCCUCAAUUGAAUACUUGGGGCACGUGAUCUCAGAGGCAGGAGUGAGUAUGGAUGUGGCUAAGGUGGAGUGUAUCAAGUCCUGGUCUGUUCCUAGUACAGUCAAGGAGCUGAGAGGGUUUUUGGGAUUAAUUGGUUACUACAGGAGAUUCAUUAAAGGCUAUGGAGUGAUUAGCAAACCCUUGACUGUAUUGUUGAAAAAGGAAGGUUUUGCAUGGAACCAUGAAGCUCAAAUGGCCUUUGAAGAUUUGAAAAAGGUUAUGACCACAGCCCCAGUGCUGAGCAUGCCUAAUUUCGAACUUCCUUUUGUCAUAGAGACUGAUGCCUGUGGAAUAGGUAUUGGAGCAGUGUUGAUGCAGCAAGGACAUCCUAUUGCUUUCCUUAGCAAGGCAUUAUCAGUUCAGAAUUUGGGGUUAUCAGUCUAUGAAAAAGAGCUUUUUGCCUUAGUGCUAGCUGUAACUAAGUGGAGGCAUUACCUGGUGGGUCAUCACUUCAUUAUCAGGACAGAUCACCAAGCUCUCAAACAUUUGAUAGAGCAAAGGCUUACUCAUCCACUCCAGCACAAGUGGCUAACUAAGCUACUUGGUUUGGACUAUGAAAUACAGUAUAAAAAGGGUGCAGACAAUGGGGUGGCAGACGCCCUCUCCAGGAGAAGGAUUGAGGGAAACACUGUUGACUGUGGAGAGACUGGGCAUCAGACCUGCGCCAUAACCUCAGCUCAGCCUAGUUGGAUGCAGGAAAUGCUAGAAAGCUACAUUGGAGAUGCAGAGGCUCAACAGAAGUUAUCUGAGCUAUUGCUGGAUCCCAAUGCAGAUCCAGAUUAUCAGUUAAAGAAUGGGAUGCUCAAGUUUAAAGGGCGGCUGUACAUAGGAUCUGCUAACAACAUUAGGACCAAGGUGGUCAGAGCAUUGCAUGACUCAGCCCUUGGGGGGCACUCAGGUCCUGGAAUCCGUAAGGAUGUCCUUCAAUAUGUGAGAUCUUGUGAUGUGUGUCAAAGGAACAAACAUGAAAAUGUUCCUUAUCCUGGGUUGCUGCAACCAAUUCCUGUACCUCAGCAGGCUUGGUCACACCUCACCAUGGAUUUUAUUGAGCAACUACCCCCAUCCCAUGGAUUUGAUACCAUUUUGGUGGUGGUGGAUAGGUUAACCAAGUUCAGCCACUUCAUUCGACUCACUCACCCUUUUUCUGCACAGCAGGUAGCACAGCUUUUCCUUGACAACAUAUACAAGCUGCAUGGACUUCCUGAGACCAUUAUAACUGACAGGGACAUAAUCUUUCUUAGUAAGUUUUGGCAAGAGUUAUUUGGUAUGGUAGGGGUAAAGCUGCACUACAGUUCAUCGUAUCACCCUCAAUCAGAUGGUCAAAGUGAAAGGGUCAAUCAGUGUUUGGAAAACUAUCUCAGGUGUAUGUGCAGUGAGCAUCCUUCUCACUGGAGCAGUUGGCUUCCUACAGCUGAGUUAUGGUACAACACUAACUUCCAUACUAGCUUGCAGGUGACACCAUUCGAAGCACUAUACGGGUAUAAACCAAAUCACCUUCCCUUAGGACCUUUUCAUGAUAGCCUGGUACCUGCUGCUGGUAACAUGGUGCAGACUAGGCUCCAAAUUCUAUCCCUCAUCAAAGAGAAUCUAGCCACCGCCCAGAAUCGAAUGAAAAUGUUUACUGAUAAGCACAGGACUGAACGUGUCUUCCAAGUGGGGGAUUGGGUAUUUCUCAAGCUGCAACCUUACAGGCAACAAUCAGUGGCCUUACGGAAGAAUUUGAAGUUGGCUGCCAAAUACUUUGGACCUUUCCAGAUCCUUGCGAGAGUAGGGGAAGUCGCCUACAGACUUAAGUUGCCAGAGGGAGCUCGAGUUCAUUCCGUGUUCCAUGUGUCCUUACUUAAAAGGAAAGUGGGAGUUACACAGCAGGUAAAGCCCAGCUUGCCAGAAGUAGACGCAUCAGACCAAUGUUUGCUGAAGCCAGAGAAGAUUCUCCAGAGGCGUGUUAUCAUACGAGCUGCCAAACCAAUCAUCCAGUACCUGGUGAAGUGGAACAACUUACCAGAAUCCGAAGCAUCAUGGGAGGAUAAAAGCUUCAUUGACAGACAAUUUCCGGAAUUUCAAGCUUGAGGACAAGCUUUGCUUAAGGGGAAGAGAUUGUCAGGAACAAGGAAAUAGAAUGGGACGUCGUUUAAUGCAAAGGGUUGUGCGUUUAAGGCCUUAGAAGCAAUACUACGUCAUUCUAAUAACAUAGGCGGUGCUGGUGUGAUAGGCCAAGUUAGUUGAGGGUCAAUUACAUAAAUAGCCUUCUGUAACAGAUUUUUGGUUAUGUUUUUGAAUGAAAAGUAUCUCGCUGCUUUCUCUCUCUUGUCUGUUAUUUCCCUCCCUUUUCUUCUUUCUCUCUUCCCUCUUCUUAAUCUUGUUUCUUUCUUCUGAUUCUUCCCCCAAAUUCAAUACAAUUCCAGAAAUUAACCUGCAGAUCUGACAAGGAGCCCUAUUCUAACCAAAUAACACACUACCAGGGUUAUUUUAGGUUAGCCCGCGUAUUCCCCUGACAUGAAUCCAAUCAUGCCAGUUAUCACUAUUUUGAAACAAUUAAACAAUUACGGAUUUAACGUCCCAAUUGACAAUAGAUUAUCAAAUUAACUAAUUAUCCGGAUCCAAAACAAUCAAUUAAUUAAAUAAUCAUAAGCACUGUAAUCAGGGAAUAUUUGAAUACCAAUAAAUAAAAAGAAAGGACAAAAUUAAAUCGAUUUCACAAUUUUUAAACGAACCACAACCUCAGUUGUUCCUCGGCUAGAUUGAGAAAAUUAGCUCAUGUUCGAUGCGAAAAAUCCACAAGAAAUUGUUAAGAGAGCCGCGGCCAUUGUCCCUUGAAAUUGGGGAAAUUCAAUUCGGUUGAACUACGAAAGAAAAGUAAGCUACAGAGAGUUGCCGAUUGGGUUUUGCUUGUCCCUAACAUGCGAGGGAGCAAAGCCACGAAAGGACGACAAAGGUCAAAAAGAAAGGCUACAGAGCAUGUUCCAGGUCUUUUUGUGCUCUCCACAUCCGAGCCAACGAAAAGAAAUAAAAAACUACCAGGAGCUAAAGGAAAACCGCAAGAAAAGUCAAAGGCUAAAAAAACUUCCUAGUGCUUGUUCUCUGCUUAUCUCUUUAUCUAAUUCUAAGUCCCCGAUUUUUUGCUCCGUGCGGCGGCUCCCCCGGAGAGAAAGGAUUGCAUCCGCUGCCCUCUUCCACCAAUUACCAAAAUGGGCACACCGCUUCUUUUUCAAAAAUGCUCCUGGAUAAACUCUAUCAUCUGGACUUUUUUUCUGUCAAAUUGACAUUUAUUAUUAUAUUUUCGUUCUACUCCCUGAAAUAAAUGUAAAAUAUUAAAAAUGAGUAGAAUCCGACAAUUAAUUCACAUCAGGUCAGAUAAUAAAGAAAAUUAAUAAUAAAAUAAAUAAAUAAAUUGCAACCUAUCAACCAAAUACAACAAUUUCAUGGAGUUUGAUACACAAGCCCAAAUACACGAGAGUGUGUAACCUGAAUUGUUACUUAUACAUUAGUGUGUAAUAGAACGGCAAGCAUUAUGGUGGUCAUUGAGCAACUUGUAGGAGAAAUAGUCCUAUAAGCUGUUCAAUGACCAAUCACAACUUGCUAAUUGGAUGACUAAUAUAGCUCUAGCUGUAAUGUUUUAAUUAAAUUCCAUCACUAACGUUGGGAUGACUUUUUAAUCAAAAAAAAAAAAGCCUUAGUUCAAGCUUUUCCCCUUAUUGUGCAUUUUUUAAAACAUUUGAUAGGCACUGCAAAUCUGUCAUUUUGGACAUUUUAUUAUUAACUAACAAUGAAAGCCGUGGACAUCAACCCAUAUCCAACAAAAUAUUAAAUUAAUAUUAGAAAAAAUUAUUAAGUAAUUGGAAAAAAAAAGAAGAGGCUAAUUUUCAUUGAAACCCACCGACAAACUAUACGCUGCUUUCAAUCAGUUUUAACACGGGAAAAAGAAAAGGCAUGAAAAGCAAAAUUUGUGGGGAUAAUUUCGGAAACCUCCCAUGAAGUUUUUGACUAUUUUACUGGCCUCCCUUCAGAUUUUAAAAAUUGGACUAAUCUUCCUUAAAGUUAAUUAUCUUGUAACAUUUAGAUCCGAUCAAUAAUUUAAAAAAUAAUAUUAUGAGAGAGAAAAUAAUAUGAUUUUAUUAUUGCCCCCAUCUCACCACAUUAUUUAAUUAAUUUAAUAGCAACCCACACAUUAAAGAAAAUGACAGGUCGUCAACCUGUGCAAUAAUAAAAUUAAACCUAAUUGCCAGUUAAAAUGACCAAAACCCAAUUCCAAGUACUGGAGCAGGGACUCUAGGUGUGCAAUGGGUUACUUGAUUCACCCUGUUCCCGAAGAGUUUGCUUGAUCCGAUAUACCCGAAUGGAAUGGUUAUUCCUUUUCACAAAUGAUUAGGAAUUUGUAGACAGGGCAAGUAGGGUCGUAUCCACAGAGACUGGGUAUAUUUGUUUCUUAAGAAAUCCAAAGUAACACAGGGGGUGAUUUUGUAGGAACGACGAUAAUUAAAUAAAUUCAAAUGAGAAAGUAAAAAUAAAUAAUUAACUAGAAAUUAAACCACAAUUUACUGAACUCAGGAUAACAAUAGUUAAAGGCCUCAAUUAAUUAAAAUAAGGAAACAAUCAAAAAUAAAAUAAAGUAGGUAAUUAAAAGUCAAAUGGCAAUCCACUACAAUCAAGGAAAUAUUAACUAAAGAUCUAGCCAAGAAAUAACUUCAGCAAUGGUUCACCUAAUCGAUCAUUGAUGCAAAGCAAUCCCAAUUAUUUACUAAUAAAUAGGUUAUAACUACCAAACAAGCGAUGGCAGUCAACCCCUCCUUACUGUGUCGGUGAUCAAGGUACGCCCGUUAAUCACUGCUCUAAUUGAGAAAUAAUCCUAGGUACGCCCGUAGAAUUUAAUUCCCCAACUGCCUUACGUAUUAGAGGAGCCCUAUUCUACCCAAAUAACACACUACCAGGGUUAUUUUAGAUUAGCCCGCGUAUCCCCCUGACACGAAUCUAAUCGUGCCAGUUGUCACUAAUUUGAGGUAAUUAAACAAUUACGGAUUCAAUACCCCAAUUGACAAUAGAUUAUCAAACCAAUGAAUUAUCCGGAUCCAAGACAAUCAACUAAUUAAAUAAUCAUAAGCACUGCAACCAAGGAAUAUGCGAAUACCAAUAAAUAAAGGAAAAGAUAAAAUUAAAUCGAUCUCACAAUUUACAGGUGACCCAAAGCAUCAGUCGUUUCUUGACUAGAACGAGGGGGUUAGCUCAUAUUGGAUGAACUAAGCCCGCGGGAAAUUCCAGCAAAAGUCACGGCCGUUGUAUGCAUUUCAAGAGCCGCAAUUCGUCAAACACUUGGAAAGCGAAUGUAAGGCACGGGUAACAAUUGAAACUUUCUAAUUGUUCCUAGCAUUCGUAAAGCAAAUUCACUCCAGAAGUACAGUGAGGAAAAGUCAAAGAAAGUGGGCUUCAAUUCCUUGCUCCUGACAUGCGUGGAGACAAGCCAAUGCAAGACUACAAUAAACUAACAAGGAAAAGUCAAGAAUUGGAGCUAAGCUCCCCUGCCAUGCGCAGGAAUCCCAAAAGUAAAAAGUAAAGCUUCAAAGAAAAGUCAACAAUUCUUCCUAAGCUACAGACGGAAGAUCCAGCACAAAAGCCAGCUCCCUUUUUGAUCCCUUUUUCCCCCUUCUUAUUGCGGCGGCUCACCAGGAGAGGAGAGCCCUCCGUCCGUCCUUUCUUCCGGAAAUUACCAAAAUGGGCAUGACAUCUUCUCUUCCAAAAGUGCCCCUGGGACAAGCUUUCUCAUCUGAAUUCUUUUUUUUUCCAAUUUGGCACCUGUUAUCAUAUUUAUAUUCUACUCCCUGAAAUAAACGUCAAAUACUAAAAGUGAGUAGAAUCCAGCAAAUAAAUCCACAUCAAGUCAGGUAAUAGGAGGAAUUAAUAAUAAAAUAAAUGAAUAAAUUGCACCCUAUCAAUUCCCUCCACACCUAAACCAUGCUUGUCCUCAAGCAUAAGAAAAGUAAACGAACACCAAAAUUCGACGAUAGCCAUUGCCCAAUCUCCUAUAUUGCCAAGACAUUCAAGAGAAAAACACAUAUCGAGCAUUGGUGAUUAGAAUCCCAGAAGCAUCCCCCCGGUUAGCCUCUAACCCCCAGAUUCCUUCAAUUUCCAACUUAACUACUCUAAGAAAGAGGAAUGGCACACAACAUUUAUCAGCUAGUGGUCCGAAUAUUCACACAAGUCUUCAUAUCCAAUCCAUAAACCGGCAAGCUUCCCUAUUAUUUAGUCUCUCUUUUUUUCCGUUUUUUUUCAUUUUCAUUCUUCCCCUCUUUUUUUUUUUUUUUUAAAGCAGUAGCAAUCAACACAAAAGACUUAGUCGUUAGCCGUCAGGGCCUUUUGAUGCGAACUCCAACAUUUUUAGAAGGAGGAGCCCGGUUACUCAGCUCCUACCGCUAUACGACCACGCACUCAUAUAAAAUACCACCUUUUGACGCGAGAAUCGACACUUUUAGGUGCCGAUCCCCGGUUACUCAGUAGUAACUUAAUAGCGGAGCACAGUCAAGCUUAUUCUCAGCCAAACAAUGCACAAACGCAAAAUAACAGCACUAACAAUCAAACAUAGGAGCAGCUCGCCUCAUUAUUGUCAAACAUGGAGAACUGGAGUCAAUAUUGGACCAGUUCACAUUAAAAGGCCAUAUUCAUUCCCUACGCCUAGAAAAGUUAACAAAGAAAUCGAAAGAGUCAAACAGUUAAAUAUUCACCAAGGGGAUAUUCAGGACCCAACCACACUAACCCGAUACAUUUUGUAUUUUAAAAACUUGGCAAAAGUAGAUUUGGAGUCAAUGAGUCCACAUCUCAAUUUUAGCCUUCACAUGAAAGGCAAUCACCAAGAAGAAAGAACGGAAAAAUAAGCAACUAGAAAUGAGACUACGAAAAACUACUAAAACUAAAAACUCACUUUUUUUCUUUUUCUCUUUUUUUUUCUUUUUGAAUUUUUUUUUCAUUUUUAUUUUUUUUUAUUUUUUUUAUUUUUUAAACAUUAACUAUAAACAUUAACUACUAAAAACUAAAAACUAAAACUACUAAAAACUAAAAACACUAAAAACUGCUAAAAUGAAAAGCUGAAAACUGAAAACUACUAAAAACGGAGCACACUAGCAUAACUUUAGAUCCCCCCCACACCUAUAGGACACAUUGUCCUCAAUGUGACAAAUAAGAACCAAAAGUGAAGCACAAGUGAGAGGGGAAUCAGCCAAACUUCCCUGAAAUCGGGUCACAGCGGAGGGCGAGGUGGAAAUGGAGGUGCAAAGCCUGUAUGCAUCAGGAACUGUGCCAAAUUCUGUGCUAUGCCGGCGACAUUGGCGUCGACGUUGGUCAUCCGGGCCUGCAAAUCCUGAACCAGCUCCCUGAGAUGCUGCCAAUCAUCGGUCCCAGGUGGUGGAGGUGGCGCAGAAGUAGAGGUAGACGGCCCAGCAGUGUCCGCGGCCGACCCAGGGAAUGAAGAUGGCCCUGCCCGGGCCGAAUGGUGUGCACCCGGGGCUCGAGGUGGUCCCGGACGGGUAAACUGGUGAAAACCAUCUGGCAGACGCUCGACGACCCCCAUUUUCUCUAAGCAAACUACGUCCAAGUGCUCCAUCUCAAAUGCCAAAUGGAGGUCGUGGUCAUCCAGGUUAAGAACUCCCAACUGGGUCGCCAAGUGAGUGAUGUAGGACCCAAGGAUCAGUGGUUUGUUCUUCUUGGUCAAGACCGUCUUGAACUGUGCGGCCAACCAACAUCCCAAGUUCACCUUGAUAUUGUUCUUCAUACUCCAGAGAAAGAAGAAUUCGGGCCGAGAGAGUAUACCGGAGCUGUCCUUGCGCCCCGAGUAGCUAUAAGCUAAGAAUCGCUGAACAUAGCGGGCGCUAGGGUCCUUAAGAAAGGAGCUCCUGGACCGGGAAGGAUCGUAGCGUUGCCUAUCGACGGACAUGUCCUCCCAUACAUCAUGGUAGUGGGAGAGGAAAGGCUCUACGUAGUCACAGGCACUCUCCGCAUACUCCCUAGUCUCAGCAUACUCUCUAGUGAUAAACCCAAAUGCCAGAUUGAAUUGAGUAAUGGAGAAAUUGAAUUCUCGACCCAUGAGCCGGAAAUGAAUGACAUUCGGUGUUUCACCCGUGUAUCUCGUAGGUAAUUCGAACUCAAAGGUGGAGUAAAACUCCCGGAUCAGCUCAACAAAAGCGGGACAAGAAAUAUGGAAAUAUGGGCGCCACCCAAUGGCUGUGAACAUUUGCUCAACCUCCUCCCGUAUACCCAGGGCAGUUAGAGAGAGUCUAUGACAAGACUUACAGGAUAUUAUACGCCUCUCGCAGACCUUAGCGUACCUCUGCCGAUCGGCGGGUCUGGUAAAUGUUAAGUGCCCCCCAAAAUGAACAGGUGCAUCUACCUGAGCACCCCUAUCCCUACCCAAACGGGUUCGAACACUAGAAGAGGAGGGUAGGUUGGUAGGUGAGUUGACAGGAAUAGAGGCUUGUGGAGGGGGUUGAGACUGAGAGGUCCUAGACCUAGAGGAGGAUUUCGGUCUCACCAUUCCCCCCAAAGUAAGUUCAAGGCAACAGAAAAUCCGACAAGUAUAGAAACCAGCAAUUGACAAAGCAAAAAUCUCCCAGUAGUAACCCAGCCAAUAGCAAACAAAAGAGUUCCAGCAAGUAAUCAACAAGCAAUUCAGAAAUAUCUCAACUAAAAUCUCAAGAGAAACCCCAGCGAGUUAUCCAGCAAUUCAAGCAAUAUCCCCAAGCAAUGUGGUGGUCAAAAUGUCAUCUCCAAAUUGAACAAAUAAUCAGAGCAUUGCAACACAUUGAAAAUCUCAAUAAACGGCUCCAGUUGGCCAAGAAAAAUUGCUAACUCAUACUCAGCAAUAGUAGUGCAGCAAAGGGACAGUAACCACGCAAUAAAAACACUUAGCUUGCACUCAAAUGGUCACCCCAAAUAACAACCCAGUAUGAAACCCGCAGGCAGAGUAUUCCUCAAACCGUUAGCCUAAACCCAGUCAACAACCACGGCCAGAAAUAACCCCAUAAAUAGUGCAAUGAGUAAUCCCCAGCAACAUAAUCAGGUGUAAUCAACUGGAGCAAGCAAUUUACAUGGCAUAGAAACCUCCCAAUCAAACAAGUGCAUUAUUCUAGCGCACCCCAAAAUUCCAAGAAAUGGCUCCAGUUGGCCAAUUAAUUUCACAAUGUCACCCAACUCAGGAGAAAUAGCAAUUCCACACAAAAAUAGUCAAACCAGUACCACUGGCGAAAAAUCUUUCAAAUAUGCACAAUUUGCUACCAAAUAUCACCGGCUAACACUGAAAAAUUGAGGGCAAGUGUCAAAUACCUCCACAGGGACUACCCCAGGCGGCAGACAGAGAAGCGGCGUUGAAGCUGGUGGUCGAGCGGGGCGGCGCUCGCGUCGGCGUGCGCAGCGGCGACGGCGCGCGAGGAUGGAGUUUCGGGAGGUUGCGUGCGGGCUUGGCUGAAGACGCGGCGCGCGCUAGGGCUUCGCUGCGGCAGGCGUGCAGCAGGGGAGAAGAAAGAAAAGAGAAAGAAAGAAAGAAAAAGAAAGGAAAGAAAGAACAGAAAAGAAGGAAAAGAAAAAGGAAUUUUUCUUUUUUUUCUUUUUCUUUAGGCUACGGUUUAGAGGACAAAUUUUUCUUCUUCUUGUUUUCUACUUUUUUAUUUUUUUAUUUUUUAGUUUUUAAUUUAUUACUAUUAUUAUCAUAUUUAAUUGAGGAAAAAAAAUGUUUUUUUUUAAAUCCCUACCUUUCCCACGAACGUGACGCGGGCACGUCAAGAGGGCAAGAGAGCUCCCAGAAGUUUCAGAAUUUUCUGAUCGUAAGCGUCCUGCACAUCACCACGCGGGCACGUCAUGAGGACAGGAGAGCUCCCAGAAGUUCAGAAUUUUCUGAUCGUGAGCGCCCUGCACGUCACCACGCGGGCACGUCAUGAGGCCAGGAGAGCUCCCAGAAGUUUGAAGUUUCUGAUUCCUGCCCGUCAUCACGCGGGCGCGUCAUGACUGAAGGUCACCUACAAAUCAGCAAAAACGAAAACUAACACCCAAAAUCAGUCAAAUUCAGGGAAAGCAGAUUUAAACUAUGCUACAAAACCAACAAACAAUUAAAAGAAAUAAUUAGGUUGCCUCCCAAUGAGCGCCUUUCUUUAAUGUCUUUGGCUAGACAUGGUAAAGUGUCACUGAUUAGGACACGGUGGUGCGUCAAGCCUUAUUGUCUCCACCUCUCUACCUGAAAAUCCUUCGUAAUAAUAUUUGAGACGGUGUCCAUUCACCACAAAUUUGUUGUCUGUCUUAGCACUCUGGAUCUCAACUGCACCAUAGGGAAAAACAUGAGUAACAAUGAAAGGUCCAAUCCAACGGGAACGUAGCUUACCUGGGAAUAGCUUGAGCCUGGAUUGGUACAGGAGGACCUUCUGACCAACUUCAAAUGUUUUUCUUGAAAUUUGUUGGUCAUGAAAUGCCCGGCUUUUCUCCUUAUAUAUCAAGGCGUUUUCGUAUGCUUCGUUCCGGAUCUCCUCCAAUUCUUGCAAAUCCAACUUCCGUUGAGCACCGGCCUCCUCUAAAUUCAUAUUGCAGUGCUUUAUCGCCCAAAAAGCCUUGUGCUCGAACUCCACUGGAAGGUGACACGGCUUCCCAAAUACCAACCUGUACGGUGACAUCCCAAUAGGAGUCUUGUACGCCGUCCGAUAGGCCCAGAGUGCGUCUUCCAACCUUUGGCUCCAGUCUUUUCUAUCAGGGCGCACCAUUUUCUCUAAAAUGGACUUAAUCUCCCGAUUCGACACCUCCGCUUGACCAUUGGUCUGAGGGUGGUAUGACGUUGAGACCCUGUGGAGUACACCAUACUUGCGAAACAACGCAGCUAUGGUUUUGUUGCAAAAGUACGUUCCCCUAUCACUGACAAUAGCUCUAGGCAUUCCAAACCGCACAAAGAUAUUAGACCUGAUAAAAUCUGCAACUACUCUCGAAUCAUUAGUUCGAGUGGCCUUAGCCUCCACCCAUUUAGACACAUAAUCAACUGCCAGCAAAAUAUAUAAAAAACCAAAUGAAGUAGGAAAAGGCCCCAUGAAAUCUAUACCCCAGACAUCAAAAAUUUCAACAAAAAUCAACGGGACCUGGGGCAUUUGAUCUCUACGGGCUAUAUUACCUACCAUUUGACAGCGAUCACAUGACUUACAAAACACAUAGGCAUCUCUAAACAAUGAAGGCCAAUAAAAUCCACUUUCUAAAACCUUAUGAGCAGUUCUCUUAGGUCCAAAAUGACCUCCACAGGCAAAAGUAUGACAAAAAGCUAAAAUUGAUUGAAAUUCCAUUUCACUUACACAUCUCCUCAUCACUUGAUCGGCACACCUCUUCCAUAGGUACGGGUCAUCCCAGAUAAAAUACUUGGCAUCGCUCUUCAAUUUAUCCCUCUUCGAUUUCGGCCAACCUGCAGGAAAAUUACCAGUUACCAAAUAAUUGACCAAAUCAGCAUACCAAGGCAACUGAGAAUUUAAGAAAAAUAGGUAUUCUUCGGGGAAUGCAUCCUUCAAUGGCUCGCUAUCCUCUUCAACUAGUAUGCGACUCAAAUGGUCCGCUACUAGAUUUUCUGAGCCUUUUUUGUCCCUUAUCUCCAAGUCAAAUUCCUGUAGGAGCAGUAUCCACCGUAUGAGCCUCGGUUUUGCAUCUUUCUUGGUCAUCAGGUACCUCAAUGCUGCAUGAUCAGAAAAUACAAUCACUUUAGCACCUAACAAGUAUGACCUAAAUUUUUCCAAAGCAAAAAUAACUGCCAGAAGCUCCUUCUCAGUGGUGGAAUAAUUCAACUGGGCUCCAUUCAAGGCCCGGGAUGCGUAAUAGAUGACAUGAGCCGCCUUGCCUAUUCUUUGCCCCAGUACAGCCCCAACAGCGUGAUCACUGGCAUCGCACAUGAUCUCAAAUGGCAAAUUCCAAUCGGGGGGUUGGAUGAUUGGGGGUGAAGUCAGCAAUUCCUUCAGCUUGUUAAAGGCUCUCUCACACUUAUCAUCAAAUUCGAAGGCUACAUCUUUUUGUAGGAGUUGGAACAACGGGGCUCCAAUCUUUGAAAAAUCCUUGAUGAACCUUCGAUAAAAACCUGCAUGUCCAAGAAAAGAGCGCACCUCCCGCACACUCGCGGGGUAAGGUAAUGCAGAAAUAAUGUCUAUUUUAGCCUUGUCAACUUCUAUGCCCUUAGACGAUACAAUAUGACCCAGGACUAUUCCGUGCUCAACCAUAAAAUGACAUUUUUCCCAAUUAAGCACAAGAUUAGUCUCUAUACACCUGAUCAGGAUUAAUUUCAGGUUAUCUAGACAAGUAUCAAAACUAUCACCAUACACACUGAAAUCAUCCAUGAAAACUUCUAUUAUUUUCUCAACAUACUCGGAAAAGAUGCUUACCAUACAUCUUUGGAAAGUCGCAGGUGCAUUGCACAACCCAAAUGGCAUUCGUCUGUAGGCAAAGGUCCCGAACGGGCACGUGAAGGUUGUCUUCUCUUGAUCCUCCGGGGCAAUUGCUAUCUGAAAGUAUCCUGAAAAUCCAUCCAAAAAGCAAUAAUAAGCCCUACCAGCUAAACGUUCAACCAUUUGGUCAAUGAAAGGGAGAGGGAAAUGGUCCUUUUUGGUGACGGCGUUUAGCCUACGGUAAUCUAUACAUUGCCUCCAUCCAGUGGGUUUGCGCACUGGCACGAGCUCACCAGUUUGGUUGGCCUCUACCGUCACUCCUGCAUUCUUUGGGACUACCUGGACCGGACUCACCCAAGGGCUAUCAGAUAUUGCAAAAAUGAUGCCCACAUCUAGCAAUUUUAGAAUCUCUUUCUUUACGACUUCCAUCAUGAGGGGAUUGAGCCUUCUUUGAGCCUGCCUAACAGGUUUGGCAUCGUCUUCCAGCCUAAUCCGGUGCAUACAAAUGGCCGGGCUGAUCCCCUUAAUGUCUGCGAUUGUCCAGCCUAUUGCCUCUUUAUGCUCCCGAAGGACCCGGAUCAAUUUCUCUUCCUGGGUCUUUGACAGUGCCGAUGAGAUAAUCACUGGGAGUGUCUCAUUAUCACCUAGGUAUGCGUAUUUCAGGUGCUCUGGUAGAGGUUUCAACUCCAGUACAGGUGCCUGCACCACAGAUGGCAAUACCCUCUGGUGAGCCUUGGGAGUAAAAAUAGGUAAGACUUCAUACCUUUUCGUGGUGGUCUGCAACGAGUGUAAUGCACCUAUUGUGCAUUUUAAAUCCUCGCUCCACUCCACCUCAGGAGUUGUCUCCAACUCGAGGUGCUUGGUUAAAGCCACCUCCAGCUCAUCCCUGCCAUCAGUUUCAAACACUUCCUGCACUACAGGGUCAAUAGCACUCACAGAAAAAACUGAGCUAAAGUUGGAGUUAGAGGGGUACUUCAUAGUAUCAAAAAUAUUAAAAUGCACAAUUUACCCAUCAAACUCCAUGGACAAGGUACCCUUAUUAACAUCAAUUUUCGUCUGCGCAGUGCUCAUAAAAGGUCUACCCAAUAACAAAGGUGAGGGAUCAGGGGAGUGAUCAUCAUCCAUAUCUAGUACAUAAAAAUCAGCUGGAAACACCAAAUCAUUAACCUUUACCAACACAUCUUCAAUCAACCCAUCAGGAUAUGCAUUAGUUCGGUCAGCUAAUUGAAUAAUUAUUCCAGUUUCUUUUAAUGGACCUAGUUUCAAAGAAGCAUAGAUAGAUUUAGGCAUGACAUUAAUUGAUGCUCCCAGAUCCAGCAUGGCCCUUCUGAUCACAGUAUUACCUAUCUUACAGGGAAUAGUAAACAUACCUGGGUCCCCGCACUUUGGUGGGAGCUUUCUCUGCAGGACCGCAGACACAUUUUCUCCAACUAUGACCCGUUCAUCUCCCCUCAACCGCCUUCGGUUGACACACAAGUCCCUUAGGAACUUGGCAUAUUUUGGUACUUGUUUGAUGGCGUCUAAGAGGGGGAUAUUUAUCUCAACCUUGCGAAAAACCUCCAAGAUCUCCUUCUCCUUAUCCUGCUUCUUCGAUUUUUCCAACCUGCUAGGAAAAGGAGGCGGGUUAGUUUUAACUGUAAUUAUUGGGUCAGGAAGUACCUCUGGAUCUGCACCAUUGCUGUCCUCCCUUUCGAGCUCAUUUUCGAUCUUCUCUUCAUCCUUGUCCUUGGGAAUCACAGGUUCAGGCCCCUGAAUUUCUUUCCCACUCCUUAGGAUCAUUGCGCUCACGUUCUUCGGAUUCAACUCCGGUUGAGAUGGCAGCUUCCCUUGGUUCUGGGACUCCCAACGGUUCAUUCUGGUGGCCAAUUGACCUAUCUGAUUCCUUAUGUCCUGCAUUUCGGAGUCCGUCUUUUGCUGAUUUUGCAUAAUAGCUGCCUCCGUCCUUUGCUGAUUCUGCGCCAUGGUUGUCAUCAUUUGUUUCAGCAUCUCAUCCGUAGAUGAACCAGAUUGAGGGAGCGGAGGUGGUCGGGGUUGGUAUUGCUGCUGGUACCCUGGUGGCUUAUUUGGCACAAAGUUAGACUGCCUGUUUGGCGUGAAGUUGGAUUGCCUAUUUCCACCAUAACUGAGGUUGGGAUGAUCUCUCCACCCGGGGUUGUAGGUGCUUGAGUAAGGGUCGUACUGCUUCCUUGGCGCGGGCGCGUGGUCAGCCAUGUUCACCUGUUCCGCAGUUUCUUCCUGAAUCAUUGGGCACAUGUCUGCAGAGUGACCUAUACCAGUGCAAAUCCCGCAUACCCUGGCUUGUGAUGCAUUUCUCACAGCCUAUUGCCUAACGAACGCAGUCAACUCAUUUAGCUGCUGCUGCACAGAGGGUGUCUCUAUCUCAUUCACCCUACGUAUUGGGACAUCCUAUCUUGUACUGAAUUGCUGUGAAUUCUCUGCCAUCCCCUCUAUUAACUCCCGUGCUUCCUGAGGGGUUUUGUUCACCAGUGCCCCUCCACUUGCAGCAUCAAUGAUGCUCCUGUCUCUAAAAAUGAGCCCCUCAUAGAAAUAUUGUAUGAUCAACUGCUCACUUAUUUGGUGAUGGGGGCACCUGCGCAACAAGCUCUUAUACCGUUCCCAAUACUCGUAAAGUGACUCCUCGGGAUGCUGCUUGAUCCCACAAAUUUCUUUCCUUAGACUCGCAGCCCUGGACGCAGGAAAAUAUUUAUCCAGAAAUUUUUUCUUCAAUUGGUCCCACGUGGUGAUGCUACCUGGUGACAGGUAGUACAGCCAGUCCUUCGCAGAAUCUUUCAAGGAGAAGGGGAAUGCCCUCAUUUUUAUCUGCUCUUCUGUGAUUCCCGGGGGUUUCAUACUGUUGCAAACGACAUCAAACUCCUGCAGAUGCUUAUACGGCUCUUCACCUGGUAAACCAUGAAAAGAGAGUAAAAGCUGAAUCAGACCAGAUUUUAGUUCAAAUGGAAUGUUGUCAUUUAAAGCUGGGAAAGUAAUGCAUAACGGCUGCUGAGUUAAAUCAGGAGCAGCCAACUCCCUUAAUGUUUAUGCAUUAGCCAUGGUGCCUUCCUGCUGGUCAGAGUCACUCGAAGUGUUACCAAACGAAUCUGUUGGUUCAACUUCUGACUCGGGUCUUUGAGAUGUAGCACUAGAGUGCUCUUCUCUGAGCUGUCUGGUUUCCUUUCUCGUUCUACGCGCGGUCUUCUCUACCUCAGGAUCAAAAACCAAAUCACCUGUGCGACAAGAUCGAGGCAUACACUAGAAGAAAACCAGAAAAUUAGGACAAAAUUGAAUUUAAGAAGAAACAAAUAAUAACGCCAGUCCCCGGCAACGGCGCCAAAAAUUGACAGGUCGUCAACCUGUGCAAUAAUAAAAUUAAACCUAAUUGCCAGUUAAAAUGACCAAAACCCAAUUCCAAGUACUGGAGCAGGGACUCUAGGUGUGCAAUGGGUUACUUGAUUCACCCUGUUCCCGAAGAGUUUGCUUGAUCCGAUAUACCCGAAUGGAAUGGUUAUUCCUUUUCACAAAUGAUUAGGAAUUUGUAGACAGGGCAAGUAGGGUCGUAUCCACAGAGACUGGGUAUAUUUGUUUCUUAAGAAAUCCAAAGUAACACAGGGGGUGAUUUUGUAGGAACGACGAUAAUUAAAUAAAUUCAAAUGAGAAAGUAAAAAUAAAUAAUUAACUAGAAAUUAAACCACAAUUUACUGAACUCAGGAUAACAAUAGUUAAAGGCCUCAAUUAAUUAAAAUAAGGAAACAAUCAAAAAUAAAAUAAAGUAGGUAAUUAAAAGUCAAAUGGCAAUCCACUACAAUCAAGGAAAUAUUAACUAAAGAUCUAGCCAAGAAAUAACUUCAGCAAUGGUUCACCUAAUCGAUCAUUGAUGCAAAGCAAUCCCAAUUAUUUACUAAUAAAUAGGUUAUAACUACCAAACAAGCGAUGGCAGUCAACCCCUCCUUACUGUGUCGGUGAUCAAGGUACGCCCGUUAAUCACUGCUCUAAUUGAGAAAUAAUCCUAGGUACGCCCGUAGAAUUUAAUUCCCCAACUGCCUUACGUAUUAGAGGAGCCCUAUUCUACCCAAAUAACACACUACCAGGGUUAUUUUAGAUUAGCCCGCGUAUCCCCCUGACACGAAUCUAAUCGUGCCAGUUGUCACUAAUUUGAGGUAAUUAAACAAUUACGGAUUCAAUACCCCAAUUGACAAUAGAUUAUCAAACCAAUGAAUUAUCCGGAUCCAAGACAAUCAACUAAUUAAAUAAUCAUAAGCACUGCAACCAAGGAAUAUGCGAAUACCAAUAAAUAAAGGAAAAGAUAAAAUUAAAUCGAUCUCACAAUUUACAGGUGAUCCAAAGCAUCAGUCGUUUCUUGACUAGAACGAGGGGGUUAGCUCAUAUUGGAUGAACUAAGCCCGCGGGAAAUUCCAGCAAAAGUCACGGCCGUUGUAUGCAUUUCAAGAGCCGCAAUUCGUCAAACACUUGGAAAGCGAAUGUAAGGCACGGGUAACAAUUGAAGCUUUCUAAUUGUUCCUAGCAUUCGUAAAGCAAAUUCACUCCAGAAGUACAGUGAGGAAAAGUCAAAGAAAGUGGGCUUCAAUUCCUUGCUCCUGACAUGCGUGGAGACAAGCCAAUGCAAGACUACAAUAAACUAACAAGGAAAAGUCAAGAAUUGGAGCUAAGCUCCCCUGCCAUGCGCAGGAAUCCGAAAAGUAAAAAGUAAAGCUUCAAAGAAAAGUCAACAAUUCUUCCUAAGCUACAGACGGAAGAUCCAGCACAAAAGCCAGCUCCCUUUUUUAUCCCUUUUUCCCCCUUCUUAUUGCGGCGGCUCACCAGGAGAGGAGAGCCCUCCGUCCGUCCUUUCUUCCGAAAAUUACCAAAAUGGGCAUGACAUCUUCUCUUCCAAAAGUGCCCCUGGGACAAGCUUUCUCAUCUGAAUUCUUUUUUUUUCCAAUUUGGCACCUGUUAUCAUAUUUAUAUUCUACUCCCUGAAAUAAACGUCAAAUACUAAAAGUGAGUAGAAUCCAGCAAAUAAAUCCACAUCAAGUCAGGUAAUAGGAGGAAUUAAUAAUAAAAUAAAUGAAUAAAUUGCACCCUAUCAGAAAAAUGCAAAAAUUUGUUAUUUAUCAUUAAGGAUCAUAUCGCAUAUAACAUCAAAAAAUAGUAUAUUAUUUAUAUCUUUCACUUAAUAUAAUAUCCAAAUUACUCUUUUCAGUUACAUACCCAUUGUUAGACAAAAUCAACAACAAAUAACCAAAAAAUUUGCAACCAAAAUAUUACCAAAAAAAUAAACUUUAACAUCAUAAAUAUUUUUAUCAACAUAUUAAAGUUAGUUAUUGAAAUUUUUAUGGUGUUAAACUUCACUCUUAGCAAUAUUUUGGUUACAGAUUUUUUUGAUUAUUUAUUGUUGAUCGUGUUUGACAAUGGAUUUGUAACUGAAAAGAAUAAUUUGAAUCUUACAUUAAGUGAAAUAUAUAAAAUAUUAUACUAUUUUUUAUGGCAUAUGUGAUUCUUUUUUUUUUUUUUAUCAGAACGGCAACAUUGUAUUAAUAGUAAACCAAUUACAGUAUAGGUGGGCAACCGCCCUCACAAUCUGCCUGGACUUGUUCCAGCAGCCAAACUGGGAAGUUUUCCUUCCAUUCAGUAUUUUGUUCCAAAGUAAUAGCUACUUUAGCUAGUUUAUGGCUAACAAAGUUGUUCACCCUAUUUGCAAAGGUAAAACAACAUUCAUCAAAUUUUAUUCAUGUACAAUUGUUGCUAUCACCACGUCCUCCUCCUCCUCCUCACUGCACACUACUUGACUACCACCCUUCGCCAACCUUGCUGUUGCAUGUGCAACUAUCAUGGCCUCUCUUAGCGCCUUUGCUUCUUCGACCUUUGGACUGGCACAGCUAAAAUUUGGAACAGCCCAGGCCCACCCGCAAUCUUCCCAACCAAUCCCUGGCCACCCUUUUCCCACCCAGCUUCUAUGGCAUGUGUGAUUCAAUCCUUCUUGAUAGGAUUGGUAAUAGAGGCAGAGGGGGGAGCCGGCUGCAUCCGGUCUACUUUUCAUAGAUAGUACAAUAUUGCGAAAUCGAUCGCAUUCACACAAGAAUAUUUCGAAGUCAUUGCAUCGCUAAGUUGCAAAAAAGUACAAACACUUGUUAUUAUAUAGCUUAAGAUUCAAAACUUUAGAGCACAACCCUCCACCUAACACAAUUGAAUAAUGAAUAUUCACGAUUGUCAAAUCUGUCAAAGCACAGUUUGAGGACAACCCAUUCCAACCUGCAAAAGAUUUUUGACUUUUUUAAAGUUGUUGAGAGCUGUAAAAAGACUUACCAUGCUUACAUCUUCCGAGCCUUGGGAGUUAAAAAUGAAGGCACUGAGUGCUAUAAAAAGGGGGCUAGAGGCUGCCUAGAAGCAUAUCAGCCUAAAACAAGAAUUUGUAGUUAUGAUGGGAAGCAAAGCAAAAGCAAUGGGGUCUGGGCUGACUCCUCUUCUUACCACUGUUUUAGUGGUAUUUGUUGCUCUUGGCUUGCCCUCAGAAACUGCAGCUGAUGAUCACUACAAGUAUUCAUCUCCUCCUCCUCCUUACCACUAUCCCUCACCACCACCUCCAGUGCAUUUACCUCCACCAGUGUACAAAUACAAGUCCCCACCACCACCUCAUCAUGUUUACAAGUACAAAUCUCCACCACCCCCACCACCACACCCAGUUUACAAGUAUAAGUCGCCACCACCACCUCCUCAUCCGGUAUACAAGUACAAGUCUCCUCCGCCACCUCCUCAUCCGGUACCACACCCAGUUUACAAGUAUAAGUCACCACCACCACCUCCUCAUCCGGUACCACACCCAGUUUACAAGUAUAAGUCUCCUCCGCCACCAGUUUACAAAUAUAAGUCUCCUCCACCACCACCUCCAGUGUACAAAUACAAGUCUCCACCACCACCAGUUUACCACUACAAGUCUCCACCACCUCCUCCCCCAGUUUACAAAUACAAGUCUCCACCACCACCACCACCAGUUUACCACUACAAGUCACCACCACCUCCUCCCCCAGUUUACAAAUACAAGUCUCCACCACCUCCUCACCACUACUAAGCAAUUGCUUCUGAGGUAAUAACACUUGUUCAAUAUACCCACUUCUGCAUGAUAAAGCAUAUCUCUAUCAACACAAACUGUCAUGUCUAUCAUGCUAAGUGCCUUCACUUCAUCCACCAAAAUGACUGCUAGAAAAUUUUUUUUAUGUUACCAAAGAAAGGCAUCAUUUUUUCCCUCUGUUAUCAAGAACUUGUACAGUAUAUAGAUUAAAGAGUAUUUUUUUAACUAGCUUAUCAACUGAGAAAUGCAUAUAGCUGAUAGCCAGCUGAAUAUUUGCAGGCAAAGGAGAAGGAAACCAGUGUUUGAGACCUUCUUGAAGAUGUAGAAGCAUAAGAAUUAAAGCCCAAUGUGAAGAUGAUGAUUUCAAGUUUUUCUACGUUACCAUUUCUUUAUCUAAAUUGGUUGUAGCGCCUUAGUUCCUUUGUUUAUGGGAUUUGUAUCGUUUUACGUACCAUGCAGUACAUGUCAUGUUUGUAAGGUUUUCUAUCCUGCCGGCAAACCGCAGGUUCCAUGUAAUAAAUCAAUACUAUUUAUAUUACGACACUUUUCUCUGUUUCUCUUAUAUUUUGUCGUCUUUAAUAUUCUUAAUCAUAUUUUUAACAAAAAUAUUCAAACACUUAGGCAAUCUGGUCUAAUGCUAAUUGUAUGUUUUACUUUUCUUUUUCACCUGCUCCCCUUUUCAACUCAAAAGGAUGCAAUAGUUUGUGAUCACUGUUGAAGACGGAAGCAUGAUACUAAUGAAUAUAUCAUUGAAACUCAAGGAAACUAACAUUAUGAAAAGUGUAAAUCUUGAUUUGAUGCAACUAUUUAUUCGUGGAAUCUAUAGUUACAAAACUCAAACUCUGACUGCGCCAUUGAUAAAUUAUUAAUGACGCUAUCAUCAUUAUUUAUCCCCAACUAGUUUCGACUACAACUGAACCCAAUAUUUUCCCCAUGAUAAAAGUUUUUUACUAUUUUACUGGCCUCUCUUCAAAUUUUAAAAAUUACACUAAUCUUCAUUGAGAUUAAUUAUCUUGUAGCAUUUAAGUCCAAUUAAUAAUUAAAAAAUAAUAUUAUGAGAGAGAAAAUAAUAUAAUUUUAUCAUUGCCCCCCAUCUUGCUAUAUUAUUUAAUUAAUUUAAUAGCAACCCACACAUUAAAGAAAAAUACUAAAAUUUGCUGCUUUUCAUUAAAGAUCAAAUUGCAUAUGCCAUAAAACAUAGUAUAUCAUUCUAUAUGUUUCACUUAAUGUAAGAUCCCAAUUGUUCUUUUCAAUUACAAACCCAUUGUCAAACAUGAUCAAUAACAAAUAACCAAAAAAUUUGCAACCAAAAUAUUACAAAAAAAAACUUUAACAUCAUAAAUAUUCUUACCACCUCUAGUGCAUUCACCCUCAUAAAAUAAUUCAAGACCCUACUGUCAUAAAAUGACUGAUCAACUCCUGUAAACCUAAUUUGACAACAUUUAAAUGGAGAACUUUAGCUAAAAGAAUUAUGGUCAAGCUAAAGAAAAAACCAGUUAUUUUCCAACAUAUGCAAUCAUUGAUCAGGGAAAAAAAAAAGAAGCAAAAAGACAUCUUCAAUCAUUUAAUAGCUUACAGGGCAAAUUAACCCCUAAGCGAAAACUGGUUGCUCUAGAAUCAAAAUUUUACUUUAGUUACCCAGGCAACUUUUUUUGUUGCCUUUUCUUUUUCUUUUUUGGGUAUAUAUAUAGCUCCAGUUUUGCCCCCUCUGUCAAGCUUAUAUAAUUAUUAAGAUAAUAAAAGUGCCUUUAAUAGUAUUAAUAUAUCCAUUGACUUGAGCUGUCAUCGAUCGGUUUGGGCUACUUCGAUUCCAUGAGAACAAAUGGUAAUAAAAGUACUCAGAAAAUGGGGAGUCAUGAAACCCUUUUGUUCUAUUCAUUGCUAAGAUGCUUUUCUCUAUAAAGACACUUCCUAACGAAAAUACUUUGUAGAUUUCUUUACUCCAAGUGGUGCAUGGAAAAUUAAUAUUUUCAAUUAUCAAAUAAAAUUCCCUUUUUUCGGUGUAGAUUUCAUCCAUUCAGCUGUUAACACUCCGAAUUGACUAAUCUUUUCGUUUCCAUUUUCCAACUUGCGAAUACGGCAUCUUACAUAUUGUCUGCUGAAUAUGAAUACAUAUCCCUUUUCUGAGCAGGUGCAGAGUCAUUAUCAUUUUUAUUCCCACCUAACAAAUUAGUUAAUAAUCUUUUAAAGAACAUGUUAAAUUAAUUUAUUGGUAUGAAUAGUAGUCAAAGAAGUAUGUUAAAGUUAGUAAUCUUUAAAAUAAUAUGUUAAAAUUAUUCGUACAAAUUAGCCAGAGAAGUAGCAUAAACACCGCGAUGCAAUUAAUACUUUCAAUCUCAAGGUCUCUAUUAUGGAAAUUUGCAUCGGUCAACAUACACAAAGCAUUAUUGUAUGCACGUCUCUCUAUUAUGGAAAUUUGCAUAGGUCAAUAUACACUUGGCAUAGUUGCAUGCACGUCCAAUUUUUUUUUAUUUUUAUUUUUGGUAUUUUACUUCCUGCCUUAAGUUGCCUGCAGAUGUUUGUAUUACAAAUAUAUGGUAUACUAAAUAUAUAGUAUGCACAUUAAUUUCUUUGGGUUGCUUAAGGGUAUAUUGUUAAUAAUAGGGGGUUUAACCAUAAAUUAUAACAAUGAUGAAGUAAUAUAUAUUAGAAAAUUAACACAAUUAUGAUUUUUUUUUUUGUAAAAUUCAAAUUUUAUUAAUAAGAAAUGAAAUAGGCAGUAAGCAUUUACAAACCGAAAACAAAAUCCUACAACAACUCUAGGACUCUACACCUUAUUAAAAAAAAACAUUUUGAUAGCGUUUUUCCAAAAGCAGAAGAUGGAAAAUUGCCCAUUUGUACUGGGGAGUUCGUGAUCUUUUCCUCAUUCUAGUCUACUUACAAUUCUUGGAAAAAGGAAUACUCACAUCUCAAACAACAGCCUGUUCAUCUGCAGUGUCCUGCCGAAUUCUAGAAAGUUUGGUGGCAAUGUUAAUUACAUUUCAAAAUUGACUGCUGCGAUAACUAAUUCGAUGGCUUACUACAUGGUCAACGUUUGGAUCUCUUCCUGUCCUUUUUGGAUGCACAUUUUUUUUCUCUAGGUAAUAUAUAAUCUCCCAACUCAUUUCUUUACAAAUGCACCUUUAAUCACCACCAAAAGGUGUGGACAUGAUCUUUACCCUAGAAAACUAUUCACCGACAGGCAAAUUGACGUCAGAAAUACUAAGAGGAAUUCUAGUUUCCUUCGGGUUAAUGCCAUUUUGUACCCUUCAACUGUAACUCAAUUUCUAAGCUGUAAUUUGUGACAUUAUAGUCCUUAAACUAUGAAACCCUUUCUUAUUUAAUUACAAUGGUUAAUACAAUGCCCGUGACUAGACAAGUAUGAAGCAACCAUAACAAAAAAAAAAUCCAAAAUUAGAGAAAAGAAAGAAGUUGCGACCAAAGUAUGUAUCAAGGCAUAGUAUAGAAAUAAAAGUGUCAAAAUUAAGAGUUUAGGGAUAAAAAAGAAUCAAAAUAUAGUUUAGGAAUUGAUUUGUCUCAAUUAGAGUUUAGAUGUCAACUAAGAAGAGAGAUAUAGUUGAAGGGUAGAAUAUAGAUAUAACAGUUCAAUGAUUGAUAUCAACGAGACAAUGACAACUUUGGAUUAUUACCAACCUCUUCUUGAUGGAAAAGGAAAUAGAGAAGAAAGUCGGGCCUGGUCUAAGCCUGUUUCGGAGGCAAAACAACAUUAUGAAAUCACCGGCAUUCACACAAAUAUGUCAAAGUCACCGGCAUGCUAAGUUGCAAAAUUUAUACAAACACUGAAUAUUAUAUUCUUCUCAAAAUUUUUGUUUAAGAUUUAACAAUUAGAGCACGGUACACGAAUUAGCAAUAUUAAAUAAUGAAUGUUCACGAUUGAUAAAGUUAUCAAAGUACAGUUUGAGGACAACCCAUUCCAACGUGUACAAGAUGUUUAGCCUUUGAAAAGUUAAUUAGAGAAGGUGACGAGAUUUUACUAGGCUUACAACUUCUAGGCCUUGGGAGUAAAAAGUGAAGACACUGAGUGCUAUAAAAAGGGGGCUAGAUGUUGCCUAGAAGCAUAUCAGCCUCGGACCACAUUUUGUAGCAAUGGGGAGCAAAGCAAAAGCAAUGGGGUCUAGGCUGACUCCUCUUUUUACCACCGUUUUAGUGGUAUUUGUUGCACUUGGCUUGCCUUCAGAAACUGCAGCUGAUUACGACAAGUAUUCACCUCCUCCUCCUCCUUACCAUUAUUACUCACCACCACCUCUUGUGCAUUCACCUCCACCACCGCCAGUUUAUAAGUCACCCCCACCACCUUAUCACUACUUCUCACCACCACCUCCAGUGUAUCCAUCUCCACCACCAUCUGUUUACAAGUCACCUCCACCACCUUCGCCAGUAUACAAGUCCCCACCACCACCUUAUCAAUAUUCCUCACCACCACCUCCAGUGCAUUCACCUCCACCACCACCGAUUUAUAAGUCACCUCCACCACCUCCUCCAGUUUACAAGUCCCCGCCACCACCUUACCAUUAUUCCGCACCAUCACCUCCAGUGCAUUCACCUCCACCACCACCGAUUUACAAGUCACCUCCACCACCUCCUCCAGUUUACAAGUCUCCAUCACCACCUUACCAUUAUUCCUCACCACCACCUCCAGUGCAUUCACCCCUACCACCACCGGUUUACAAGUCUCUGCCACCACCUUACCAUUAUUCCUCACCACCACCUCCUAUGCAUGCACCUCCACCACCAAUAUACAAGUCACCUCCACCACCUCCUCCAGUUUACAAGUCUCCACCACCACCUUACCAUUAUUCCUCACCACCACCUCCAGUGCAUUCACCCCUACCACCACCAGUUUACAAGUCUCCGCCACCACCUUACCAUUAUUCCUCACCACCACCUCCUGUGCAUGCACUGCCACCACCAAUUUACAAGUCACCUCCACCACCUCCUCCAGUUUACAAGUCCCCACCACCACCUUACCAUUAUUCCUCACCACUACCUCCAGUGCAUUCACCUCCACCACCACCGAUUUACAAGUCACCUUCACCACCUCCUCCAGUUUACAAGUCUUCACCACCACCUUACCAUUAUUCCUCACCACCACCACUCUUCAAUUUGGAUGUAAUUCAAUUUUCCUUGUAAUCGGUGGCCCUCCUUCGGAAUCCAAAUAGUCAUUGAGUGCAGCCUUCUUUCUUUAUUUUUUACUCAUUUUCACCUCAUAAAUUGCUUUCAUCCCCUAAAACUUGUUCGCUGGAAUUUUGAAUUUACCCAUACAACUAAACUCAGAAAAUUCUUACACAAAGGGAUUAGUAGCAUGAAUAGCAAACACAGAAUAAGAGAUAACAGUAUGUUUUAUUGUAUUAAAAAUAUUAAAGUGGAUUAUUUCUCCAUCGAAUUCCAUUGUGAGAGUAUCGUUACUAACAUCAAUCUUAGUUUGAGCAGUACUCAAGAAUGACCUUCCUAAUAUAAUGGGUGAUGGAUUUGGGACACUUUCAUCAUCCAUAUAAAACACAUAAAAAUCAACAGAAAAAAUUAAUCCAUCUACUUGAACUAAAAACAUCCUCAACUACCCCAUUUAGAUAAGCAAAUAUACGAUCAGCCAAUUGAAUUAUUAUCCCUAUUUCUUUUAAAUGUUCUAAAUUUAGGGAAUCAUAAAUUGAUUUAGACAUCACAUUAAUAGAAAUCUUUAAAUCUAUCAUGGCAUUUUUUAUAUUAGAAUGUCCAAUCUUACAUGAGAUAGUAAACAUACCUAGAUUCUCGCAUUUAGGUGGUAGUUUCCUUUGUAAAAUUGCUGAAACGUUCUCAUCUACCACAAUAUGCUUGUCCUCCUCAAUUUCUUCUUGUUGACACACAAGUUUUUCAAGCAUUUAACGUAUUUUGGAACUUAUUUGAUUUGCGUCCAACAAAGGGAUAUUGAUUGCCACCUUGCGAAAAUCUCUAAAAUCUCCUUUUCUUUAUCUUGUUUCUUUGAUUUCUCUAACCUGCUUGGAAAAGGUGGUGAGUUAGUUCCAACUCUAAUUAUAGAAUCAACAAUUACCUUUGGAUUCACAUUUCUCAUUCCUUCCUCCUCAAGCUCUUUGUCGAUUCGAUCUUCAUUUUUAUCCUUUGGAAUCACAACUUCGGAUCCCUGAAUUUUCUUCUCGCUCCUUAAGGUCAUUACACUUACAUUCUUCAGGUUCAGUUCAGGUUGAGACGACAAUUUUUCAUAGAUUUGGGAUUCCAGGCGGUUGAUUGCUAUUACCAUCUGACUCAUCUGACUCUGCAGUGCUUGCACCUGUCCCAAUUGAUUCCUCAUACUUUGCAAGUCAAAAUCCAUCUUUUGUUGAUUAGCAAUUAAUUGCUUCAUUAUCUCUUCUAUAGAUGGACUUGAGUUUGAAAGAGGUGGUGGCGGGCGAGACUGAUACUGUUAUUGAUACCCUUGCUAUCUAUUUGGUGCAAAAUCUGGCUACCUAUUUCCUCCAUAGCUGAGGUUGGGAUGAUCUCUCCAACCAAUAUUGUACGUAUUCGUGUACGAGUCGUAUGGUUUUCUUGGCACGGCGCGUGACCAGCCAUGUUCACUUGCUCCGUACUUUUCUCUUGAAUCAUUGAGCACAUCUCUGUAGAAUGACCCAUAGCAGUGCAGAUCCCACACAUCUUGACUCGUGAUGCAUUUCCUAUAGCUAAUUGCCUAACAAAGGAUGUUAAUUCGGUCAACUGCUGUUGGAUAGAAUAUGUUUCUACCUCAUUUACUUUGCGUGUUGGGGCAUCCUCCCUCGUACCAAACUGUUGCGAAUUUUCCGCCAUUCCUUCAACUAGCUCCCACGCUUCUCGAGAAGUCUUGUUCACCAAUGCCCUUCUACUUGCAGCAUCAAUUAUACUCCUGUCUCUAAAACGCAGCCCCUCGCAAAAAUAUUGGAUGAGCAAUUGCUCACUUAUUUGGUGUUGAGGGAACUUGAUGCAUAACUUCUUGAAUCGCUCCCAAUAAUCAUAAAGCGACUCUCCUGGAUGCUACUUGAUACCGUAUAUCUCCUUCCUUAGACUUGCAGCUCGAGAUGCAAGAAAAUAUUUGUCCAAGAACUUUUUCUUCAGCUGAUCCCACGUGGUGAUGCUACCUGGUGGUAGAUAGCACAGCCAGUCUUUUGCGGAGUCCUUCAAGGAGAAGGGAAAUGCCCUCAUUUUUAUCUAUUUUUCUGUAAUUCUCGGAGGUUUUAUGCUGUUGCAAACGACAUCAAACUCUUGCAAGUGCUUAUACGGUUCCUCACCUGGUAAACCAUAGAAAGAUGGCAAGAGAUGAAUUAGACCAGAUUUUAACUCAAAUGAAGUGUUAUCAUUUAAAAAUAGAAAAGUAACUGAGAUGCAGCACUGGAAUGUUCUUCUCGAAAUUGUCUGGUCUCUUUCUUUGUUCUACGCGUAGUCUUCUCUACCUUAGGAUCAAAAAUUAAUUUACCUGUACGAGAAGAACGAGGCAUACACUAGAAAAACACUAGAAAAUUAGAACAAAAAUGAACAUAAAAAGAAACAAAUAAACCAACGUCAGUCCCCAGCAACGGCGCUAAAAAUUGACAAGUUGUCGAUGCCUGUGCAAUAAUAAAAAUAAACCUAGUUACCAAUUAAAAUAAUCAGAGCCUAAUUCUGAGUACUAGAGCAGGGACUAUAGGUGUGCAAUGGGUUACUUGAUUCACCCUAUUCCUGAAGUUUGCUUAACCCGAUAUACCAGAAUGAGAUUGCUUAUUCAAAAGGAAUUAUUGAUUUGUAAACAGGGCAAGUAGGGUCGUAUCAUCAGGGAUUGAAAAAAUUUGUUUCUUUUCAAAUCCACAGUAACAAGGGGAUGUUUUUGUAUAAAUGAUAACAAUCUAAGGAGUGCAAAUAGAAAUAAAUAGAUAACUAGAAAUUAAAUGACAAUUCACUAAAAUUAGAGUAAUAAUAAUUAAAGGUCUAGCUAAGAAAUAACUUCAGCAAUGGUUCACCUAAUUGAUCAUCGACGCAAAGGCAAUUCCAAUUAUUUACUAAUAAAUAGGUUAUAACUGCAAAACAAGCAAUGACAGUCAACCCCUCCUUACUGUCGGUCGGUGAUUAAGGUACGCCCAAUCACUGCUCUAGUUGAGAAAUAAUUUUAGGGACGCUCGUAAGAUUUAAUUUUCCAAUUGCCUUACGUAUUAGAGGAGCCAUAAUCUAACCAAAUAACGCUACCAGGAUUAUUUUAAAUUAACCCGUGUAUUCCCUUGAUACAAAUUCAAUCAUGUCAGUUGUCACUAUUUCAAGGUAAUGAAACAAUUACGGAUUUAAUAUCCUAAUUGACAAUAGGUUACUAAAUCAAUUCACUAUUUCGAUCCAAGAUAAUCAAUCAAUUUAACAACUAAUAGCACUGCAAUCGGAGAAUAUGUAAAUACCAAUAAAUAAGAGGAAAAGAUAAAAUUAAAUCGAUCUCACAAUUUUUAAACAAAUCAAAGUAUCCGUUGUUUCUUGACUAGAAAAGAAAAUUUAGUUCAUUCCUAAUGUGAAAGACCCACGUGAGAAUUCAAAAAUAAUAUUCACGGAUAUUGUCUUGAUUCAAUAGAUUCAAUUGCGUUGGAAUAAGGAUAAAAAGCCAAACUAUAGAGAGUGAUUCAAUGUUUUGUUUCGUUUGCAUUUUUUCUACACAUAUGGAAGAAGAAAAACAACUAAAGGACGAAAAAAAAAAGUCAAAGAAAGGCACCCAAAGUAGUGCUUGGUCUCUACCAUCCUAUUUCCUAUCUAAUUACUACUUCCCUUCUGCGGCUGCCUAGAGGAAGAAAGAGAAAGCAGACUUCAGGUCUUGUUCCAUCUCCUCCCUUUUCGGCAAUUCCCCAAAAGUAGAAAAGUUCCUCCGUUUACCAAAAUGCCCCUGGAAUGAGGACUGCUACUUGAACUCAUUUUCUUGAUAACUGUCAAAUUAGCACUUGUUAUGGUAUUUGCGUCUACUUCCUGUAAUAAAUGUAAAUUGCCAAAAGUGAGUAAACUGAUAAUUAAUUUACAUCAGGUCAGGUAAUAGGAAAAAUUAAUUAUAAAAUAAAUGAUAAAAUUGCAACCUAUCACUUAGAAUAACCAGAAAUAAAACAAAACAAGAAAUGAAAGAAAUAAGAGGGUAGCAUAGACAUUUUGGAUUUUUCUGUUAAUUUGGAUGAUUUCCACCUACGGUCUAAUUUAAUCCAAAACACAAAUGGAUUAUGUGGAGAUUUUUAAACAAUGAGGGAGUAUCGUGACCGAAUCCCAAACCACAAAGGGGAUUUACUAUAUUUUACUCUUAAAUUUUGGUUUCAUCUCAUAGCAUACAAGAGUACUAUUUCACUGUCUGUCGACCAGGGAGGAGGGUUGGGUUGGGUGGUACGGGGGAGGGAGUCUAAGUAAGAGGUCUCAGGUUCGAAUCCUCCUGUUUAUACUAAAAAAAAAAAUUUACUAUCUGUCGACAAAGAUUUUCUAUGGUUGAUGUACCAUAGGAAAAAUCUGCCUAUACAAUUAUUUGGAAAAAUUAUCCAUCCAAACAUAGUCACGAUAGCAUUUUUUCAAAAACACUAGAUGCAAAAUUGUCCCCUUAAACGUGGAAAUUCAUGAUCUUUCCUCGACUAGUCUACUUGUCAAUUUUUGAAAAAAGAAUACUCACGCCAAAAACACGGCCUCUUCAUCUGCAGAAUUCUAAAAAGUUACGUAAACUCUAUAAACAAGUUGAUAGGUACAAUCGUACCCAAGAUCAAGUACAGAUAGUUGUACAUUCACUGCUGCAAUAACUAAUCUGAUGACUUACAAACACAUCAUGGUCAAUCGUUGAAUGGUAAUGAGUCUUUUGUUAUGCAUUAGUAUUAGUGUGUACACUCUAAUAGAUUGAUACUUAUACUCUUUAAAUUAUCAUAAUAAUACCCUUAAUUAACUUUAACCCUUAAAAAGAAUACGUGUUAAUACACGAGAGUGUGUAACCUGAAUUGUUACUUAUACAUUAGUGUGUAAUAGAACGGCAAGCAUUAUGGUGGUCAUUGAGCAACUUAUAGGAGAAAUAGUCCUAUAAGCUGUUCAAUGACCAAUCACAACUUGCUAAUUGGAUGACUAAUAUAGCUCUAGCUGUAAUGUUUUAAUUAAAUUCCACACUAACGUUGGGAUGACUUUUUAAUCAAAAAAAAAAAAGCCUUAGUUCAAGCUUUUCCCCUUAUUGUGCAUUUUUUAAAACAUUUGAUAGGCACUGCAAAUCUGUCAUUUUGGACAUUUUAUUAUUAACUAACAAUGAAAGCCGUGGACAUCAACCCAUAUCCAACAAAAUAUUAAAUUAAUAUUAGAAAAAUUAUUAAGUAAUUGGAAAAAAAAAAGAAGAGGCUAAUUUUCAUUGAAACCCACCGACAAACUAUCCGUGUCCAUAGCUUUUGAAUAGUGCAUUCAACGUUUAAUUGUAUGGUCCAGUUCAUUGCCGAUUACAUGGAGUAAAGAUUGUGCUCUUUCCUUUUUCACCCCUUUUGGAAUCGAUACUGUGGAGAAUUGGGUUUUUCCCUCCUUUUUUUCUUUUCUUUCCUUCUGUGCUUUGCAAAACAUACGUAAAAAUAUGAAAUCCGAAGCAUUCUUUAAUUGGGAUUAAGUAUUGUUGUUGAAAUUAAAAAGAAGAAAGAAAGAACAACAAAAAUCCCAAUCUGGGUUGAUUGUUGAGCUCUAGAUUGGCUGCAUCGUGCUUCCAUAGAAGUUCUCUUAGUGUGAUACGCUGCUUUCAAUCAGUUUUAAUAUUUAAGUAGAGUGCAAAAUAACUUUACUAUUUAAUGGGUUAUAAUGCACCAUUUGGUACCUCUCACCCACCUAUGAUUUGAUUUACUACUGGCAUGGUAAUGGACAGAGUUGGGGGAGCAGGAGGAGGGAGAUGGCGGUACCAGUCCGUCAACCACAGCACACCCUCCCUCGGACUUUGCGUGGUAGCGAAGUGGAGGCAGAUCGAGCACACAUGCACUAACGCCUUAAGUAUGUACAAUAUAUGUAUGCCAAAAGCAUAGCCAAGCCUACCAGCGCAUUUCAAUAAUAUAACCCGGAAAUUAAGGGCAUUGAAUUAAGUACGAUGAAUCAUAUUGGUGCACAAUUACAGUUUGAAGCUACCGAUUCGAGUAAAUUUAAGCGUAAGCACAAUCAAUCGCCAGUCAAAUGCUGAAAUAUGCAUAUGCAUGGAUGAAUGUAUGGGUUUCUUAGUUCCAGACCAAAGGCCAACAAUAAGGGAAGGAAGGACAGUUCUCAUUUUUAGCACGGACAAGGAGAUGAAGAAAAGUGUAUGUAGCUUGAGACAGAACAAUGGCAUGUGACCGCUCCUGAGACCACAUAACGUGGGGUGGGGAUGGGACGGCCAAGAAUGAAGAUGCCUGUCGGUCUCUCCGUGCUGCUACCAUAUGAAUCCCCCGUUAACCAAUUCAAGAUAAGCCUGAAGUUCUUUUCAUCCCCAAACCCUGUCCCAUCUGUGUAAAUCCAACAUCAUCAUUUACGACCUGCAACUCAGGUUAAGCAUGUUCUAUUGAGAUUCAGACACCACCCUUCAAAAGAUAUACUACUGUGAAACCAGCAGCUUAAUAUCAUUGUAUAAAAAAAAAAAAAAAAGAAAGAAGAAAAGACAUGAAAAGCAAAUUUUGUGGGGAUAAUUUCAAAAUCUCUCCUAAAGUUUUUUACUAUUUUACUGGCCUCCUUUCAAAUUUUAAAAAUUACACCAGUCUUCCUUGAGAUUAUUUAUCUUGUAACAUUGAGGUCCAAUCAAUAAUUAAAAAAUGAUAUUAUGAGAGAGAAAAAAAAUAAACUUUAACAUCAUAAAUAUUCUUAUCAACAUAUUAAAGUUAGUUACUGAAAUUUUUAUGGUGUUAAACUUCACUCUUUGUAAUAUUUUAGUUACAGAUUUUUUGAUUACUUGUUGUUGAUUUUUUUUUUUUUAGUGUAAACAGGAGGACUCGAACCUAAGACCUCUCACUUACACUCCCUCCCCCCGUACCACCCCAACCCAACCCAACCCUCCCCUCGUUGUUGAUCAUGUUUGACAAUGGAUUUGUAAUUGAAAAGAACAAUUUGGAUCUUACAUUGAGUGAAAUAUAUAGAAUGAUAUACUAUUUUUUAUGGCAUAUGUGAUUCAAUCCUUGAUGAUAAAAGCAAAUUCAAGUGUUUUCUUUAAUGUUUGUGCUGAUAUUAGAUUAAUUAAAUAAUUUAGUAGAUGAAGGAAAAUGGUGAAAUCAUAUUAUCUUCUCUUUCCUAAUAUCACUAUUUAAUUAUUGAUUGAACUUAGAUAUUACAAAUAAUAAAUCUCAAGGGAGAUUAGUAUAAUUUUCAAAUUUUGGAGAGAAGCUAAUGAAAUAGUCAAAAACCUUAAGGGAGGUUUACAAAAUUAUCCCAAAUUUGUGGGAAUUAGAAUAAUUGUACUGGACGGCACUGCCGCAACAGAGGGAAAGAGGAGGAGGUGCAGUUAACUUUUUGUUGUUUGAAAUCCUUGGUGAAAUAUUACAGAAAGACAGAUAAAACAGUUAGUACAUAGAUGUAUAUGACAGGGAAAAUGGUACGUCUGUUAAUCACAUUUGAAACACUUUCAUUGGUGAAUGACGAAAACUAUCAGGCUUGCCCAAUAGUUGAUCAUUGACCAAGACAAAUCUUGCCAUGCUAGAGGUACCAUCUUUUCGUACCUCUUUAGUGCACAGGACAUUCCUUUGUUUCAUCUAGCUAAUAAUCUACCAACUCAUUUCUUUGCAAAUGCACCUUUUAUGGUCACGUCUACGAAAGCUUUACAGGAUCUUUACCCAAAAAAUCAAUUCACCGACUCGCAUUUGAUGUCAAAAUUUCUUUACUUUACUCCAAGAUUGACUGUUAAUAAUAAUGCCACUUUGAAUUAUCACACCAUCCUUCUUGAUAGGAUUUGUGCUAGAGGUAGGGAGGGAGUCGCUGCAGCCGGUCUUCUCUUCAUAGACAGUACAAUAUUGCGAAAUCGAUCGCAUUCACGCAAUAUUAUAUUUCCAAGUCGUUGCAUGGGUAAGCUGCCAAAAAGUACGAACACAUGUUAUUAUAUAGCUUAAGAUUCAAAACUUUCGAGCAUAACCCUCCACCUAACACAAUUGAAUAAUGGAUAUUCACGAUUGUCAAAUCUGUCAAAGUACAGUUUGAGGACAACCCAUUCCAACCUGCAAAAGGUUUUUUUACUUUUCUAAAGUUGUUGAGAGCUGUUAAAAGAUUUACCAUGCUUACAUCUUCCGAGCCUUGGGAGUUAAAAAUGAAGGCACUGAGUGCUAUAAAAAGGGAAUAGAGGCUGCCUAGAAGCAUACCAGCCUAAAACAAGGAUUUGUAGUUAUGAUGGGAAGCAAAGCAAAAGCAAUGGGGUCUGGGCUGACUCCUCUUCUUGCCACUGUUUUAGUGGUGUUUGUUGCUCUUGGCUUGCCCUCAGAAACUGCAGCUGAUGAUCACUACAAGUAUUCAUCUCCUCCUCCUCCUUACACUAUCCCUCACCACCACCUCCAGUGCAUAUACCUCCACCUCAUCCUGUUUACAAGUACAAAUCUCCACCACCCCCACCACCACACCCAGUUUACAAGUAUAAGUCACCACCACCACCUCCUCAUCCGGUACCACACCCAGUUCCUCAUCCGGUGCCACACCCAGUUCCUCAUCCGGUGCCACACCCAGUUUACAAGUAUAAGUCACCACCACCACCUCCUCAUCCGGUACCACACCCAGUUCCUCAUCCGGUACCCACACCCAGUUUACAAGUAUAAGUCACACCACCACCUCCUCAUCCGGUACCACACCCAGUUUACAAGUAUAAGUCACCACCACCACCUCCUCAUCCGGUAUACAAGUAUAAGUCUCUCCGCCACCAACACCCAGUUUACAAGUAUAAGUCACCACCACCACCUCCUCAUCCGGUGCCACACCCAGUUUACCACUACAAGUCACCACCACCACCUCCUCAUCCGGUACCACACCAGUUUACCAUACAAGUCACCACCAAUCCUCACCCAGUUUACAAAUACGAGUCUCCACCACCUCCAGUUUAUAAGUACAAGUCACCACCACCUCCUCCACCAGUUUACAAGUAUAAAUCUCCUCCACCACCACCACCAGUUUACCACUACAAGUCUCCACCACCUCCUCCCCCAGUUUACAAAUACAAGUCUCCACCACCUCCUCACCACUACUAAGCAAUUGCUUCUGAGGUAAUAACACUUGUUCAAUAUACCCACUUCUGCAUGAUAAAGCAUAUCUCUAUCAACACAAACUGUCAUGUCUAUCAUGCUAAGUGCCUUCACUUCAUCCACCAAAAUGACUGCUAGAAAAUUUUUUUUAUGUUACCAAAGAAAGGCAUCAUUUUUUCCCUCUGUUAUCAAGAACUUGUACAGUAUAUAGAUUAAAGAGUUUUUAUUUUAACUAGCUUAUCAACUUAGAAAUGCAUAUAGCUGAUAACCAGCUGAAUAUUUGCAGGCAAAGGAGAAGGAAACCAUGUUUGAGACCUUCUUGAAGAUGUAGAAGCAUAAGAAUAAAAGCCCAAUGUGAAGAUGAUGAUUUCAAGUUUUUCUACGUUACCAUUUCUUUAUCUAAAUUGGUUGUAGCGCCCAAGUUCCUUUGUUUAUGGGAUUUGUAUCGUUUUACGUACCAUGCAGUACAUGUCAUGUUUGUAAGGUUUUCUAUCCUGCCGGCAAACCGCAGGUUCCAUGUGAUAAAUGAAUACUAUUUAUGUUACGACACUUUUCUCUGUUUCUCUUAUAUUUUGUCUUUAAUAUUCUUAAUCAUAUUUUUAACAAAAAUAUUCAAACA